AUUCGACCAGUAGGUUAUUUGAGUUCAUAGAUGCUUGAGAUUUCGACGGUCAGUCAGAUAUGAAUCAUUAUCCCUUGCUUAAGAGAUAGAAAAGGCAAUCAAAGACAGAGCAUACUAAAAAUGAAACACAUUGCUAUGAUUGCUCAAACCAUAAUCAUCAUUAAUCAAGUGUGUCCCUGCUGGCACAGAAAAUUCAAAUAUAAGCAUGAUCAGGGCUCAGAACAUACUACUGCCAUUAGAACUAAGGGUGGAUUGCUCAUAAUUUGGGCCUUGUUCCACACCUUCAGUCUGAAAUUAUGCUAGAGAAUUACAAAAUAUGUAUUGAUCUGAAAGGCUUGGUGACAGAUAUUCCGGUGAAAUCUUGAUCAUUGCCACGACAAGGUGAAGAUAAUUCUUGUUCACAGAUACAAACAGAAGUAAUUAACGAACACACUAAAAAAAGGGGGGUAACCAGCAGCUACUGAAAGAACAAUAACAGCACAGGCACGCGAACAACCUACAGGCAACUCAUCCCAAGCAGAGGCCAACGCCGCACACGAACUCUAGAUGUAAAUGAAUUUUAUCUCGAAGCAUAAUCGAAACGAAUGUCCUCGGUCGGGGCUCAGGCCUCGGAGGUCUCCUCCUUGACGGCGGUUGCCUCCUCGGACGGCGGCUCGGCCUUGGCCGCGGCGGAGCGGGACUUGACGAAGUCGAGGAGGCGGCGGCUGACCUCCUUGGAGUAGAGCUGCAGCGCCUCGAUGCCCUCCUCGACGGAGGCGGCGGCCCCGCCGGUGACGGCGGCGGCGUCGAAGGCCUCGGCCUCGAUGGCGCGCGCGGCGGGCUCGGCGUCGGCGGCCGGCACGGCGCCGUAGCGCUUGCAGAGGAGGGUGUCGCCGGCCAGGGUGUCCACCAGGCGCCGCACCACGGCGUCCCGCGUCCGCUGCGUCGGCGGCCAGAUGCUGAAGGAGAACGGGGAAAUCUCGUCGGCACCGGCGGCGGCGGCCUUGGGGAGCUCGUCGGGGCCCAUGGUGCGCGGCGGAGGCGGAGGCGUCGGACUCAAAACCCUAGGCUGACGGGUAGGGGGGUGGGGUGGGUAGGCCGGCCGUUCGAUCCGUUCGCGGUGGGGAUUUAAAAGCGGUGGCGAUGGAGAUGGGGUGCGGUGCGGUGGUGCGUCGUUGUAAUUGAGGGUUUGUUCGGGGGGUUGCCGUGGCUUCAAGAAAGGGAAGAGGCCUCUCGCGGCCGCGUGCCACGGAAAGGGAGGGAGGAGAUUGUUCUCUUCUGGAGGAGGAUGUGGCGUCGGUUGGUGGCCUUUUUUAAUGGUGGGUUUGUUGUUGGCCCGUGUACGGCUUCCUCGUUGGAGGUUUGAAUUUCGCAACGUUCGAAUCGGACCGGGAAUGGUAGGAAAUCUGGGUGGAUCGGGAUAAGAUCGUGGGAUGAUGAGAUAUGAUCGGGGAGCAUUUAUAGCCUUGAAGAUACUACGGUAUUUUUGAAUCGGUUCAAUUCCUUCCAAUGACAGUAGCAGUGCCACUCUUGGGCUCUUGACCUCUUGCCAAUUGCCACAUACCUUGUCUCAUUAGCUGGGCCUGGCCGUAACUGGUCGGCCUACACAUGGUACGGUGGCACAUUUUUGACGUGCACGCGGCCCAGUUGCCCCCAGAUCAGUCCGUCUCUCUGUUUGCACCGACGCCCCUGUCGUGUCGCCUCUGGAGCUUGGACGCACUCGCAUUUCUGCAUGCCAUCUCGUCGCGAGUGAAGUCUAAAACAAAGCCUGAAGUUGUAGAGGGCGACGCAAAACGAACCCUAACCUUCAAAACCCUGAAGUCCGUAUCCUGACCUCUUUGAUCCCAUUUUAUCUGAACCCUGGAUUUGUUUGCCAUACUGGGAAAAGCAAAAUCCUAGCCAAGAACUCGCUCUCUCAUGGUAGCGUGGGUCAACACAUCAUCUUCUUCCCCGUUCACAUCUCUCUCGUGCUGCUCUCCCGCGGAUGGGCGGACGUCGGCUACCAGUGUGUACUUCUCUUCCUCGCAUGUUCGCUCCCCUACCGAUCCCGCCCGCACGGUGGCAAGCACUGGCUGAUCAGGUGCGGUCGCUGCGACCGACAGUGGGAGCUCCUCAGCAACAUGGUGCGCCUGGGAAAGGAGAUGCAUCUGACAGGUGGACCCAUGUAGUAAGUGACAGUAGAGAUCAAUCCCACCAGGGGUCGUGCCUUUUCUUUGACGAGCGGAUCGCGUCUUUCCUAUUGCACCAAACAAGAUUGUACUCAGAAGGGGUCUAGCGUGACUGGGAUUUGUAAAUACGGGGUACCAAACUCAGAGACUUAGAGCAUCUCCACUCGCCCCCAACAGCCCCCCUCCCAAGGCCCCUUUUUAUCGCCGGCGUGAAAAAAUGGCCCGGUCGCGCCCUCAGAAGCCCAUUUUUCGCCGGUUAGGGCCGAAUUUGGCGCCGGCAGACCCAUGCCGAACCCGGUGCGCUGGGGGCACCCGGGGACGCCGGGGGAAACUGUUUUGGCGCGAAAUCUUGUGGGGCCGCCGAGUCAGCGACUAGGCGCGUUUGUCGUCCUCAUCGCCUCGGUUUCCUGGGGGAAUCAAUGCGAAGACUGCGCCGGUCAGUCUUCCAUUGAUUCCUCACAGGCGGCGCAGUGAAGGCGCGUCGACGCGCGUCCCGCCCCCUCCCGCCAUGCGUACACACGGCGGCCGCCCGCUCGCCGCCCACCCGCGGCUAUAAAAGCCGUCCCUCCCUCGCCAGUGGCCGCACACUUCCUCGCCACAGCCCCUCUCCCCUCUCGUCGACGACGCCCUUCUCGCCCUCUCGCCUCGCCGACGACGCCCCUCUCCCCUCUCUCCCCGUCUCAAAACCAUGGCCGAGCACUACCCCGGUGACGGAGCAGCGGCCAUUGGCUUCGGCCGCCGCCACCUGCACGAGGACGAGGCCCGUCUCCUUUACGACGCGGACUACCCGGCGCCCCUAAUACGUCUCCAACGUAUCUACAAUUUUUUAUUGUUCCAUGCUAUUAUAUUAUCUGUUUUGGAUGUUUUAUAUGCAUUAAUAUGCUAUUUUCUAUUAUUUUUUGGACUAACUUAUUAACCAAGAGCCCAGUGCCAGUUUUUGUUUUUUCCUUGUUUUUGAGCUUCGCACAAAAGGAAUACCAAACGGAAUAAAACUUUCGCGGUGAUUUUUCUUGGACCAGAAGACACCCCGGAAACUUGAAGAUGAAGUCAGAAGAGCAGCGAGGCGGCGGCAAGGGGGGAGGGCGCGCCCCCUGCCUUGCCGCCUCCUCGGGACUCCUCUGACCUAACCCUUGGCCCUAUAUAUAUUCACAUAUAUUCCCAAACCACCAGAGGCAUGCACGAAAACACUUUUCCACUGCGCAACCUUCUGUUCCCGUGAGAUCCCAUCUUGGGGCCUUUUGCAUCCUGCCGGAGGGGGAGUCGAUCACGGAGGGCUUCUACAUCAACUCUAUUGCCCUUUCGAUGAAGCGUGAGUAGUUUACCACAAACCUACGGGUCCAUAGCUAGUAGCUAGAUGUCUUCUUCUCUCUCUUUGAUUCUCAAUACACUACAGAAAAAAGACACAUCCGUGACAUUUUGGGCCGAACGAAUUUUUCCCUGUCAUGCUUAUGACACUUCUAUGUCGAUAAUUGUGACAAAACCCGAUAUCAUCAUAGAUGUGGUGGGAUCCUACUUCUAUGAUAAAAAAUCAUGACAGAAAAUGGGUUUUUCAUCCUGGGCGGGCCGGAGACGCAGCUGCAUGACAUUCUUUGGGCCGUCCAUGACGAAAAAACCGUGGUAGAAGCGAGGGCGAGGAAAAUAUCAGGGAGUUCCCGGUUAUGGUGGGUGGUCGGGGCCGAGCGAUGCAUGGAGGUUUGCGCGUUUCUCUCGUACACGUACGCGCGUGUGUGUGAGGCGUUGUGCUCUAACUGAACCCGAGCGAGGUGUUCACCUACUGAACCCGAGCGAUUGCACUGCAGGCUACGCGUUACUGAACCCGAGCGAUCGAUCGAUCCCUGUCUGUUAACUGAACCUGUUGGGGAUAUGCCUAUCAGGUAUGACCCGCCCAGAGGAGCCGGGUCAUCCUAUGGCGGUUCAUCUCAAUGAAGCCCAGGAGCGUAUUAAGAUGGCGGUUCAUAGACAGGCCAGUUAGAGGGCCUAAAGCCAAAGGCGGCUCAUAGGCCCACAAAUAUAAACCGCCAUGUAUAUGUAAGCUUGUAUUGUAAGGUAUGUAAGAUAAGUCACCGAGCCGGACACGUUGUAUGAGCCGGCCGGGACUCUGUAGGCCGCAGGGCGUCAACCCUGUAUAUAAGGGGAUGACCCGGCAGCGGCUUAGGGCAAGAGACAACAGAUCGAGAACCAGGCAAAGCGUGUUCGCUCCCUGGUCAUCGAAACCCUAGCAAUACCACCUCAAACUGGAUUAGGCCUUUACCUUCACCGCAAGGGGCCGAACCAGUAUAAACUCUUCGUGUCCUUUGUCCCGUUUUAACCCCUUUAAGCUAACUCCGUCGCAAUGGCUCCACAACUAAGUUCUUUGUCUCGUUUUAACCCCUUUAAGCUAACUUUAUUGGAUGACCAAGAGUCGUCGCGGCAAGCUCUACAUCGACGACGCAGGCUGGGGCCCGGAGGCCGGCUCAAUUGAGUACGGGUAUCGGGUCCCCUUUGGCGGAAUCCACGUUUUCAUUGGCAAGAUCGGCGAACCGGGCCCUGAGCCGGACACCUGCACCACAUCAUCGAGACGGCUCAGCGUGCACGACCCGCCCAGGUUCAGCCCGCCGUGAGGCGUGCCUUCGUUGGAUGUAUCCACGAGUUUGAAUUGGAAGACUCCAUGUUUGGCGGUGAGACGACCGUCUAUUCUGAUGAUGAAUCGUCCACGGGCGAGACCAACUCCAUGUACCAGAUACAAGAUGGACGGCUUGGGGGCUAUUCUGAUGGCGAUAGUAUUCCGGACCCCCAUGAGCCGCCGUUCAGGGCAGUGAUCUUCAUGGCUGGCACUCAGCGGUUCUCGGUUCAACAGCCGCCGCAGCUAUGACUUCCAGUGCGGUGGCAGUAAAGGCAACAGGUAUUGGCGGUUCAGCACGCCCGCUGACUCAAGUUUUAACAGGGCUAUUGGAUGAUCUAGAAACGCCGAUGGGGGCGGAGGUAACCCCGGACAACGCGGAACGGCAUAAGGCGGAUAUUGCCAAGCUGUGUGAGGAGAUAGCACAACCUAAAGAAGACCUGGCGGCUGAGAACGCCAGGAUGAAUGCAGAGCGGGCCGUCUUAGAUGCUCAAGCACAGCGGAUUCAAGCGGAUUCGUACCGGCUUUCGGUAGAUCAGAACACAGCAAAUGAAGUCUUGAGGAGAAAAUACCGGAGUCGCCUCCCUUCGGUGUAUGAGUCAAGGAAUCUCUUCAACACACCUGGGGCCGGGGCUAGUAACCCGCCCUGGUUAAGCCGGAUGCCUGAAGCGCCAGGGGGUGGAGCGACGGUUCAGCCGCGCGUGACAGAUGCACCACGUAAUGACCCGCCUCAGCAUGGGGUGAUACCGCCGGGUCAUUAUGCUACCCCUCUAGACAAUAUGAUUGCUGCGGCAACACGAUUGGCGGCUCUACCGGCCAAAGGCGAGUCUCCGACGGCGAUCGAAACCCGGAGGGCCAGAGAUCUUCUUCAAACGGCUUUGGUGCAGCAGCAAGCCUACUCCUACAGUCAUGAUCGGGUUCAUGCGAUCCCUCGUCCAAGCCGGAGCUGCAGUAGGCACAUGGAUUCGCCAGCAGUUUUGAGUACUGAGCGGCGUCGUAACCAACCUCAUGGUCAUCACCCGGCACGCAAUGUUGCUAAUGCACAUGAUUUGGUGGAUCAGGGAAGAGCGCGCUGGGAGGCUGAACUGGCGGCUCAUCAGCACGCGCCGGUUUACCCGACGACUUCGGUUGAGGCGGGUGUAACUUCGAGGGCUUUCGGAGUGCCAUGUCUGAUAGCGGCUCUGCGGAACGAGCGUUUGCCCAAGGACUUCAAAGGCCCUCGUAAGGUACCCAAUUACACAGCAGACCAGCCCCCUGAGGCUUGGGUGGAGAGUUAUGAGAUGGCUAUGGAGAUGCUGGAUGUUAGUGAGGCCGCGUAUGCUAAGUAUUUUACCAUGAUGUUGGAAGGAACGGCUCGUACUUGGCUGAAGGGGUUGCCGGCUAAUUCCAUCGGGUCAUGUGCAGAGCUGAAGGCCCAGUUUAUACAGAAUUUCAAGGAUACAUGCAAGCAGCCUAUGUCGAUUGUGGAUUUGGUUUCUUGUGUUCAAGCUGAGGGCGAGUCAACCACCAGCUGGGUGCACCGGGUCUCGACCAUCAUACAUUCUUCAGACCAUAUGAACGUCGGAUCGGCGAUUCUAAUGUUGGAGAAAAAUUGCCGCUUCAUUCCACUCAAGCAGAAGCUUGGACGGCUCAAGCGUCAUUGCGAGGACAUGGUACUCUGAUGGCAGCUCUGGUUAAAUAUGCUGACUCUGAUGGUACCAAGGACCCCGACUCUGAAGACGAAAGAUCGGGAAAGGGAAAAAAGAGUAGUGGUGUGAAGGGGCAGCAAAAUAAUCCUACCAAUCAGGGCAGCAACAGUAAGCGCAAGGCUGAUGACUUUGUGGCUAACACAAGUGCGCGUAAUUACAGCCAACGUCGUAAGGGACCGCCGGCUCAAAGGACAUGAUUUGACCUGGAGGCGAUGUUAAACAGGCCGUGUCCGAAACACGGGACGGAUCAGAAGCCAGCUAGACAUUCAUGGAAGGAUUGCAGCAUAAUGAGAAGUUUUAGGGAGUCUAUCCAGUGGAACCAUGGCCCGAACGGUGGAUCAGGGUCCGGCUCUCACGGUCCGGGUCAAGGUGGCGGCGGUUCAAUUCCGGGUUUCAAGGCCAUGGUAACCAGAGUGGUUAUAAUCAGUAGAAUAAUCAGAGGAAUCAACAACAGCAGCAGUCUGGUUAUCGAAGCAACCCGAAGCAGUUGAAUAGUGGGCAGUAUCAUGUCUUCACCACUAGCUUAUGUAAGCGGGAUCAGAAGCUUCAUAAGAGGGCAGUCAAUGCUGUUGAGCCGGCGGUGCCACAUUACCUGCUGUGGUCGAAGCAGCCUAUUGUGUGGAGUCGUGAGGAUCACCCGCCCCGGGUCGAUAACCCAGGUCACCUGGCUCUGGUGAUAGCACCUCAGGUUGGGGGCUAUAAAUUUACCAAAGUACUCAUGGAUGGAGGCAACAGCAUUAACAUACUGUAUUAUGAGACCUUCCGUCGCAUGGGGCUGACUGAUAAGAAUCUUAAGCCGUCAAACACAGUAUUUCAUGGUGUGGUGCCGGGUAAAUCAGCUUAUCCAGUGGGUAAGAUAUCUUUGGAAGUUGCUUUUGGAGAUGAACAUGACUCUAGGUCUGAGACCUUAACUUUUGAAGUGGUCAAAAUCUGAAGCCCUUAUCAUGCUCUGUUUGGGCGGCCGGCUUAUGCUAAAUUCAUGGCAAGGCCUUGUUAUGUUUACUUACAGCUCAAGAUGCCGAGUUACAAGGGCACCAUCAUAGUGCAUGGGAGCCGCAAGGUGGCUUUGGAGUGUGAGGAAGGUGAUGCGGCUUAUUCUGAGUCAGUUUGUGCGACAGAGGAGCUGAAAUUUUACAAGGAUAAUGUUGACCCGGCAGAUAUGACAUCCUUGAAAAAGCCAACUACAGAGCAUGACCCUUCACUGAAGUUUAAGUCGGCAGAUGACACUAAGUUGGUUGAUUUUGUUCCUGGCGAUUCUUCUAAGCAGUUCAGCAUCAGUGACAAUCUGGAUCCGAAAUAGGAAGGCGCGCUCAUCGAGUUCAUCCGUGAGAACCGAGACAUCUUUGCAUGGAAGCCUUCAGACAUGCCGGGUGUACUGAGGGAACUCGCUGAGCACACCUGUCGUGGAAUUGUCACGGCAGAUGUCCUCGGUGUAAGGACUUAGUCGUGAGGCCAACACAUCUAUGUAGUAGCUUGAGAGGGGUUGAUUGGGAUGAGAGACGCAGGGCGGAUCAACGCACAAGACAAGGGUUUAGACAGCUUCGGGCCCUGGGAAACAUCAUCCGGUAAUAACCCUACAUGCUGUUGUGGCUAGGUCUCAUUAUGCUUAUGAGAGAGUCGCCAGUAAGCCGGCUCUUUGUGUCUAGCCCUCGAGAUUGUUUCUUGUUGCCCGUCCCUCUUUGGGGUGCCCUGCCCCUCCUUAUAUAAGUUAGAGGGGCGGGUUACAUGUGGAGUCCUAGUAGGACUAGGACUAGUCUAUCUUCUCUUACAAGUUAAUUACAAGUCCGGGUCUUGCUUCCUUGUAAAGGAAAUAUUCGCCAUCCCUUUCCUUUUAAGCCAGCCCAUCAUAAACGUGAGCCGACCUUCUGGGCCUUGGGCGUAGUCUUCUAUCUAACCCGCCGUCGGGGUCAUCCGUGAGUCGUCUGACAGUGAGCCGCCAGACCCGUGAGUCGCCAAUCUCCGGCGGGUCACGGUGAAGUGCCAAGUCCGGCCGGGUCAUACUUCCGGCCGGGUCAUACCGCGGGGUAUAUCCCCGCAUUAGCCUCCAGUUUAAUUUGGAUUCAUCCAUGUUAAACUAAUCUGCAAUAUAAACACAAGAACAAAUUUGACAGGUUGUGUUCCGGGUUAAAUACUCUUUGUAAGCCGGCACUUGAUCAUCCUUAAGUCCUUGUCAUCUUCCUUCUUGAUAUGUAUCCGUAAUCUCAUAGCAAAUCUCUUUAGCAGAUAUGUUCAAAUUUUGCCAAUGCAAAAAAUCCAGAUACUUCCUUUGAAAAAAUCCGGGUCAACAGGCCAGCUUCAGAAUCAAUUUGCUGACAUUGGUCUUUUGUUGAGAAAUAUUGUAAGAGACAAUCCACUUGAGUCGGCUUUCAAUGCUCUGACUUGACAAAAAUAUUGGUCUUCAAAUAUUCAACUUAUAUUCAGCCGGCUUAAAGAUAUAAAACUUGCCGGUUUAUGAAUACCAAAAUUGCCGGGUUAUAAAUAGAUGAUGCCAAAUCAUAAUUGUCACCGACGCCGGUUUGUGAUUUUUGCAGACACCAGGUCAAUCUGAUUUACUCAAAACUGAGAAUUUGAAGAUAUUUCUCCUUAUAUCCAUAUUACCUGUAGCCCCCAAGGGCCGGUUUAAUCAACAUGAAUAAGCCGGGACUUAUCACCAUGGCUUUAAAUAAAAUCCAGUUGUGUAGCCCCCAUGAGUCGGCUAUAGUCAUAGUAGUGUAGCCGAGUCAUCCUAGAAUUGUCUUGAAUUGUUUGACAGGAGCAAUUGGUAGUCCCCAAGGGCCGGCUCAUUACGAUGUGAUGAGUCGGGUCUUCAAUGAGGUGAGCAAAAAAUGACUUUGCAUUAACCCCCAAGUGACAUGGUGCAUGCUGGCAGUGACAUGGGACUUGCAUAUUCGAUGUAAUCUCGAUUUGAACAAUGUAGCCCCCAAGUGCCGGGUCGUAAGCCUGCAACGACUCGGGACUAUUUCCUCCAUUGUAAAAUAAAUCAUGCCCAUUGAUAAAAAUAAUAGCCGCUGUGCUAAAGCGACUUUGAAAACCUCAAUCAUAACACUGGUUAUUGAUAAUCACAAUAGAAAUCCAGCCAUGUUGGCUAUUCAAGGUUUGAAUAAUAUAAUCCGGUAUGAAAACCUCAAUCAUUCAAUAUCAUCAUGAAAAUUCAACCAGUUUUGGCUAUUAAAGAUUUGAAUACCUCAUCGGUUGACAAGUAAACCCGGAGUUUAAAUACCUGGCGGCUCUUGGCCAAUGACGACUUAAUGCGCCUUCAUUGUAAGCCGGAAUUUUUGUAACCCGGUGGCCUAUAGCCCUUGAGAAAACCAAUAAUUGAUAAACCCCUGCACAUAAUUAGAUCACAAGAUCCCUUGGCGGUUUACCGCAGGGCGGGUCAUAAUAUCUCACAUAUAACCACUGUGAUAUUGAAUUUGUACUGCCGGUUUACAUGACCUGCGCAGUAAGGGUGAUAACCCAAUCCUUAGAAGCCAAUGCUUCCACAUAGAUGAUGAUUGCCAUAAGCUGGCGAUUUAUCAUUGAAAAUCAAGCCGGGUUAAAUAACAACCACUCAUAUACACUUUAGAUAUGAAAAAGAGCUUCAAAUAAAAUCCAAAAAUUGUUUGCAAAAAGAGACUUCAAAGUUUUUGAGGCUUCUAAUUCGAAUACGAUUAGAAAACCGUCCCAAAGGGGUUAGGCUAAGAUUCGAAUACGAUCAUGUAGCCCCCAGUGGCUUUGGCAUUGCCGAUCAAGAGGGUACCGACAGCUAUGUUCUCUUUGGUUCGAAUACGACCUAUGUUUGAACAGGAAGCCCCCAAAUGACCUUGAGAGUUGUUUAACGACGCUGAUUCAAAUACGAUCCACGUCGGUUCCCAAAGGGGGUUGAGCUAUGGUUCAAAUAUGACCAAGAAACUCCCCAAUGAGCUCGGCAGUGUGCCGAUCAAAAGGGUAUCAACAGCUAUGUUCUCUUUGGUUCGAAUACGACCUAUGUUUGAACAGGAAGCCCCCUAGUGAUCAUGAGAAUAUUUAACGACUCUGAUUCGAAUACGAUCAGGGUCACACCAAAAGGGUUAAGCUAAAUUCAAAAUACGAUCAGCUCCCAAUGGUCAUUAAAGCAGGGUACCUGUAUUUGAGUUGUGCUUUGUAACAGACUCUCUUUGGUCCCUUUAAUUUUUCCUGAGAUCUCGAACUUUGCGAGAGAUAACCUCUUUUUGAACCGGAAAUUUGUAAACCGGAUAUUAAGAGCUUCAAAGCUUUAUUAGAUACAAAUUUACCUUGAGCCGGACGUUUGAACCGGAUUUGAGAGCUUCAAAUCUUUGCGGGAGAAAGAUAUCUCUUGAACCGGAUUUUAAACUGGAAUCUUUAUUUGAACCGGCAAUUUUCUGACAGCCUUUAAAGUUUCAUCAAUAUGGUAGCAGCCUCCGAAACCGGGUUAUCAUUCCCUCCAGCGACCCGGGGUUCCCGAGUCAUGUUAUUGUAGCCCCCGAGUCUCAAGAUGACUCGAGGAGUUGGCUUGAGAUUCUCCAUAUUUACCCGUGAUAUAAACCGGCAUAACUUGUAUAUCAUUGGUCUUGAUAACACGAUGUGAACCCACAAAAGGUUGAAGCGACUGCGGCGGGUUAUAAAUGAUCCCAUAUGAGCCGUGUCAACAACUCGGCCAAUAACUCCUUCCAACUGGUUGUUCGAAGUUAACCAAACUGUAGUGGCGGCGACUCGUACGCCUGCCCAUUGAACCAUCCAGUGCAGACGACGGCUGAUAAUAUAUGAUAAUUUGCCUCCAGUUUGUUGGAAGAAAACCGGGCUUCCCAAGUAGUGACUUGCUCAUAAUCAAUAAACAACUCAUCCAGACAAGUGCGGCCUGGUGUGUUGAUGUAGAUCAGGCCGCGAGAGACGGACGGUAAGGAUGACCGUAACAUCAGAGGCGGCACAGACAGAUGAGUCGGCCAUGGCAUUGUAAACCGGUGCGGACGGGUGAGUUGUCCUCCUUGUUGUAAGCCGGCGUGGUCGCGAGAGACGGCCACGGCGUGGUAAGCCGGCGCGGUCGCGAAAUUUAAGCUGGUCAGACAAUUUCUCCGUCAUUUUAACGAGAAGAGGCGGAAGGCCAUUGGUGAAGAAGUGGCCCGGCUCUUAGCAGCCGGGUUCAUUGUUGAAGUUUUUCAUCCUGAGUGGUUGGCUAACCCGGUGUUGGUGCUUAAGAAGAAUGGCACCUAGCGGAUGUGUGUGGAUUACACGGAUUUAAAUAAGGCUUGUCCGGCUGAUCCGUUUGCUCUCCCCCGUCUUGAUCAAAUUAUUGAUGCUACGGCGGGCUGUGAGCGUCUGAGUUUUUUGGACGCUUAUUCUGGUUAUCAUCAGAUCAAGAUGGUAGUUAAGGACCAGGAGAAGACGACUUUCAUUACUCCGUUUGGAGCCUUCUGUUAUGUAUCUAUGCCCUUUGGGCUCAAGAGUGCCCAAGCGACUUACCAGCUGUGUGUGCAAAAUUGCCUUCACAGUCAGAUCGGGCGUAAUGUUCAUGCUUAUGUGGAUGACAUUGUGGUGAAAUCCAGGAAGAAGGAGACCUUGAUUGAUGAUUUGAAAGAGACGUUUGACAAUCUCCGGGUCUACAAGAUGAUGCUUAACUCGGCCAAGUGUGUUUUUGGUGUACCGGCGGGUAAGCUCUUGGGUUUUCUGGUUUCUAACAGGGGCAUUGAAGCUAACCCGGAGAAGAUCAAGGCUAUUACCUCCCUGGCUAAGUCGAGGAGUGUCAACGACGUCCAACGCUUGGCGGGUCGGAUUGCAGCUUUAAGCCGAUUCAUAAGCCGCCUUGGAGAAAAGGCCAUCCCUCUAUAUCAGAUGAUGAAGAAGACAGAUGACUUUGUUUGGAGUGAUGCUGCUAAUGAGGCGUUUGAGGCACUUAAGAAGCAAUUGGCUGAGCCGCCGGUUCUUGCUGCUCCUAUUGAUAAGGAGCCUCUGCUGCUAUAUGUGGCGGCUAAUAGCCGAGCUGUCAGUGUGGCUAUUGUGGUGGAAAGAAAGGAGGCAGGCAAGGAAUAUCCGGUUCAACGGCCAGUUUAUUACAUCAGCGAGGUGCUUAUUGAGUCCAAGCAGAGAUAUCCACAUUGGCAGAAGCUUGUGUAUGGGGUCUUCAUGGCAAGCCGGAAGCUUAAGCAAUAUUUUCAGGGCCAUCCCAUUACUGUGGUCAGCUCUGCCCCUUUAGGAGACAUCAUCCAAAACAGGGAGGCCACGGGCCGGGUCGCUAAGUGGGCCAUUGAGCUUGGACCUGACGGGUUAAAAUAUGUGCGUCGAACAGCCAUCAAAUCUCAGGCACUUGUGGAUUUCAUCAAUGAUUGGACAGAGUUGGAGGCGCCUGAGGAAAAACCGGAUAACACAUAUUGGACUAUUCACUUUGAUGGACCCAGACAGUUGGAGGGCUCGGGGGCUGGAGUUGUCUUAACUUCCCCACGAGGUGACAAAUUUUCUUAUGUUCUCCGGCUUAUGUUCCCUUGUACUAACAAUGCAGCUGAGUAUGAGGCCUUGCUCCAUGGUCUUCGGAUGGCUAAAGAGAUGAACUUAAGCCGGGUGAGGUGCUUUGGUGAUUCAGAUCUGGUGGCUCAGCAAGUUUCAGGUACUUGGGACUCUAAGGAUCCGCUUAUGGCGGCUUAUCGACGAGAGGUUGAUGGCAUUGCAGGUCACUUCAAGGGUUAUCAAGUUGAGCAUAUUGAUCGAAGGAAGAAUGAGGCGACUGACAACUUAAGUCGGCUAGGGUCUCAGCGUAAGCCGGUGCCGCCUAACACGUUCCUAGAUGUUUUACUCAACCCUUCGGUCAAAUUACCCACGGAGGAGGACCUUGCUAUCCCUGACCCGGAAGCACAGUUGGUGGCCGCUCUUCAUGUUAUUCCUGAUUGGACAAUGCCAUACUUGGCUUACAUGACCCGGGGUGAGUUGCCAGAGGAUGAGGUCUUGGCCAGGCAGAUAACUCGGUGGUCUAAGUCAAUGUCAAUUGUCAAUGGAGAAUUGCACCAUCGCAGUGUCACAGGGGCAUUUCAACGUUGCAUUUCUCCUGAAGAAGGCUGUGAGAUUCUGCGCGAGAUUCACGAAGGAGAUUGUGGUCAUCAUGCCGGCUCUAAAUCUCUCAUAGCCAAAGCCUUUCGUCACGGUUUUUAUUGGUUGAUGGCUCAUGCUGACGCGGAGGACUUGGUCAGCAAGUGUGACGGUUGUCAGAAGUUUUCACGACGAGCUCAUGUUCCGGCUCAAGAAUUGAGGAUGAUUCCAAUCACUUGGCCGUUUGCGACUUGGGGGCUUGAUAUGGUUGGGCCUUUCAAGAGGUCCAAGGAUAAGAAGACCCACCUUUUGGUGGCGGUUGAAAAAUUCACCAAGUGGGUGGAGGCAGAGCCGGUCAAUAGGUGUGAUGCAGCAACGGUGGUCCAAUUCAUGAAGAAGGUGAUCUUCCAUUUUGGCUUUCCACACGGUAUCAUAACAGAUAAUGGCACUAAUCUCUCUAAGGGUGCUAUGAAAUAAUUUUGUCGACAGGAGCAUAUCCGGCUUGACGUUUCCUCUGUGGCCCACCCUCAGUCCAAUGGUCAGGCGGAACGGGCAAAUCAAGAGAUCCUGCGAGGUAUCAAGCCCUGGCUUAUGGUUCCUUUGCAGCGAACGCCGGGUUGUUGGGUCGAGGAAUUACCCUCCGUGUUAUGGAGCAUUAAUACGACCCCCAACCGUUCUAUGGGUUAUACGCCUUUCUUCAUGGUUUAUGGAGCAGAGGCGGUUCUCCCUAGUGACAUCCGUCACGAUUCACCUCGGGUGGCGACUUAUGUUGAAGCGGACAAUGAAAAGGCACGUCAAGAGGCGCUUGACCUGUUAAUGAGGAGCGUGACCUUGCGGCGGCUCGUUCGAUGAUUUACCAGCAAGAUUUACGUCGUUAUCACAGCCGCCGGGUCAAAUCCAGAACUUUUCAAGAAGGCGACUUAGUGCUCCGGCUCAUCCAAGACCAAACAGAUAUGCACAAGCUCUCGCCGCCCUGGGAAGGAUCGUUUGUGGUCAGCAAGAAUCUGCAUAAUGGGUCAUAUUAUCUUAUCGACGUUCGAGAACACAAGGAUUCACGUAAGUCGGAGGAGGAGACCCAUCGGCCGUGGAAUAUCGCUCAUGUUCGGCCCUACUAUACUUGAGCCACCGGCUCUCAUGAUGUACAUAGUUUGAUGAUGUAUAUAUUAUAAACAGUUUUAAUAAAGCCGGCAUCCCUGAUAAUUCAGGGCCUCUGUCGUUUCACUUCCUCGAAGUUGAGUCUUUAUCAUCAUCUUACAUAUUCAUUUAAGCGGCUUUUAUGCAUAACAAAAGGGGACCAAAGAGAGUUCGAUGCGUGGCACAACUCAAACAUAGGUCCCUGAUGAGUCCGGCUCAUUUAUAUGAUCACUUGGGGGCUUCCUGCUCAUCGAUCAUAGCUGUCAGUACCCUCUUGAUCGGCGCAAUGCCAAAACUUAUAUGUUCACUUGGGGUUUCCUGCUCAUCGAGCAUAGCUAUCAGUACCCUCUUGAUCGGCGCAAUGCCAAAACUUAUAUGAUCACUUGGGGGCUUCCUGCUCAUCGAGCAUAGCUAUCAGUACCCUCUUGAUCGGCUCAAUGCCACACUUGUAAGUAUGUCACUUGGGGGCUUCCUGUUCAAACAUAGGCGUAUUCGACCAAAGAGAACAUAGCGUUACUACCCUCUUGACCAGGUUUGUUCAAACAUAGGCGUAUUCGACCAAAGAGAACAAACUCUGACCGGGUCAUCCUACCUGAACACCGGCUGCUUCAACUCCAUCAGGUCAUCCUGAUUGACCCGCCAAACUCUUAACGAUCAGUCUUUACGGCGUAUUCGACCAAGAUCUGAGCUCGGUUAAGGUUCAAACGGCGGUUUGUCAUGUGAGAGCACGAUGUAAAGAUAGUCAGGAUGGAUCCAGGCUUCAUAAGCCGCCUUCCUUGGAACUUGGAUAAAUCGGCCCAUAAUACUGUUACUCUGGCCCCGCAUACUCCUGAUAAGUCUUUGAGCAAGACCAGAGUUUAUCGAGGGUUCAAAUGUCGAUUGGGCACACUGUGAGUCAGGAUUACGGCAGCACGAAUAAUCCAGUGGCUCAGGCUAGUUUCAUUGAAGAAGACACUUUUUGGCUUGGCAGCCCACAAAAGCCUCAAAUUUUCUUUUGAUGUUUUCCUAUUCGAAGAUUUCUUCUUCUUUGGCUUCUACUUUAGCAAGUCGGGCCCAGCUGCCCUAUAUACGGCUCAUAUUUGAAGCAUUUUCUGGGUUUCAAUAACCCGCCAAGGUGGCAGAUUCUAAAUCGCCAGCAUAUCAUGACUCCUAUGUCGAGCGUUACCACUUCUCAACCUCUAAAUACACGAAGCUGGUAAGCCGGCAAGAUUAAACCCAUGCUACUUGUAACGCCCACGAUGUGGCUAUAUCUCCCACGUGUCGAGGCACGACUUAGAGGCAUAACCGCAUAGUGGUUUUGUCGCAAGAAGGGUCAUCUUCACACAAUCCCAUGUAAUGAACAAGAAUGGGAUAAAGAGUUGGCUUACAAUCGCCACUUCACACAAUACAUAAAUAUCACUCAUACAUCAUCCAAAAUACAAUCAUUUAGACCGACUACGGUCAAAAUCCAGAUGAAAAAUAAGACAACCCCAAAUGCUAGAUCCCCGAUCGUCCCAAAUGGGCUCCACUACUGAUCAUCAGGAAAAGACACAUAGUAACGACCACGUUCCUCGUCGAACUCCCACUUGAGAUCGACGCCAUCGUCUGCACUGGCAUCGUCGGCACCUGCAACUGUUUUGGUAGAAUCUGUGAGUCACGGGGACUCAGCAAUCUCACACCCGCGAGAUCAAGACUAUUUAAGCUUAUAGAAAAGGGAGGUGCAAUGAGGUGGAGCUGCAGCGGCAAAAGCAUAUAUGGUGGCUAACUAGCGCAAAUGAGAGCGAGAAGAGAAGCAAUGGAGCGGACGUCAUCUAGCAAUGACCCAGAAGAGAUCCUGAACACCUACUUACGUCAUACAUAACACAGACCGUGUUCACUUCCCGGACUCCGCCGAGAAGAGACCAUCACGGUUACACACGCACUUGGUGUAUUUUACUUGGGUCAAGUGACAAGUUAUCUACAACCGGACAUUAACAAAAUUCCCAUCUGCCUCAUAACCGCGGGCACGGCUUUCGAAAGAUAAUACCCUGCAGGGGUGUCCCAACUUAGCCCAUCAUAAGCUCUCACGGUCAACGAAGGAUAAACCUUCCCCCGGAAAGACCCGAUCAGUCUCGGAAUCCCGGUUUACAAGACAUCUCGACAAUGGUAAAACAAGACCAGCAAAGCCGCCCGAAUGUGCCGACAAAUCCCGAUAGGAGCUGCACAUAUCUCAUUCUCAGGGCACACCGGAUUGUCCAAGCUUCUGAUAGGUCAGACCAGAGUUGCCCCUGGUGGCCACCGGCGACUGACAGUUUGGACCAAUACUCAGAGGAGCACUGGCCCGGGGGUUUAAAAUAAAGAUGACCCUCGGGCUCUAGAAAACCCGGGGGAAAAAGGUAUAGGUCGCAAAUGGUAAAACCAAGGUUGGGCCUUGCUGGAGGAGUUUUAUUCAAGGCGAACUGUCAAGGGGGUCCCAUAAAUCACCCGACCGCGUAAGGAACGCAAACUCAAGGAACAUAAUCCCGGUAUAACAGUAACUAGGGCGGCAAGAGUGGAACAAAACACCAGGCAUAAGGCCGAGCCUUCCACCCUUUACCAAAAUAUAUAGAUGCAUUAAUUAAAUAAGAGAUAUUGUGAUAUCCCAACAUAUCCAUGUUCCGACAUGGAACAAACUUCAACUUCACCUGCAACUAGCAACGCUAUAAGAGGGGCUGAGCAAAAGCGGUAACAUAGCCAAACAACGGUUUGCUAGGAGAGGAUGGUUAGAGGCUGACAUGGCUAAUAUGGGAGACAUGAUAUAGCAAGUGAUAGGUAGCGAGCAUGGCAAUAGAGCGAACAACUAACAUAGCAAAGAUAGAAGUGAUUUCGAGGGGUGGUCAUCUUGCCUGCAAGAUUCUCAGAGUUGUCGAAAGCUUGAUCCUCGUAAGCGUACUCGACAGGUUCCUCGUUCACGAACUCGUCUCCCGGCUCUACCCAAGACAAGAGCACAAACAAAUGGAACCACAAUCAACAACGAGAAAUGCGCAAACAACAUGAUGCAAAAACAUGUAUGAUAUGCAAGAUAUGAUAUGCGAUGCAUAUGCGUGCUCCGGAAGGAAAAUGAUGAACAUGGCAGUAACUUGGCAAACCAAGCAUGCCACUGGAAAGAUGAGAUGAUUUCGGUCGAAAUCGAUAUAAAGAUCACCGGAAUCGGAUGCACGGUUUGCAAAUGGCAAGCAAAACAAGGAUGACACUAAUCUGCGGUAAACAGCAAGAUAGCACUUGAAAUGCAACAAGCAACAAUGCUACAGCACCCCAACAUAGCAACAAAGCACAUGGCAGUAAUCUACAGGAGAUGCUUGACAAAAGAUGAACACUGAGUUACGGCUAGUUCACAACAUAUCAAGCUCAAACAAGCAUGGCAAAAGUGCAAAAGAUUACAGGUUCACAGACUUGGUGAAAAACUGGACAUGGCAGAAAACAGCAUCAGGUAGCAAUGUUCAGAGCACGAAAUCAACAUGCUACAGGAACUUAACAUAGCAAAACAAGGCAUGGUAUUGUUCUACUAAAUGCACAUGACAAAAGUCCCUUACCGACCAUAAGCCAAAAAGGACCAGAAGAUAUGAUGGCAAGCAUGUAAACAUAGCAAGUUUCGUUAUCAGGUUUCAGACUUAGCAGAAAACAGAGCAUGGCAGAAAUAUUAAUAUGUAGGCCUCUUUGUGAGCUUGAUGCACUCAUUACAGAGCAAUGCAUGACAAACCAAGCAUACCUACAGCAAGAUGGCAUGUUUAUGAAGCUAACCAUGGCAAGAACAAUUGCAUAGCAUGUAAGGAUCAACUACAAUAACCUUGGCGAAAAUGCAUGUCAUGUUAAGAAUCUGCCAGAAAUAUUUUAUAGCAAAAGUAGAGUAAGAUUGAGUCAUGCUAUGGCACUCCAUAAUUGCAAACAAUUGCAGGAAUGGAUCAAUUACAACUAUAGCUACAAAAUAUCCUUACUGAACAUCUCCAAAAUAUGCAUGGAUCUCUCUGUAGCAUCAAGUUUACAUGGCAACAAAAUUACAGCAGACAAGGACUUAGAGAAAUCACUAAGUCCCUGAAAUCAGAAAUAUUACGGGGCCUACUUUGCAUGCUUGUGCUAGUCACCACAGAGAUCACAAAAAUACAUGGACUACACCACUACGAGAUGUCUUUUCAGAAGAGCUUCCGGGUAUGCCUCCGCACCGGCCAGUUGAGUUCGUUAUCGAACUAGAGCCUGGUACUGUACCUGUUUGCAAGCGUCCAUACAAGCUUGGACCUAACGAGUUGAAGGAAUUGAAGAAGCAGCUCGAUGAAUAAGAACGUCUGGGUUUGAUCAGACCGAGUUCUUCUCCAUGGGGUUGUGGUGUUUUUUUUUGUCAAGAAGAAGGAUGGCACGGACCGACUUUGUGUCGACUACCGUCCAUUGAACAAGAAGACAAUCAAGAACAAGUAUCCACUUCCCAACAUCAAUGAGCUAUUUGAGCAACUCAAAGGUGCUAAAGUUUUCUCGAAGCUUGACCUUCGUAUGGGUUAUCAUCAGAUUCGCAUUCGUGAAGAAGAUAUUCCCAAGACAGCAUUCAGAACAAGCUUUGGUUCUUAUGAAUAUACUGUUGUGUCUUUCAGCCUUGUCAAUGCUCCUCCGGUGUUCUCUCGGAUGAUGAAUUUCAUCUUCAACCCCUAUACCAAUGAAUUCGUUCUGGUGUAUCUCGAUGAUAUCUUGGUCUUCUCCAAGAAUAAGCAGAAUCAUGCCAAACAUUUGCGAUUGGUGCUCGACAAGCUCAGAGAGUAUCAAUUCUAUGCAAAGUUCUCCAAAUGUGAGUUUUGGCUCGAUGAAGUUCUUUUCCUUGGUCACAUCAUCUCUGCCAAAGGCAUCGCUGUUAAUCCCGAGAAGGUGUCCGCAGUUCUGGAUUGGGAACCUCCUCAAAAUGUCAAGCAGCUCCGCAGUUUUCUGGGUCUUGCAAGCUAUUGCCGAAGAUUCGUUGAGAAUUUCUCCAAGAUUGCAAAGCCUCUUUCCAACCUCCUACAGAAGCAUGUGAAGUAUGUCUGGUCUCCUGAGUGUGACGUUGCUUUCAACACUCUCAAACAGAAACUAGUCACAGCUCCUUUCUUGACUCCUCCUGAUGAAUCCAAGCCGUAUGAAGUUUUCUGUGAUGCUUCUCUCCAAGGUCUCGGUGCUGUGUUAAUGCAAGAGAAGAAAGUUGUGGCCUAUACCUCUCGGCAGUUGAAGCCCAACGAGAAGAACUACCCCACUCACGAUCUUGAGUUGGCGGCAGUUGUCCAUGCAUUGGUUACGUGGAGACAUCUCUUGUUGGGAAGACAAGUGGACUUUUUCACCGAUCACAAGAGUCUCAAGUAUAUCUUCACGCAGCCAAACCUCAACCUCAGGUAGACUCGAUGGGUCGAAAUGAUUAAAGAGUACAAUCCGAGUAUCGAAUAUAUUCCAGGCAAAGCAAAUGUCAUUGCAGAUGCUUUAAGCAGGAAAGCUUAUUGCAACAGCUUAAUUCUCAAGCCUUUCCAACCGGAUCUUUGUGAAGCUUUCCGCAAGCUGAACCUCCAAGUUGUUCCUCAAGGCGUUCUUGCCAACCUCAUUGUAUCUCCUACUUUGGAAGAUCAAAUUCGUGAGGCACAACUCCUUGAUGCCAUGGUGAAGAAGGUGAAACGUGGUAUCGACAAGGGUCUUUCCAAAUACAAGUGCUAUCACAUUGAUGACAGAGACACUUUGUUCUUCGAGGACCGGAUUGUGGUUCCGAAAGGUGAUUUAAGGAAAGUCAUAAUGAACGAAGCACACAAUUCUCUCCUUUCCAUUCAUCCUGGAAGUACGAAGAUGUAUCAUGACCUCAAGCAGUCGUAUUGGUGAAGUUGAAGUUUGUUCCAUGUCGGAACAUGGAUAUGUUGGGAUAUCACAAUAUCUCUUAUUUAAUUAAUGCAUCUAUAUAUUUUGGUAAAGGGUGGAAGGCUCGGCCUUAUGCCUGGUGUUUUGUUCCACUCUUGCCGCCCUAGUUACUGUUAUACCGGGAUUAUGUUCCUUGAGUUUGCGUUCCUUACGCGGUCGGGUGAUUUAUGGGACCCCCUUGAUAGUUCGCCUUGAAUAAAACUCCUCCAGCAAGGCCCAACCUUGGUUUUACCAUUUGCGACCUAUACCUUUUUCCCCCGGGUUUUCUAGAGCCCGAGGGUCAUCUUUAUUUUAAACCCCCGGGCCAGUGCUCCUCUGAGUAUUGGUCCAAACUGUCAGUCGCCGGUGGCCACCAGGGGCAACUCUGGUCUGAGCUAUCGGAAGCUUGGACAAUCCGGUGUGCCCUGAGAACGAGAUAUGUGCAGCUCCUAUCGGGAUUUGUCGGCACAUUCGGGCGGCUUUGCUGGUCUUUUUUUACCAUUGUCGAGAUGUCUUGUAAACCGGGAUUCCGAGACUGAUCGGGUCUUUUCGGGAGAAGGUUUAUCCUUCGUUGACCGUGAGAGCUUAUGAUGGGCUAAGUUGGGACACCCCUGCAGGGUAUUAUCUUUCGAAAGCCGUGGCCGCGGUUAUGAGGCAGAUGGGAAUUUUGUUAAUGUCCGGUUGUAGAUAACUUGUCACUUGACCCAAGUAAAAUACACCAAAUGCGUGUGUAACCGUGAUGGUCUCUUCUCGGCGGAGUCCGAGAAGUGAACACGGUCUGUGUUAUGUAUGACGUAAGUAGGUGUUCAGGAUCUCUUCUGGGUCAUUGCUAGAUGACGUCCGCUCCAUUGCUUCUCUUCUCGCUCUCAUUUGCGCUAGUUAUCCACCAUAUAUGCUUUUGCCGCUGCAGCUCCACCUCAUUGCACCUCCCUUUUCUAUAAGCUUAAACAGUCUUGAUCUCGCGGGUGUGAGAUUGCUGAGUCCCCGUGACUCACAGAUUCUACCAAAACAGUUGCAGGUGCCGACGAUGCCAGUGCAGACGAUGGCGUCGAUCUCAAGUGGGAGUUCGACGAGGAACGUGGUCGUUACUAUGUGUCUUUUCCUGAUGAUCAGUAGUGGAGCCCAGUUGGGACGAUCGGGGAUCUAGCAUUUGGGGUUGUCUUAUUUUUCAUCUGGAUUUUGACCGUAGUCGGUCUAAAUGAUUGUAUUUUGGAUGAUGUAUGAAUGAUAUUUAUGUAUUGUGUGAAGUGGCGAUUGUAAGCCAACUCUUUAUCCCAUUCUUGUUCAUUACAUGGGAUUGUGUGAAGAUGACCCUUCUUGCGACAAAACCACUAUGCGGUUAUGCCUCUAAGUCGUGCCUCGACACGUGGGAGAUAUAGCCGCAUCGUGGGCGUUACACUACUGGUAUGGUAUUUUAUCAGGUUAAAUUUUAUAGUCAGAUCAGCCCUGGCUUUGGAUUACGCGUCCCCAGUGGUUUAUUUGGGUAUCAUGACCCGCCUGGCGGUACACCGCCACGGUGUUUGUACUUUCUUUCUGUGCAGGACACUAAUUAUUCAGAUCUGCAUAAGCCAAAGAAUAUCAUAACCAUCGUGGUUUUUAAACCGAUGGAUUAGCAGUUUUUGUACAAAGGAUAGAAACGUGCAUGAUGGCACGACAGACUUAAGGGUUUUGCUACCCUAUUACAUGGCCUCAUAAGCCGAGCGGGAUCAAAUGUUUUUCAAACAAGUCAAAGGUGUAAGCCACCCUGGCGGUUCAUUCUUCUUCGCCUUGAUGCUGAGAGGCUUCUGGGUCAUCCCUCUCAGGUUCUUUGUCCUCGGCCUGAAAGUUUGGUGUUGACCAAUCGAUGCCAGACAAAGCUUGAAAUUCAGCUUCUUCAUUUAUAAGACCAGGCGUUUCAACUUCAGGGGUAAAGGUGUGCUUAAGAAUUGGAGGGAUCAAGCCAGUCACUUUAUAAGCCGGAGUCGGCAUCUUCUGAUUCUCCUUGUUAUAAGCCGGAUGAUACUUCGCAAGAUCAGAAUCAUUGGCAAUCAGCGUUGCCGUUGGACGAAUUUAUUUUACGCAAGCCGCAAAGUCCUUCUGAUCAAACGGGGUGCCAUCUUCUUUCAAACUUGGAUAUCCAGUAGCUACCUCGGACGGGUCAAGCUCUGGUACCCAUGCUUUGGCUCGGCUCAAAGCCGUCACGGCACCGGCUCUUGCUGAUGACCGUUUCAUCUCAUCAAAUUUGGCAGGCAGUACAGAGAGUUUCUUCAACACAUCUAUCAGCAUAGUCGGUGUUUGGCUUGAUGGCGCAACUGCGGCUAGUGCACGUUGAGCUCCGGUGUAUAAUUGCUCAACCAAUGUAUAGACAACUUUCAACUUCACAAGCAUGUCUUGAUUCAGGUUGCUGCUUCUGGGACCUGGACAUAUCAAAGGCUGGUUCAAUGGCGGGUUAUAUGAUUACAACACAUAUUCACUUUUGAUGACUAGCAAGGCGGCUUACCAAAGAUAGCAGAAACCAUCUGAGAGACACGGUGCUUUAAACUGGUGAGCUCCACGGUCACAUCUUGAAGCGCUGCUUCUGCCUUCUCAGCCCGUUGUGUUAAAGCAAGUUUUUCUGCAGCCCAAGUUUUCUUCUCCGCCUCAAAACUGGUCUUCAGUUUUUCCGACUCAGACACGCUAAAUUGGAACUUUGACUCAGCUUUCCGGAUCUCAGUUUCCUGAGUCGCCAGCUGGGUCUUUGCAUCAUUUAACUGAGCUUCCAGUUCAGCAGUAGCAGCCUGUGUGAUGUACAGAAUUGUCAACAUUUCUAUCAAGAGUACAAGCAUACAAGUCUCAUGUCUUUUUGCAAGCAACAACACUUGACACUUGGGGGCUAAUGUCUAUCAAAGAAUUUUUUAAGGAAGUGGCUCUUAUAACUAAAGUCCCAAGCACUUUGCAAGCAAGACUACUUGGCACUUGGGGGCUAAUGCAUAUCGCUUGUAUCUUCUUCAUAAUGAGGCGGAUGUGCUGUAAACGGUCCUAGACGGCUCAUGGGGGGCUACACAGUUAAGCUCUCGUUUCUUUCACAAGAUAAAUAGGACCGGUUCAUUCAUUCUGGUUAAACCGGCCCUUGGGGAUUAUAGAUGCAAAGUUAAAGCUACUUAAACAGCCGGUUUACAUUUAAACCGGACAAGAGGGGAUUCUAGGGCAGAAGUUUAUGGAUUCUUUUAAGUCUACAACCUAUUCAAUCUUAUCAUAACCAGUAGACUUGGGGGCUGUCAGAUAUGCAUAUAAUAUUCAAAAUUGGAAGGCAUACCUCAUAUUUUUGGUGCAUUUGUUUCACCAUAUCAACUUCAAGCUCACGGAUGGAGUGUACUUGGCUGAGAUAACCAGAGAAGAUCUCACUGCUGCUCAAAUGUGCAUAAUGAGAGACGUCAAAUUUCGUCUUCCGCCUUUCAAUGACCUCCUGUUUAGUAGUAUGCUUGGCUAGAGCUAUGGGGUUUCCUGGUUCUACGAAGCUGGAGCCAGUAAUCAAUAUAUCAUCAUUUUGAGUCUCUGGCGGCUUAAGUGAGCUUGAUGGUGUAUGAUCUGAAGGAAUAACAGCGGGGUCAUCAACGCAGAGAUCCGGAAUCUCAGGCGGAGUGUCAGUGACAGUUUCUUCCGGCUGUUUUUCAGAUGCUUCAGGGGCAGGGGUUUGUUUUUCCGGAUCAGAAAUUUCUGGCGUUUCAGUUGGCUUGGUCACCUUCGCCUUUUUAUUAGGCUUUGCUUGUCCACUGCAUGGGUUAUGACAAGUCAGUAUAACUAUCAGAACAUAGUAAGAUGCAGAAGAAGUGAUUAUUAUUACCCAGGGGCAGUCUUGAAAGCCGGCAGUUCAGUUUGUGAUGAGUUGCCAGAGGAGGACCGGGCAAGUUCCUGGUCAAUUGAAUCAAUAGGGUUAAAAGAAAGACAGAUAAGACUUGCCACCGGGUAAAAAGGAGUUUAAAUUAAAAGGUACCUCGUUUCAACGUUUGCGAGGAGCAGGGGUGUUCGGUAAGCCGGAGGACAGUUCUUCACCUCCACUGGUCUGGGUUUGACGACGGGUCUCGUGUUGCUAUUGCUUCAAAAGAAAGUGAGGAUCCAAAUAAGCCAAGGGGUGUCAAAACCUUACUUUCCAGGUUACUUGUCAAAGUUUCGGUCUUGGCAAAGAGUCUGAGCCGGAGGAAAUGAUAGUUACCUCUUCUUCAAUUGCUUGGCUGGCUCCCGUGUCAUCCUGAGAGUAAUCAAUGUCAAUAAGAUGAUUGAAAAAAGAGCCAAGGGAGUCAAGGGCUACCUCCGACUCAGAGGUGUCAUCCAGCUUAAGCAUAUCAGAGGCGCUUGUUUUCUUCUUCUUCUUGGUGGUCUUCUUGGCGGCUUUUCUGGCGGCUUUUUUGGCAGCCCUGGCCUUCUUAGCAGCUUCAUGAUCGUACUCCGUUUUCCAAAAAUCCGACUUAGCCUGCAAAGGUUGUUAAGGGUUGAAUUAGUAAUAUAUUUGAAUGAUGAGGUUAAAGCAAGUAAACUCAGGGACUCACAUCUGGUGAAGGAUUAAGUUUACAGAAAGGGGGUAGACCCACUUUAACACAAUCCUCCGGGUCUUCAUUCAGAAGAGAUUUAAUCAUUUCAUUCACUUGGUCAUCAGUUAAUGGAACGGAGGUAUGACGCAAUGAAUCCGUUGCAUCACCAGAGUAAGUGCACAUUAAGCUGGUGCGGCUUAAGGGUAUGAUCCGCCACGAAACCCAACACCUGACCAGAUCAACGCCAGUUAAACCGUUCCCCAGCAAAGCUUUAACCUUCACAAUGGUAGGAGCAAUUUUCUUCCAUUCAGCAGCAGUGAGCUUUUCAGGAAGAUUGUGCUUUGGGUCUAAGCGCUCGACACGGUAACCCGAUAGUGGAUUUUCAUCAGCCGGAGAAGUAUCCUUGCAAUAAAACCAUGUUUGAUUCCAAUCCUUGGGGUGACUGGGCAAGCAGGCAUAAGGGAAAAUGGCAUCUCUUCUGCGUUGAAUUGAGAUCCCACCAAGCUCUAGGCUGGGUCCGUUGGUAUAUUCAGUCUGGCGGUUCAAGUAAAAGUAUUCCCUAAAGAGAUCGAUGCUGGGCUCCUCUUGAAGAUAUACUUCACAAAAGACUUGAAAGUUACAAAUAUUGGACACGGAGUUGGGUCCGAUAUCCUGAGGAUGGAGUUGGAAAAUGUGCAGAACGUCCCGGAAGAAUUUUGAGCCGGGUGGUGAGAAGCCCCGGCUCAUGUGAUCAGUGAAAACAAUAACUUCGCCGUCCUUCGGAUGAGGUUUUUCUUCACCCGGGUCAGGAGUACGGUAAUGUAUCACAUUCUUGGUGGGCAGGUACCCCACUUUGACAAAAUACUUAAAUGUGCCCUCCGUAACAAUGGAAGGGACCCAAUUGCAUCUAUAAACUGUCUUUGGCGGCAUGGUGAACAGGACAAAGCCUAAUGGAAAGGAAAUGUUGGCCGGUUUAAAUCAGUUGGUGAAAACACAAGUUAACAAGUUACAACGUAUGAUCAGUAUGGCGGCUUAAGUAAGGGCUAAUGAUAUAUGAGUAAAUGUAAGCCGGCGAGGUAAGCCGCCAUGACCAGCAUGGGUGUUCAAGAUCUGACCAGAGCAAAAUUUUACUAAGUAUUGGGACAAACAGGUUUCACAGAUUAAAGUUAUAAGUUUGGAUCUAUCGCUGCUUGCAAAAAGGAAAUAUAUUCUAAACCUAAGGUGGCGGCGGCAGAAAAAUGAGGGUGCCCAGAUCAGAUCUAUCGUGAUAAGGAUAUGUUUUAGUAUUGAAAAUAGGUGCUAAAAACUGCUACCGCACAAGGCCUAUGAUCUUUCCAGAUUAAAACUACACUAUCUACUAAGAAGGAAGGGGAGCGGUGAUGAACUCCGAUGAACACUGAAACCCUAAUGGUAGAUCUAUGGCGAGGAGAAGGAAGACUUACUUGUGCGGAUGGAACGAUGGUGAGGUACUGCAGGACUCUGGUUCGUUCAGGGUGAUGCAGCGGCCAGGGUUGACGAAGGCGGAGAAGGUCGACGAUGGCAGAGCUCGGGUGUACUGCUGCAUCGCGAGGAAGAAGAAGAAAGCAAGACAGAGAAGGGGGAGAAUGAGAAAGUGGGCUCGAGGCCCUAUUUAUAAAGCCAGAAGGAUAAAAGGGAGGCGCGAGAAUCGAGGAGACAGAAAAUGGAUAAAUAACGGCGUGGGCGCCUCGAUUUUCAGAAGGGUCAGUACAGAAAGAGAUUUACGAAGAUUUGAGUUCUGUAAAGUAUUAAUUGCAGGUGACGUCACGGUGGGUUACCACAAUUUCUGGAGAUGACGUCAUGGCGGUUUACAGUAUUUCACCGUAAGAUGAAGAAGGAUUUUUCUAAAUAUGAAGAUUGACAUGAACAAGUUCAAAUCAACCUGGGGCCUAAUGUUGGGGAUAUGACUAUCAGGUAUGACCCGCCUAGAGGAGCCGGGUCAUCCUAUGGCGGUUCAUCUCAAUGAAGCCCAGGAGCAUAUUAAGAUGGCGGUUCAUAGACAGGCCAGUUAGAGGGCCUAAAGCCAAAGGCGGCUCAUAGGCCCACAAAUAUAAACCGCCAUGUAUAUGUAAGCUUGUAUUGUAAGGUAUGUAAGAUAAGUCACCGAGACGGACACGUUGUAUGAGCCGGCCGGGACUCUGCAGGCCGCAGGGCGUCAACCCGUGUAUAUAAGGGGACGACCCGGUAGCGGCUUAGGGAAAGAGACAACAGAUCGAGAACCAGGCAAAGCAUGUUCGCUCCCUGGUCAUCGAAACCCUAGCAAUACCACCUCAAACUAGAUUAGGCCUUUACCUUCACCGCAAGGGGCCGAACUAGUAUAAACUCUUCGUAUCCUUUGUCCCGUUUUAACCCCUUUAAGUGGAGGGCUGGAUGAAUAGGACCCCGUGGAGGGCUGGAUGAACAGUAGCCCGUGGAGGGGUGGUUGAACAGGACCCCGUGGAGAGGGCUGGUUGAACAGUAGCCGGUGGAGGAGCGGUGGAGGCUGGAUGAACAGGAGCCCGUGGAUGAACAGUCGCAGGUGGAGGCUGGAGGAGGUCGACGGUGGAUGAACAGUGGCCCGUGGAGGCUGGAGGAGGUUGACGGUGGAGAUGAACAGUGGCCCGUGGAGUCCCGUUUUGCGGUACGCCACACCCCUCAUGAUGAACAGGACCCCCGUUUCGACCGUACUCCAACACAAGUCCGUUUCCUCCGUCUUGCGGUAUGCCACACCCCUCCCGAUCAACAGGAUCCCGUUUCGACCGUAGGAGGUCGAAGAGAAGUCCGUUUCCUCCCUUUUGUGGUACGCCACACCCCUCCCGGUGAACAGGAUCUCGUUUCGAUCAUAGGCGGUCGAACACAAGGCUGUUUCCCCCGUUCUGCGGUACGCCAGGCCUUCUGUUCCGUCCAAGCUGGUUGGCUCCCAAUGAACACGGUGCAUUCCGUUGCCUCCCGGUGAACACGACGACGCGGUUUCUUCGUUCCAACCCAGCCAUGUACACGAGCCCUGGCUGUACGUAUGCGCGAGUAGGCGUUCGAGACCCCGCCCGUAUGUACGUACGUGGCCGUAUUUACUUUCUUGCACCCUGGCUGUACGUACGUGUACAUGAUAUUAAUGGGACUGCGUGACAUGCUACGUGCGCGCCUCUACUACGACACGUGCCCUUCCUUACUCGGCCACGGUUCAUCGCUGCAGCCUGCAGACAGACCGAUCGACCAAUAUGUAUGUACACGUUCGCGACCAGAAUGACAACGCUACGUACGCUUCGACCAGGUGGGUCCAGACUAUCAGGGAGGAUAAGGAGGCACUUCCUUGCAUGCGAAGAUGUAGCUGGUGGGUCCCAGCAGUCAGGGGGGAAACUUUUUUUUGCGCAAUACGGUGGCCCGUUCGGUGGGUCCCUGCCAUCAAGUGGAGGAAUCAUUAUUUUGCGCAUAAUAAGGAGGCACUUCCUUGCUGCGGCCGUGGACCCAGCUGUCGGCCUCUCCAUGUACAGUACUCUUCCAAUGGAAGUCGUUCCUUGACCACAAUGACCAUGCCGUGCCGAGAGCACCAAGGCGGUGGUGUAGCGACCAGACCUCAAAUGGUCUGUGCUGCUGUGCACCAGUGUCAUCCCUGGAUCAGUAAUGCUGGCACGCACAGUACAAAUGGAGGAUUUAUAACAGAGUAGCAAUCACACACUUAUUACACCGAAUAUCUCCGAAGAGAUUAAGUAUGAUAAACAUGGCUUAAGGCCAUCUAAUAACGGUAACAGCGGAAGACUUGGAAGAUAAGUGAGUCCAUCAACUCCAGCGGCAUCACUGAGUAUAAGACCACGACCUAAGGCACCUUACUCGUCGUCUGAAAAGUCUGCAACAUGAAACAUUGCAGCCCGAAAACGGGUCAGCACAUAGAAUAUGCUGGCAAAGUAACACAUAGAGGAUAAUGAACAAUAACAAGGCUAUACUACAUGCAUAUAAGGCUGGUGGAAAGCUCUAUGGUUACAGUUUUUGCAGAAAGCAAAUUUUUCCCUACUGCAAAGGAAUAAAUUUUAUUUAACUAUCAUGGUGGUUGUUAAACAUUGAGAAGGUACCUCCAACUCAAUCCCAAUUAAGUGUCAUCAUUAACCCAACAAAAUUAAUUAAAAGUAACAUGGUGAUGAGAUUCAAAUGAUAAUCCAGGUACUAGAUACUCAAGUUGUCCAUAACCGGGGACACGACUAACCAUGAUUAGUUUGUACACUCUGCAGAGGUUUGCGCACUUUUCCCCACAAGACUCGAUCGCCUCCGCUUGAUUCUCGCACUGCAUGGUGUUUGAGAAACGGAUGACCGAGACACAGUCUUUCAGAAACAAUCACUCUUUACUCUGGAUGGACCGGUACACCUACUUUCCCCUACAUCUGCUAGCCCACCUCUUCAAGAGAUCAUGUAACCUACUCAACUAUGCUAGAGCCCAUAAUAGCUUGUGGCUGCACACGGAAGUUUCUAGCAUGAAUAAUCUUAUGAUCCCUUUGAGCCUGGGUGGCGGACCUUAUAAAAUCAGACAACACUGGGUUCUCCAGGUGCCUCAAUCCACCCAGAUGUGAGUUUUAGUUGCUACCUUAAGUUGAACCAUUAUUAACAAUCUCAAAUCUGUCAUGAAUAUCUCUCAAACCCAAUCCACGUCUACGAGCAUAGCAUGGCAAUAUAAUAGCAACGUAGAAGUAACUCCCAAGGGUUUGAUAAGAAAACAGGUAAUAGGUACUACCUCAACUACUUCCCAGUUCCCACAAUUUAAUCAGAUCCUAACCAUGCAAUUGUUUGAGGAAUAGAUCUAAUGCAAUAAAACAGGGUAUGGAAAGUAUGAUCAAAGUGUUAUUUGCCUUGCUGAUGAUCCGCAAAACCUAGCGAUUCGAAGUAACAAGCGGCACACUCCGGGUACUCUAUCGCAAACAAACAAGCAUACAAUCAGUACUCAUCUAAUGCACCGGUAAAACUCGAAUGAAAGAUCCAACCAGAAAGUUCAACUUAAGAACUCCGGUUUGCAAAAAGAAUCAACUCGAAAGAAGCAACGAAAGUCAAACGGUGAAAGAAACAAGCUUCGUUUACUAAUCUGGAUCUAGGUCAAAUUUUAUAGUAGCAAAAACUUGUUUGAGUAGGUUAAACGGAAAGAGAAUUUCGAGAAGAAACUCUAGGCGCUUGAAUCGCCUGAUUCCGAUAAACGAGCGAGAAGUUAAACAGAAACGAAGAUUUGAUCAGAAAUCGAAUCUGAGAUAAUCGCAGAAAAAUCCGACGAAAAAGAAAAAUGGACGAACGGUUAAAGAACGGACGUUCGUUAACAGAGAAAAACCGACGAACGCGUUCGUUAAAACGAACGGUUCGGUGAACGCUCGCAAAAUAACAAAACCGAAAAAAAACCAAUCUAGGUUUUUUUUUAAACGAACGGUUUUUUUUUAAAGAAAACCAGCAACGAACGGGGCAGUACCUCGUCGGGGGCGGGGCUCCNNNNNNNNNNNNNNNNNNNNNNNNNNNNNNNNNNNNNNNNNNNNNNNNNNNNNNNNNNNNNNNNNNNNNNNNNNNNNNNNNNNNNNNNNNNNNNNNNNNNNNNNNNNNNNNNNNNNNNNNNNNNNNNNNNNNNNNNNNNNNNNNNNNNNNNNNNNNNNNNNNNNNNNNNNNNNNNNNNNNNNNNNNNNNNNNNNNNNNNNNNNNNNNNNNNNNNNNNNNNNNNNNNNNNNNNNNNNNNNNNNNNNNNNNNNNNNNNNNNNNNNNNNNNNNNNNNNNNNNNNNNNNNNNNNNNNNNNNNNNNNNNNNNNNNNNNNNNNNNNNNNNNNNNNNNNNNNNNNNNNNNNNNNNNNNNNNNNNNNNNNNNNNNNNNNNNNNNNNNNNNNNNNNNNNNNNNNNNNNNNNNNNNNNNNNNNNNNNNNNNNNNNNNNNNNNNNNNNNNNNNNNNNNNNNNNNNNNNNNNNNNNNNNNNNNNNNNNNNNNNNNNNNNNNNNNNNNNNNNNNNNNNNNNNNNNNNNNNNNNNNNNNNNNNNNNNNNNNNNNNNNNNNNNNNNNNNNNNNNNNNNNNNNNNNNNNNNNNNNNNNNNNNNNNNNNNNNNNNNNNNGUGCGCGGCCUGGCGCGGCUGGUCUCGGCCCAGCGGGCGCGCGCAUUUUUUUUAAAACGUUCCGCGGAAAAUAAUUCGUAGAAAAAUACAUAAAAGUCCAAAAAAAAUAAAAAAAAAUUUCCCCGUCUAGUUAGAAAAUCUAGAAUAGGGUGAACAUUUUUUUAACACAAAAUAAAUUUUUGUAAACAUGCAAUAUUUUUAAUGCAAUAAAAUUUACCAAUAAAAUCCAAAUAAAUUCCAAUAAAUGAUUUUAACACUUUUCCUCCAGUAUUUCAAUUGUUUUGGAGAAGUCAUAUUUUCUCCUCUCGUUUAUUUUUAAAAUGAAAUAUUUUCUGGAGAGAAAAUAAUUAAAACCAAAAUCCUCGUCUUAUUAUUUGAUGAAAAUCAAAUAUGAAAAUUUGAGAAAAUCCCCAACUCUCUCCGAGGGUCCUUGAGUUGCUUAGGAUUUAUCGAGGAUUUGUCAAAAUGCAAUAAAAUAUGAUAUGCAAUGAUGAUCUAUGUAUAACAUACCAAAUUGAAAAUUUGGGAUGUUACAAACCUACCCCCCUUAAGAUGAAUCUCUCCCUCGAGAUUCGGGUUGGCUAGAAAACAGGUGGGAGUGGUCCUUCCGUAGAUCUUCCUCUCGCUCCCAGGUGGCUUCAUCUUCCGUGUGGUGACUCCACUGGACUUUGCAAAACUUGAUAACCUUGCUGCGGGUAACUCGGCUGGCAUACUCAAGAAUCUUAACUGGUUUCUCCUCAUAGGUCAAAUCACUUUCCAGCUGAAUCGCUUCCAGUGGCACGGUAUCUCUCAGUGGUAUCUCAGCCAUCUCUGCGUGGCACUUCUUCAACUGGGAGACGUGAAAUACAUCACGAACUCCAGACAAUCCUUCGGGCAAUUCCAACUUGUAGGCAACCUCUCCCAUAUGUUCCACAACUCUGUAUGGUCCGAUAAAACGGGGCGCUAACUUUCCCUUAACUCCAAAGCGCUUCACUCCUCGAAGUGGUGAUACUCGAAGAUACACUCGGUCUCCGACUUCGUGAACUGUCUCCUUUCGUUUAGAAUCAGCAUAACUCUUCUGCCUGGACUUGGCUACCUUGAGCCUGUCGCGAAUCAACGUUACUUUCUGUUCAGACUCCUUAAUCAAAUCUGGUCCAAACAACUGACGGUCUCCAACUUCGUCCCAUAACAACGGUGUUCUACACCUCCUUCCGUACAAAGCUUCGAAAGGGGCCAUCUUCAAACUGGUUUGAUAACUGUUGUUAUAUGAAAACUCUGCAUAUGGCAAAUUAUCGUCCCAACUAGAUCCAUAAUCUAGUGCACAAGCUCUCAACAUGUCCUCCAAAAUCUGGUUGACUCUCUCGGUCUAUCCAUCUGUCUGCGGGUGAAAAGCUGUACUAAAUUCCAGCCUGGUUCCCAAUGUUUCAUGUAACUGUUUCCAAAACUUCGAGGUAAAUUGGGUUCCUCUGUCUGAUACAAUGGUCCUCGGAACUCCAUGCAAACAUACGAUCCUGGUCAUGUAUAUCUUUGCCAACUUAGCACUGGUGUAAGUGGUCUUCACUGGAAUGAAAUGAGCCACUUUCGUCAAACGGUCGACUACAACCCAUAUCGAGUCACAGCCUGAACGAGUCCUGGGUAAUCUUGUGAUAAAAUCCAUGCCUAUUUUAUCCCACUUCCAUUCGGGUAUUGGCAACGGUUGUAGCAAUCCUGCUGGCUUCUGAUGCUCUGCCUUCACUCUCUGACAUACAUCACAAACUGCUACAUAUUCUGCAAUAUCCUUCUUCAUUCCGGUCCACCAGAAAGUAUUCUUCAGAUCCAAAUACAUCUUGGUAUUCCCUGGGUGAAUCGAGUACGGUGAAUCCUGGGCUUCUUGCAAAAUCAACUUCCUGAUCUCCGGAUUAUUUGGCACAUAUACGCGGUCCUCAAACCAUAAGGUAUCGUGCUCAUCCUCACGAAAUCCCUUGGCUUUUCCUUUGCUCAUCUUCUCCUUUAUCUCUUCAAUCUCCUUGUCUGUCUUUUGAGCUUCUCUGAUCCUUUCCAUCAAGGUAGACUGAAUCUCCAGUGUCGCUAAAUAGCCUCUUGGGACUAUCUCCAAACAUAGCUCGCGAAGGUCCUCGGCUAACUCCUGAGGUAACUCUCUUGCCAUGAGGGUGUUGACAUGACUCUUGCGGCUCAACGUGUCUGCUACUACGUUAGCCUUUCCUGGGUGAUAAUGCAAUCUCAUAUCAUAGUCCUUAAUGAGCUCCAACCAUCUCCUCUGUCUGAGAUUUAACUCCUUCUGCGUGAAAAUAUACUUCAAACUCUUGUGAUCCGUGUACACCUCACAAUGGUUUCCGAUGAGAAAAUGUCUCCAUGUCUUCAAUGCAUGCACCACGGCUGCUAAUUCCAAAUCGUGCGUAGCAUAAUUCUUCUCAUGGGGUUUAAGUUGUCGUGAAGCAUAUGACACAACUCUUCCUUCCUGCAUAAGCACUGCUCCAAGUCCUCGACGAGAAGCGUCGCAAUAAACUUCAUAGUCCUUGCGUUGAUCUGGCAGAAUCAACACUGGUGAGGUAACCAAUCGUUUCUUCAACUCCUGGGAACUAGCUUCACAUUCCUCAGUCCAAUUGAAUUUGGUGUCCUUCUUCAAUAGCUCAGUCAUGGGCUUAGCAAUCCUCGAGAAAUUCUCGAUGAAUCUCCGGUAGUAUCCUGCAAGUCCAAGAAAACUCCGGAUUUCUCCAACUGUCGUGGGUGAUUCCCAACUUGUCACUGUGUCAACCUUGGCAGGGUCUACUGCUAUUCCUUCUCCAGAAAUAACAUGUCCAAGGAAUCCAACUUCCUUCAGCCAAAAUUCACAUUUGCUGAACUUGGCAUAUAACUGAUGUUCUCUGAGCUUCUCAAGUACCAAUCGUAAAUGCUCCUCAUGCUCUUCCUCAUUCUUGGAAAAGACUAAAAUAUCGUCAAUGAACACCACGACGAACUUAUCCAAAAACUCCAUAAACACUUUGUUCAUCAGGUUCAUGAAAUAGGCAGGUGCGUUAGUCAGACCAAAUGACAUAACUGUAUACUCAUACAAUCCAUAUCUGGUGGUAAAAGCCGUCUUAGGUAUAUCCUGCUCUCGAAUCUUCAACUGAUGGUAUCCUGAUCGUAGAUCAAUCUUGGAAAAUACUUUAGCUCCUUGUAGGCGGUCAAACAAAUCAUUGAUCAUCGGAAGUGGGUACUUGUUUUUGAUGGUCACUUCAUUCAAUCCAUGGUAAUCAACAACCAUCCUCAGCGAUCCAUCUUUCUUCUCCACUAGAAGUACUGGUGAUCCCCAAGGUGACGAACUUGGGCGAAUAUAGCCUUUAUCCAGUAACUCCUUGAUCUGCUUCUUAAUUUCCUCCAAAUCUUUUGCGGGCAUCCUGUACGGUCUCUUAGAUAUUGGCCCUGUGCCUGGCAAAAGUUCAAUCAAGAACUCAAUGUCUCUAUCUGGUGGCAUGCCUGGCAACUCUUCUGGAAAUACAUCCGGAUAAUCCUUCACCACUGGUACUUCCUCCUGUACAACUCCUAAUAAGGAAUUUACUUGAGUCCUCUUCGGCAUAUGCCGGGAUACAUACUUGAUCCUUUUUCCUUCCGGGGUGGUAAGCAAAAUCGUCUUGCUGGCACAAUCGAUGUUUCCUCCAUACAACGAUAGCCAAUCCAUUCCCAAAAUCACAUCCAAACCUUGCGACUCCAAAACUAUGAGGUCUGAGGGGAAAACAUGCCUUCCAAUGGCCAAUGGUAUCUGAAAACAUCCUUGGCUUGCCAUAUACUCUGCUCUUGGUGAGGUUACUAACAUAGGGGUUUUGAGAACUUGGGUGGACAUCUUAAACUUAUUCACGAAUCCCCUUGAUAUGUAUGAAUGCGAUGCACCAGUAUCGAAAAGAACGGUUGCAGUAAAUGACUUAACCAAAAACUUACCUAUUACUGCAUCAGGCUGAGCUUCAACCUCCUCCACGCUCACGUGGUUCACAUGUCCUUUGUUGAACGGGUUCGGCUUCUUCCCAGAGCUUCCAUUGCCAUUUCCAUUUUGGGCUUCAGGACAAUCAGUUGCAUAAUGUCCAGUCUUCUGGCACUUGAAACAAGUAAUGUGACUUAGAUCCCUCUUGGUUGGGGUAGAUGGGUUGGUGCGGUUCUGUCCGUUGCCUCCUCCAUUCCCAUUACCAUUCUUGGAGCCAUUAUGGUUGUGCGAACUACCUCCUCCAUGGGUAUGCUGAAACUGUCCUCCCGGUUUCGGGGCAAAUCGUGGCUUCUGCUGAGCUCCAGAAUUGUACUUUCCUUGUCCAUACUUCCUCUUGCGGUUUUCAAUCUGCUUUUGCUUCCCUUCAAUCAUGAGAGCUCUAUCUACCAGCUCCUGGUAGUUGUUGAAGGUUUCUACCAUCAACUGCAUACUCAGUUCAUCAUUCAGCCCUUCCAAAAAUUUCUCCUGCUUGGCAGCAUCUGUAGCGACGUCAUCUGGUGCAUAACGUGCUAACUUACUGAAAUCCUCCACAUACUGGCCUACGGUGCGUCCUCCUUGGCGUAGGUUGCGAAACUCACGCUUCUUCAUAGCCAUAGCUCCUGCUGAAACAUGUGCUGUACGGAAAGCUUGCUGAAACUGGUCCCAUGUGACAGUGUCAAUAGGGUGCGUGGCUGUAUAAUUCUACCACCAUGAUGCUACGGGUCCAUCAAGCUGAUGUGCAGCAAAACGCACUCUUUCCGCAUCUGUGCAUCCUGCAGUGGUCAACUCCCUUCCAACUUUACGGAGCCAAUCAUCUGCAACAAUCGGCUCGGUGCUACUGGAAAACACCGGCGGGUUUAGCCUCAAGAAACGGGCUAAGUGAUCAACAGGUGGUGGCGGCGGUGGGUUGUUGUUGUUGUUGCCUUGGUUCUGCACUAACACUUGCAUCAGGGCAUUCUGUUGCUGAAUCAACUGGGUGAUCUCCGGUGGGAAAACAAAUCCGGUGUCGCGUCUCGGAGGCAUCUGAUAGGUUUAGAAAAGAUGAGAGUUAAGAAUAGAAUGAGGUCUAGAGAGAAAACACUACCCAUAUGCUCAUGAGACAAAUACAAUCAAUAUCACUCAAUCAAUUCAAACAAGGCAAAACGAUCGAUCUAACUAGCGUUACAAAGUGCUUGAACUAUACUAUUAAAUGGGGGAAAACUACUACUGAUAUGGUGGUCUACUAGAAAUUCUGAUCCGUUGAAGACUCCAUGAUGUCUGCUCCAGCUUCGUCAACAAAGUCAUCUUCACUUGGUUCCGAGUCGGUGUCGUCGAUGAUGAUGUAGUUAUCCGGACAAGUGCAUUCGUCGACUUCUGCUUUUGGCACUGGAUUUCCCAUGAAUACUCCAAUCUUCUUCUCCAGGUCGUCAUUCUUCCCUACUAGUGCGAUGAUUUCCUCCAUAUAAUCCUCGCGUGUAGCCUUGAGUUCUUCUUGGAGCUCCUUGAUCUUGGUUAAUGCCUUCUUCAGUUCUUCCUUGUCCGUGCACAUCUGGUUCUCCUGGCGACGAAUAUGUUGGUUCUGCUCCUGGAUGAAAGCUGCAAUUGAUCCAUCCUUCUUGGUUCUGAUCAUCUCCCAUUGCGCGUCUCGGCGUCCAAAAAUUUGGUAAAUUGUAUCCUUAAGCUCCUGGUGAUAGACUUCUCCAAUGCGUCCCAUGGCGAUGUGUGCGGCCAUGCUCUUCCCUAAACUCCAGGUUGGUGCUUCAAAAACCAAUCUUAUGGGUUUAGUAACUGGCACAAACGUCCUUCCUGGAAUGAGAACUUGAAUCUUCCAGCUCUCCUCUUCGGGUAAUGUGGCGUUGUAAGUUCCGGUGAUGCUUGGUAUUCCUAUGUUCAAGUACUUGGUGACUUCCUUCAAGUGUCGACCAAAAGGCGUAUCUUCAUCUGGUUGCAUGAACUUGCUCCUUGCAUCCGCCAUUCCUAAAAGAGUAGAAAGUGGUGAGGGGUCAGAAAUGAGAAGAGAGAAGCUUUCUAGGGCUUAAGCUUAGUGGUCGUGUCCUACAGUCAGCGUGUGCUCUGAUACCAACUUUGUAGCGAUCAGACCUCAAAUGGUCUGUGCUGCUGUGCACCAGUGUCAUCCCUGGAUCAGUAAUGCUGACACGCACAGUACAAAUGGAGGAUUUAUAACAGAGUAGCAAUCACACACUUAUUACACCAAAUAUCUCCGAAGAGAUUAAGUAUGAUAAACAUGGCUUAAGGCCAUCUAAUAACGAUAACAGCGGAAGACUUGGAAGAUAAGUGAGUCCAUCAACUCCAGCGGCAUCACUGAGUAUAAGACCAUGACCUAAGGCACCUUACUCGUCGUCUGAAAAGUCUGCAACAUGAAACGUUGCAGCCCGAAAACGGGUCAGCACAUAGAAUAUGCUGGCAAAGUAACACAUAGAGGAUAAUGAACAAUAACAAGGCUAUACUACAUGCAUAUAAGGCUGGUGGAAAGCUCUAUGGUUACAGUUUUUGCAGAAAGCAAAAUUUUCCCUACUGCAAAGGAAUAAAUUUUAUUUAACUAUCAUGGUGGUUGUUAAACAUUGAGAAGGUACCUCCAACUCAAUCCCAAUUAAGUGUCAUCAUUAACCCAACAAAAUUAAUUAAAAGUAACAUGGUGAUGAGAUUCAAAUGAUAAUCCAGGUACUAGAUACUCAAGUUGUCCAUAUCCGGGGACACGGCUAACCAUGAUUAGUUUGUACACUCUGCAGAGGUUUGCGCACUUUUCCCCACAAGACUCGAUCGCCUCCGCUUGAUUCUCACACUGCAUGGUGUUUGAGAAACGGAUGACCGAGACACAGUCUUUCAGAAACAAUCACUCUUUACUCUAGAUGGACCGGUACACCUACUUUCCCCUACAUCUGCUAGCCCACCUCUUCAAGAGAUCAUGUAACCUACUCAACUAUGCUAGAGCCCAUAAUAGCUUGUGGCUGCACACGGAAGUUUCUAGCAUGAAUAAUCUUAUGAUCCCUUUGAGCCUGGGUGGCGGACCUUAUAAAAUCAGACAGCACUGGGUUCUCCAGGUGCCUCAAUCCACCCAGAUGUGAGUUUUAGUUGCCACCUUAAGUUGAACCAUUAUUAACAAUCUCACAUCUGUCAUGAAUAUCUCUCAAACCCAAUCCACGUCUACGAGCAUAGCAUGGCAAUAUAAUAGCAACGUAGAAGUAACUCCCAAGGGUUUGAUAAGAAAACAGGUAAUAGGUACUACCUCAACUACUUCCCAGUUCCCACAAUUUAAUCAGAUCCUAACCAUGCAAUUGUUUGCGGAAUAGAUCUAAUGCAAUAAAACUGGGUAUGGAAAGUAUGAUCAAAGUGUUACUUGCCUUGCUGAUGAUCCGCAAAACCUAGCGAUUCGAAGUAACAAGCGGCACACUCCGGGUACUCUAUCGCAAACAAACAAGCAUACAAUCAGUACUCAUCUAAUGCACCGGUAAAACUCGAAUGAAAGAUCCAACCAGAAAGUUCAACUUAAGAACUCCGGUUUGCAAAAAGAAUCAACUCGAAAGAAGCAACGAAAGUCAAACGGUGAAAGAAACAAGCUUCGUUUACUAAUCUGGAUCUAGGUCAAAUUUUACAGUAGCAAAAACUUGUUUGAGUAGGUUAAACGGAAAGAGAAUUUCGAGAUGAAACUCUAGGCGCUUGAAUCUCCUGAUUCCGAUAAACGAGUGAGAAGUUAAACAGAAACGAAGAUUCGAUCAGAAAUCGAAUCUGAGAUAAUCGCAGAAAAAUCCGACGAAAAAGAAAAACGGACGAACGGUUAAAGAAUGAACGUUCGUUAACAGAGAAAAACCGACGGACGCGUUCGUUAAAACGAACGGUUCGGUGAACGCUCGCAAAAUAACAAAACCGAAAAAACCCAAUCUAGGGUUUUUUUAAAACGAACGGUUUUUUUAAAAGAAAACCGGCAACGAACGGGGCAGUACCUCGUCGGGGGCGGGGCUCCGGCGGGGCUCGGCUGCUCCGGCGAGGGCGGCGGGGUNNNNNNNNNNNNNNNNNNNNNNNNNNNNNNNNNNNNNNNNNNNNNNNNNNNNNNNNNNNNNNNNNNNNNNNNNNNNNNNNNNNNNNNNNNNNNNNNNNNNNNNNNNNNNNNNNNNNNNNNNNNNNNNNNNNNNNNNNNNNNNNNNNNNNNNNNNNNNNNNNNNNNNNNNNNNNNNNNNNNNNNNNNNNNNNNNNNNNNNNNNNNNNNNNNNNNNNNNNNNNNNNNNNNNNNNNNNNNNNNNNNNNNNNNNNNNNNNNNNNNNNNNNNNNNNNNNNNNNNNNNNNNNNNNNNNNNNNNNNNNNNNNNNNNNNNNNNNNNNNNNNNNNNNNNNNNNNNNNNNNNNNNNNNNNNNNNNNNNNNNNNNNNNNNNNNNNNNNNNNNNNNNNNNNNNNNNNNNNNNNNNNNNNNNNNNNNNNNNNNNNNNNNNNNNNNNNNNNNNNNNNNNNNNNNNNNNNNNNNNNNNNNNNNNNNNNNNNNNNNNNNGCGCGCAGUUUUUUUUGAAACGUUUUGCGGAAAAUAAUUCGUAGAAAAAUACAUAAAAGUCCAAAAAAAAUAAAAUACAUUUUCCCCGUCUAGUUAGAAAAUCUAGAAUAGGGUGAACAUUUUUUUAACACAAAAUAAAUUUUUGAAAACAUGCAAUAUUUUUAAUGCAAUAAAAUGUACCAAUAAAUUCCAAAUAAAUUCCAAUAAAUGAUUUUAACACUUUUCCUCCAGUAUUUCAAUUGUUUUGGAGAAGUCAUAUUUUCUCCUCUCGUUUAUUUUUAAAAUGAAAUAUUUUUCCGGAGAGAAAAUAAUUAAAACCAAAAUCCUCGUCUUAUUAUUUGAUGAAAAUCAAAUAUGAAAAUUCGAGAAAAUCCCCAACUCUCUCCGAGGGUCCUUGAGUUGCUUAGGAUUUAUCGAGGAUUUGUCAAAAUGCAAUAAAAUAUGAUAUGCAAUGAUGAUCUAUGUAUAACAUACCAAAUUGAAAAUUUGGGAUGUUACAGGUGGACGACGGCGAGGCCUAGGAAGGGGACGACGCGGAGCCGGGGAAGACGCGGCAGUGGAUGCCCACGCGGAGAGGAGUACGAGGGUUGACUGGUUCGGCUGCGGUGUGAGGCCGCCUUCACCGCAGAAUAACAGGGGGUUAGGGUGAGUAGAGGGAUGACCUGGCCAACGAUGGGAGUAGUAGGGGGCGGUGAGGCCUCUGCGGCAGCACAGCCGGCCACGGGAGGCAGGAGCAGGCGGCACGACGGGCGUUGGUUUGGGCGACUGGAGCAAGAAGACCAGAGGUUGAAGAAGCACUACGACUGUUGGAUGGACAUCGUACGGUCACUGAAGCUAGAAUCGUUCAUAUUGACUAAGUUGACAAAGCCCUCCGUCCACGUCAACUUAGUAGGCCCACAAGUCAGCCUCCCACUAUGGUGGGUCCUAACUAGCAGGGGAAGUAUUCAUUUUUGUGUGCGUAAUAAGGAGGCACUUCCUUGCGUGCGAAGAUAUAGCUAGUGGGUCCGAGCUGACAGCGGGGGGAAUGUUUUUUUGGCAAAAUACAGAGGCCCUUCCGGCGGGUCCCAGCUGUCAGGUGGAGGAAUCAUUAUUAUGCGUGUAAUAAGGAGGCAUUUCCUUGUGUGCGGCCGUGGACCCAGCUGUCAGCCUCUCCACGUCUAGUCCACUUCUGAUGGAUGUCAUUCGUUGAUCACGUUGACCACGCCGCGCCGAGAGCACCAGGGCGGUGGACGACGACGAGGCCUAGGAAGGGAAUGACAUGGAGCCGGUGAAGACUCGAAAGUGGUUGCCCACGCGGUGGGGAGUACGAGGGUUUACUGGUUCGCUGCCGUCGCCGGAAAAUAACAGGAGGUGUGGGUCAGUAGAGGAAUGGCCUGGCCAGCGAUGGAGUAGGGUGGGGCAGUGCGGCCUGUGCGGCAGCACAGCCAGCCACGGGAGGCGGGAGCAGGCAGUCCCACCAACGCUGGUUUGGGUGGCUGGAGCAAGAAGAUCAGAUAUUGAAGAAGUAGCACCGCCGUUGGAUUAACAUCCAAUGGUCACUAUUGCUAGAAUCGUUUGUGGACUAAGUUGACAAAGCCUUUCGUACACGUCAACCUAGUAGACCCACAAGUCAGGCUCCAAAUCUGUCCCAAACAGCAUACAGCCCGAAAUUUCUAGCGAGAUUCAAAUUAAUUUAAAAACUAAACAUACCUUAAUUUAAAUCCAAUGAAAUUUUACCUGCACAAAACAAUGAAAUUUAAAAUAUCAAGAUCCGAAAGAAAAAAGUAUUUUGGAACUAAUUGCAUGUUUGCUGUAUUUUUUCAUUUUACAGCCCAUUUAUUAUUACUUAUAGCCCAUUUCUUAUUACUUAUAGCCUAUUUUCUGGGCAAGCCCGAAUGCAUCCCUCCUAGUCUUGAAAGAUUUCCGGCCCAACAGGGCGUAGAAAAGCAAGUAGGCCUACGUUGGUUAUUCUGCAAAAAAACAAAAUAGCUGGGCUAGCCAUUUUCAGAAAGGAAAAAAAAAACUGGACUGGUCAUGUGGUAAACAUAUGAAAUAAAAGCCUGGGCUAGACGGGCCACAUCUCCCGCACACCCCAGUUGAUACCCUUCUCUGUCCCGAAAAAAACUGCGCGCGCUGCUGGGUCCCUACUGUCAUCCUCACCAUGUACAAUCAUCUCCUUAUUCCUCUCGGUUGUUAACCAUGUUGACCACACCGGAGGGCGGCAUCGCGGCGAGCGAACCAAGGCGGAGGACGAUGUUGAGGCCUUAGACGGGAACGGACAGGAGCCGGGGAAGAUGCGUAGAGUUUUAGGGUGCGAUGUGGCCACGAUGCAUGUGUGGCAGCAUAGCCAGCCGUGGGAGGCGGGAGCAGGCGGUCCCGCCGGCGCUGGUUUGGCUUUGGCGGCUGGAGGAAGAAGAGACUGAAGAAACAUGACAGACGUUUAAUGUCAAUCCAACGGUCAAGGUUGGCACAAUCAUUUGUUGACUAAGCCGACACCAAGUAACAUACUUUUUUAUAUAUAGGAAGAAAAGAAAAACUAGGCUCGUUCGCCUGAUAACAUUCCCGAAACUGCGACCGUUCGAUCUUGCGUCGCAACUAAAACUGUGAGGAAAAUGCGUUUGUCUGCCGUCCUCCUCCCAGGGAAUGUUUGCCACAUAAGUGACUAGCACCCUUGGUUUUCAACCAAGAGGUCUUGGGUUCGAGUCCCAGGAACUCUCAAUUUUGUCCUCCUUCCUUCCUCGCAAAAAAAGAAAGAAAAUGAAAGACUUGAGAAGGCGUACAGAAGAAGCUAGUACCAGUAAAGAGACGUUGCUGAGUUUUAGAAAAAAGAGAGACGUGCUCCUGUAGCUGGUUUGAAUCCAAACCUAGACUAUGACUAUAUAUGGUGCUAUGCUACUCUGCAAGUAAUGAAACUGACAUAUCCAACAUUCGCUUCUCCUCUUCUCUACUUACUCUGCCUAGCAUCAGAAGCUCUGGCCGCAGCAACCAUGUCCGCUGGCUGCUCGUCCACCUGCUCUUCAGCAGGCAACAACCAGAUAUGCGCCAAGUCGCCACCCGUACCAUCGCCUGUGGGUCUCACCACACCCCGCCGGCACACGCAUGGCAGCCGGUUGCUCAUCGCAACCCGCUGCCGUUGGUGUGGUGCCACAGCUGCAAAUCACGCAGAGUCAUCCGUCUCGUCCCAACCACAAUCCUCAACCCUGGCCGAGUCUUCUACAAAUGCCCGAAUCAUGGGGUAAUAGUAUGUUUAAGUGUUGUUCUGCUGCUUUCAGUUGCUGAUUUUUUAAUAGUUUGGUUGAUGAUCUUCCAAUUUGAUUCAUGCAGAAAAGGGAAGAUUUGUGUGAUUUGUAUUUCUGGAAAGUUGCUGAUGUGGGGGAAUGCAACUACGCUGAUUAUUUUGUUAGCCGAGGAAUCCCAAUACCAGCAGGUUGGGGUGUUGGACAAGUAAUUGAAGGAACGACAGAAGAGGAAGAUGCAGAGCAAAAGGUUAAAGAUGCAGUUCCUCUGAUCAUGGCCAAGCAACAGCUACUGAACGGCCUUGACAGCAAUGAGGAGAUGAAAGAGCUUGUGAAGAUAAUGGGAAAAAUCGAUGUGCUCUGUAGGAUGAUUGUCUCUUUAUUUGCAGUGUAUGUAGCACUCGUGAUGUAUUCAGUGGCUAUGACAUGAGCACUUUGCUGAAACUAGUAAUGAAUGGAACCUGUUUAGCAGGCUGGGCGUAGUGUUGUGAACAUCUAAUGAUUUCUUUUAACGGAAUCGGGGGGUAUCCCCUUUUGCUCAUAAAUAAAUAAAUAGCAGAGGCCCUUUUGCUAAAAAAUAAAUAAAUUAGCAGAGGCCCUGUCGGGUCAGCUUUGUUCCCAUUCAAAGACGUCGAGCAAAUUGCAGUCCAACAACAAACUAUGUCACUAAAUUCAAGUUUCACAGCCAAAUGUGAGUACAACUAAACAACAAUGUCAUCAUGUUUUAGUCGUCAUACAAUCACCAAACACAAAUCAACAUACAUAAUAAGUGAUGUUCUCACAGCAAAAUACUUAACAACAAGUUCAUCAGGUUUCAGUUGUCACAGCAAACACAAUUUCACAUAGUAGAUAAAAAAAUGUCUUCUGACAGGCAAAUAUGACAAAAGCAAUCUAAUCAUCAUCCGCAGCAGCAGUCAACAUCUUCGCCAUGUGUAUCAGUCUGAAUUGUAAUUCCCCACAGUGUCAUCUUCUUCUUCAUCCUCAAUGUCCUCGAACGUUGGCUUCUUCUUGAUCAACUCUUGUAUGUCCACAGCCCGACAGGCAAUCUUUUCACCAGCGUCAUUGACGUGAUGGUUCUCAAAGAUAUUAGGAACAUCUGUGGAAUCUUGUACAUCGGGAGCAGUGUAAGCAUCAUCGUGUUGUGCAACUUCAUUAAACGAAUUCCUCUGCUCAAACCUUUGCAAUACUCUCCAAUCAUCGCUACGUGCAAAUGUAUCUUCCAAGAAAAAUAUCUGUGUUGCUUGAUUUACCAAAAUAAAAGGCUCAUUUGUCUGGUACGCCGCCUUGAUAUUGAUGGAUUUGAAAUAAUCAUCAGCUCUGAGUUUUGCGAUCCUGGAAAACAGGUUAUACCAACGAUAGCAAGACAAAACUACACACCGAUGAACUCGAAACUGGAGAUAUAUUGCAAUUGAACAAUGUCUGUUAUGUUAGCAUACAUUUCAGUUGUCUCUCUAGCGUACGUAUCCGUGCUCAUGAUGGCACUGUUUUGAGUCUUCCUGCCUUCGUCGCGUGCAAGGGUGUUGUAGCGCACAUCUCCAACAACGCAAGAUUCAUAAUGUCUUACCCGAGUAUCAGGACCCAUUGCUAGUGCGUAAAGGGCAUCAUCAACUGCCUGCCCAUCCUCCCGCAUCUUCUUAACCUAUGGUUAGAAAAUAGACAAGCUGAUCAUCUUAUGUACUCAAUAUAUUAAAAAAGAACUAACAGUGCAAUUCAAAAGCUUACAUGGCUCUUGAACCAUUUCGCAAAUCCCGCCAUAACCAGUUUGUCAAUGUUUCUUGGAUUUUGCGGCAGUAACUCCUUUUUGUAGAUGCUGCACAACAUAGUGAUUGCGGCAAACAUCUAAAUAUAUAAGAAUGUGCUGCAAGUUUAGUAGAUUACAAUGUAUAAGCUGCAGUACUUAGCACUUACUUGAUAUAAGGUAGUAUCUCAGGACAGUUCUUCAACACAUACCAAACCAUUUUGUCCAAAUCUUUAGGUUUGUCAUCUUGUCGACUCUUCCCUGUAACUCGAAUAGAACAAUCAGAAACAUUGAGCCCGGGAUUGUCUUCACCCACCUCUUUGCUAAGCUAAUCGGCUGUUUCAAUGUAUUUUGAGCAGAAUGUCAAUGCUUCUGUAGCAAUGUAGGCCUCUGCAAUGGAACCCUCGUGUCUAGCUCUAUUCCUAACAUAGCCCUUGAAAGUGCCUAGUCUCCUCUCAAUAGGGUACAUCUAGCCAUACUGUACUGGACCUCUAAGUAGUGCCUCAUCAGGUGGAUGAACAACCAAAUGCACCAUCACAUCAAAGAAGGCUGGAGGAUAUAUCUUCUCAAGGUCGCGUAGGAUAGUUGGUAUCUUAUCUCUAAGAUGCUCCAAAGCAUCUAUCCUGAUAUUUCUACUGCAGAGUUCCCUGAAGAAUUGUCCCAACUCUGCAACUACUCUAUAUAAGUCAGGGCAGCCCAAUCCUCUAAGGAUAACAGGUAAAACCCUUUGAAGUAGGACGUGGCAGUCAUGGGUUUUCAACCCUUGUAACUUGUUUUCAUUUGCACUGACUCCCCUUUCAGGGUUGUAAGCAAAUCCAUGUGAGAAUCUCACAUGUGACAGGACCUCGCAAAAUUCUUUUCUUUUUACCUUGUCCAAGACGUACACAGCUGGUGCCAUAUCCCAUGGCUUACCUUCAUCUUGCACCUGCAAAUCCUUUCCGAUACCCAGGUGUGUCAAAUCAAUCCUAGAUUUUAAGGUAUCUUUCGUCUUGCCUUCAAUAUUAAGAAGUGUGCCGAUAAUGCUGUCACAUAUAUUUUUCUCGAUGUGCAUCACAUCAAGAUUAUGCCGCAAAUCCAAAUCUUUCCAAUACUCCAAGUCCCACAAAGUGGACCUGUGGGUAAACAAUAAUCUCUCUUCUGCCCUGCCAUGCUUCCUUUUCCCGCUACCAUUAUCAGGAUGGUUUCCUGGUGUAAUAUGCCUGACCUUCUCUAAUUCCACUUGCAACUCAUCGACGGUGAGCCUCUUUGGUGCAUCACGGUCUUCAUGCUUUGCAUUGAACACAGGUCUUUGGUAUUUUGUAGGACGCGGCUUGUCCUUGGCAAGGAAACGGAUGUGUCCAAUGUAACAGAUCUUGCUAAGUAUUGCGUAUGACAGCGGAUUCCUGUCACAGCGAACACAUGCAUUGUAACCAUGUGUCGUUCACCCUGACAUAGUUCCAAAGCCGGAUAAUCAUGGAUGGACCAAAUUAUAACAGCACGCAGAAAGAAAUCAGCUGGUGGGCUACUAUAUAGGUCUCGAGUGAGAACACCCCUCCAUAGCUAUUGAAGUUCCUCCACAAGAGGCUCCAUGAAUAAAUCAAAAUCCUUUCCAGGACUUUUUGGACCUGGGAUGAGCAAGGCCAUCAUGUAGUUUGAUUCUUUGGUGCAGACAUUUGGAGGCAUGUUGUAAGGGAUAACAAGCACUUGCCACAUGCUAUAUGUGGCGCUCUGGUGGCCAAAUGGGUUAAAUCCAUCUAAAGCUAAGCCAAGUCUAAUGUUUCUCCGGUCAGCAGCAAACUUUUUGUGUUUCUGAUUGAAGCUUUUCCACUCACUACCAUGAGAUGGAUGGCUCAUUACAUUCUGAUCUCUGUACUCCUGGUUCCUAGAAUGCCACAGUACAUCAUCUCUUGUUUCAGCAUCAUGAAACAACCUCUGCAAUCUUGGUAUAAUUGGAAAAUGUCUCAGAACAUUAUGAGGAGUCCUCUUCACAGCAUCGCCAUCUUUCCAUCUUGAUGGUUUGCAUUUUGGGCAUUCACUUAAGUUGGCAUAAUCAUUCCGGAACAGAACACAAUUAUUCUUACAAACAUGGAUCAUAUCAUAUCUAAUUCCAACUGCACGAAGGAAAUUCUUCAUUUUAUUGUAGGUGUGUGGCAGCUCAGACGCAUCUGGGAAAGAUUUGCGGAAAGCAGCCAACAUCGCAUCGAAUGAUUUGUUGGUCAUCCGCUCAGAUGUCUUCACCUGAAGAAAGGUGACCAUAGCUGAGAAUACUGACAGCUUAUUUCCUGGGGUGACAGCCACGUUGCAUUCUUCCAACAUGCGGGCCCACCGUUUUUCUUCUGCAGGUGAAAGUUCACGAAAUGCACGAGCAUUUCGUAGCGUUGUUUCAAUGUUGGUCAAACUCACUGGAUCCGCCACCACCACCUCCUCCUCCUCUUCCACAUAGUCAGUAACAUUGACGUUCACAGCUUCACCAUGAUGAACCCACCUAGUAUAUGUGACCGACAUCCCAUACAAGUGUAGAUGAUUUUGCACAGUUGACUGGGGUCUUGUAACUGAAUUCAUACAACUACUACACGGUCAGAGCACAUCUGAUUUCGGACCACCGUACUCAGCUCUGAUAAAGUUCAUGAAGUUUUGAACCCCCUCGGCAUAUGCAACGGAGAAUCUUCGAGCAGAAGUUAUCCAAGUCAUGUCCACCUGUUAGACAUAAAAAUUAGUUCUUCUACUAGAUAUUACAGGAAAAACAUAUAUGCUUUUUUAUGAAGUCCAGAAAAAAAACCUAGGUCGAUGUCUAAAGCUAUGGCAAGAUAUUUGGACAAGCAGAUCUAAGUAACGAAAUAUAUGUAAAGCUAAUUCAGGAAACAUAUUUGAGUGCUAAAUUAUGGCAGGCUGUUUCAGCAGUCAAUGAGGCCGAGCACACAGCCAUCGAACUAUCGAAGGCCAUCUCAGCAACAAAGAUCGAGUAUAAAACAGUGUAGAGCUAUUUCACCUAACAGAUUGGCUACUAGACCAUGGCAAUCUACGUCACAAUAAAUAUAUGGCAGGAUAUUUUAGCAACUAAUUGGGCUUGGCAUGCCAUCUCAGCUAAGCAGAUUGAGUGCAGAACAGGGCAAGGAAGGUUCUUAAGCAGAGCACAUUGACUGUAAACUACUUCGGCAAACAGUUAGAUUAACAGCGUCUAUCAGCUAACAUUCAGCGUUACACCGACAUGCACAGGGCCUCAGUCUAGAAUGCGCAUACCGUGGGAGAAGCUGAUCGCCGUGCAUCUCCACACGAAUGUCGCCAGCAGUGGCGGCGCUGACCGUCGUGCGUCUCCACAAGAACGUUGCCAGCGGUGGCGGCGCGGCUAGAGGACGACAGUCUACGAGAGCGUACUGUGGGAGCGAGGGGAUCGCCGUGCGUCCCCUCGACGAACCGCGGCGCCGACGUAUCAGCGCGGCGGGGAGGGCGGCUUUGACAGAGCGAAUGGAGUUGAGGGGGCUGGGGGGAGGGGGUUUGGGGAAUAUUAUUGGCUAGUUGGCCGAAGGGCGGUUGAAUUUGGGAUUUGGGGGGAUUUCGCGCGGUGGGCGGGGGGAGUUUGGUGCAUGGUCAGUUUCUCCAAGUGCAGCCCCAUGUGUCAGUGAAGAGGCAAGCCGAAGCGCGUUCCGUUUGCGUGAGCCGUGUGCAGGACCGAACGUGUGUGGGGUGCAAUGCGACCGCGGCAGGGGUGUUGUGAGUGUACCGCCUUUUUCCUUUUAAACUUGGUGCUUCACCCCCUAAAAAAAACUUGGUGCUUCGCGCAAUCCAUCGAUACUACUACUAGUAACCGGUAAUCCUGACUAAAACGGCGCGGCCGGGUCUUUUCCCGCGUGAUAUGCUGGGAGGUUGGCUUAGUUGUUUUUUUAGGACGAGUAAUGCUACACCUACGUAAUCCCAGUUACGUAAUUAACGUAAUGUGAAACGUGUGAGCUGUUGAUUGUAGAUUGGGGGAGGGAGGGGCCCACCACCAUGAAAAUCAGGGGGGAGAGAGAGGCAAUUUACGUUAACCCUUUUGUAGGUUCCCGUAGAUAUAGAAAGAUGGGAAAUGCGUGAAUGUGUAGUGGACGUACUAUUGGAGUGCCUAAGAUAAAUUGUGUAUGUAGACCCUAUGUGUUUAUUUACUUCGCAUGUUAGCUUUGUCUCGGGUCAAACCUUCUAAGUUUAUACACACAAAAACGAAUCAUCAUUCCAUAUACUCCUACAAUAUAUCUUACUAUUAUUGUGAAAGUUCAUAUACACUGGACGAGAUUAAUGCAAACACGGCAGAUUUUCAUUACAUUUUGAACUUUUAUAGGACAGAAAAAUAAAAGAAACCCGACCCUAAACCUAUUCUACGGCGGCGACCGGCUUCCUCCAUCUGCGAUCUCCAUGUACGGGGGCGGGGUUCAAGACCUGUGAAGUGAAGGUGCGGUCUCCGGCAAGGAAGAGUAGAACACGGGUGAAGGACCGGCCAGUUGGCACACCAUGCCCUGCGGCCUCCCAUGCCUUACUAAUCCUCGGUUCCUUCAAUCAAUCAAUUAGGGAGCUUCGGUUCCAUCUUUUUGGCUUUGGCAGCACCGUCCACAAUGGUUCCCAUCGAUGCCAAAAGCUAUUUUCACAUUUGGCUACACAUUGUAGAUGCCCUUAACUGUACCACUUGGUUUUUCUCCUGUGUGCUAUCUAUACAAAUCUCAAUUAUAUUGAUCUAAAAAAUUAUAGUAUCAAGAUUAGUAAAAAGGAGGUGAUUUUCCGCGCGGAUGGCGGGAGAGGUUUCUUAUUUUUAGAGGACGUUGGCCUGGCGGUUUGCUAACAUGCAGUCCCAUGUGUCAGUGCUUUACCAAGCCGAUCCGCGUCCCACAUGAGGCAGAACAACGGCAGAAGCAACACGUGGUUAACUUGAAGAAGAUGAGGGAGAAGUGGAUUCAACAACGAGUGAAAUGAUGGUUGCUUCGUCCCUCCAACUUAUUUUUUUAGCAUUAUUACUUUGUCCCUCCAACUUAACUGCGGGAAAGGUGCAGCUUUAUGAUUUGAUGCCUCAUUGCUCAUUACUAUGCUAGCGCCAUGACUAGGGUGCUUCACCCCUGCCGCUCUGCACUGUAUUUCAGUAUGGCACGUGGACCCGAUAGCUUGAUGUCCCACAUGUCGGCGGAAGGGACUAGAACAUUUAUGAAAGCGAGUGCUCCACUCUUACGACGGAGGAGUACACCACACGGUGGCCCAGUGAACUCUUACUUGUACUGUAGUAUUACUGUUUCGCACGAUCCAUCAAUACAAACACGAUUAAACAGGAAAGGGAGGGAUUUUUCCCGCGCAGUAGAUGAUACCGGCCAUACAUUUCAAAGGCAAUUUUAAUGUAUGCAAACUGAAUAAUUAAGUAACAAUAUGAGAUCUAGUAAAACUAAAAACAUAUAUGAUUUAUUGUGUUAGAGUGUAGUAGUAGGGAUGUAUUGCAUAGUUGUUAGAUGUUACAUGCCAGAACGUGUAGAGAUGUAGUUUUGGAGGGCCUACAGAGAGAAACGCAUAAUAUGAUCACCGGACUUCAGAAUACACUCAUUACAGUCACUAUAUACGUUUUGCGGUGAUUAUACGGUCACUUGCUCACCGUUCAGCAUCGGAUUGCACUCUGUUGACCAGCCAAAUAGUCUGCGUGGCACUAUGUUGACCAGUUAAAUUGACCAUGUUCCUUGUGGGUCCCACAUGUCAGUUCGCAUAGGAAAAAGGUCAGAUAAACACAAAUUUACGUAGGCGCGACAAGACUCCAACCCGUGCACGGGAACCACCUGGUUGUGUAUGUGUCUGUCAGGGCCUGAUGUGUGCGCAUGCAUGUGCAGUUUGAGCACUUGAGCGUGAGAGUGUGUGUUGGUCGUGUGGUGUGUGCAUGCAUGUGUGCGUGUGUGCAUGUGAGUGUUUUGUGCGUGCGUGGUUGCGUGUGUACGUGUGAGUGUUGCGUGCGUGCGUGGCUGCAUGUGCUCGUGUGAAUGUUGCGUGCAUGCAGUUCGUGUGCAUGCGUGCGUGUGUGUAUAAUCACCACACCAGCUCCUGUGUGUUAAAACAGAUGGCUCAGCAUACCAAUACAAGGCCACCUUGUCCGCUGUGCCCGCGGUCAUGACUUCAAACCACCGUCCAAUAUUUUUGUUGUUGUUUGUUUUCAUUCUUACUAGCAAGAUGCCCGUGCGUUGCAUGUAACAUCAAGAUGCAUUUGUAUGAGUAGUUUAUCUUGUGAGAGAAAAGGAUGAACGAGGGAAGGCCUUAUUUGCAAAUGUGGAGAGGUGUGUGGGUACCUUUUUGCAAAAUUGCCAUAGUUUCCUUCCUAUCCGUCAGAUAUAAAUCGGAUGGCCUAUAUUGCAAGAUGGCAGGCACACCAUAAUCACCGACUCUGUUUUUUAUAAGAGUGUAGAGUAGAUACAUGCCGACAGGUGGGCCCAAUGGUAGUGAGAUAAUGUGAUGCAACACUAGAGGUGCCACAUGGAGCGUUUAACUGGUCAACUAGUCAUGUCUUGAGCAAAUACAGAGUUGUACGAUGAGCCCGUGACUAUAUAAUACGUAAAUGGUAACCAUAAUGAGUGGAUUCUGAAGUCCAAUGUACAUACCGUGCUUUCACUUCAAAUACAAUGAUCGUCAUUGUAUAUAUUGCGAGAGAAAGACGAAACAUGUGUGAAUGUUCUCGGGGCGUACUUUUAGAGGACCUGGAGAUAGUUUGUGUGCGUACAUGAAAGGGGCGUAGAGGGGGUGUAUGCGAUGGAGAGAGAGAUGCUCUUCGUUUCUCUUUAUUAUUACUAACUUUAUAUAUGGUAUAAAAAUAUAAAAAUUCACAGUGCGGAAUACAUAUCAUUGUGGGCACCAUGCAAUGCAAAUUAACGUUCAUACUCCUCCAUAUAACUUUGUAAUGUUGUAUAUAUGUAGAAAUUCUAAAAUAAUUUUUUGGCCACACUUUAUUCAAAAAGGAAUGUUGUAUGCGAAAUGAAAGUGAAGAGAGGGCUUUUUAGAUCAAUGGGGUACGUAAUGUAACAUGUGUGAAUGUGUAGUUGAUGAAUUUGGCAGGGCCUAGAGANNNNNNNNNNNNNNNNNNNNNNNNNNNNNNNNNNNNNNNNNNNNNNNNNNNNNNNNNNNNNNNNNNNNNNNNNNNNNNNNNNNNNNNNNNNNNNNNNNNNNNNNNNNNNNNNNNNNNNNNNNNNNNNNNNNNNNNNNNNNNNNNNNNNNNNNNNNNNNNNNNNNNNNNNNNNNNNNNNNNNNNNNNNNNNNNNNNNNNNNNNNNNNNNNNNNNNNNNNNNNNNNNNNNNNNNNNNNNNNNNNNNNNNNNNNNNNNNNNNNNNNNNNNNNNNNNNNNNNNNNNNNNNNNNNNNNNNNNNNNNNNNNNNNNNNNNNNNNNNNNNNNNNNNNNNNNNNNNNNNNNNNNNNNNNNNNNNNNNNNNNNNNNNNNNNNNNNNNNNNNNNNNNNNNNNNNNNNUAGAGAGAGAGACGAAUAUGAUGUCACAGCGAGAGAUGCCCUUGAGUGUGUAUAUGCAAGGGGGGAGGAGAUAGAGGCACGAGGAUAAUUUUGUGUGUGGUGUCUAUGUUGGUAUGUGUGGGUGUGAGAAGAUAACGAGACCUGGGGGCAGAGGGUGUGUCACCGAGUGAGGUCCGGUGGGCCGAGGUGAGGCCCUUGGUUCGGUUCCGUCCUGCGCCACAUUGGUCGGCCCAUGACGCAUUUAGGGAGACCCAUGGAGGACUAGUCGUACAAGAAAAACAUAGCAGAGUCAUGAAGGACUCUGUGUCCACUGACAAAGCCGUCUAGGAUUUGUAACCCUACGUCCUCGGACUAAGGUAACCCCUUAUCUCUGAUAUUAGUAUUCAUCCAACCUAACUUUAAGGGGCAUCCUAUAGAAUGCUCUGCUAGAAUCAUACUCGUCGAUUAGGAAGAGAGGUGGAGACAAUGUGUGAGAGACAUGCCUCAAAAUAAUGUGUGUACAGGAGACACGUAGGCAGGUCUAUGUAUAUAGAAAGGGUCGAUGGGGAUUGUGCGUGUGUAUGCUUGUGAGAGGAAGAGUGCUUGUGAUAAAGGUUAGUGAAAAAAGUUGUAAAUGGUUACGAGAGGGAGGGAGGGUUAUAUCGAGAGCAUGUCUGCGAGAAAGGCACCUCGGGAGAGAGUGUGUGAGCAUGUGUGAGAGACCACCAAUGGAGAGUGAAACUACACGUAAAAGACCGAUGUACACAUUGAUUAAAAAUAUAAAUUGUAUCCAAAUAUUAGGAUGGGAUCAUGAUAUUCACAAUUCGCGCAAGGAACGGUCAUCGAUCAUUCAGACAUCUAUAUUCUAUCGAAUUUGAGCAUGUCUAUGUUAUUCUACAUAAUUGAUCCACAUAGUUAGUAUUUUGAACUCCAGACAAUGCAUCGCUUUAGCAAUCGAAUAUAAACGUGAGUAUAGUUCAUGUUGUGUGUGUAAAGAACAUUAUGCAUACAAAAGUUACACAAUGAACAUUAUGAAUAGCUAGCUAUGAACUAGCAUACAUUUGAAUUCAACUUAAGGUGGUUUAAAAAUUCGAAUUCAACAUGAAGUCCAUUCAGUUAUUUGGAUUCAAUAUCAUGGCAUUUGUAUAUCAUACCUAAAUUAUGGGGCACCAAUCUUUGCUCUGCUUUUGUACAUAAUAGCAUAUAUAUAUUCGUGUACAAAAUAGAUUCAAAUUUACCUCCUCCAUUCCAAAAUAAUCGUAGUUAUAGGAUUAUCAAGUGUCAAAAUUUCAAAAAGAAGCGCAUAAUUUAAUGAGGUUUUCAAACAUACAAGGUCAAAUUUAACAUUGUCUAUUUAGGUCAAUCCUCAAAGUUCAAGAGUACUCUAAACGUGAAUGCUUCUGUUUCAAAAUUUCUAACGAAGCGCCAAAAGAGCCUCUACUCGCCCGAAACUGCGUGAGACCAAUGUUUGGUAGAAGGAAAUUACUUUUCUAACUCCGACCCGUGAAACCUACCGGCCCGACGUCCAAAGGUCUAAACUGGGGUAGGUUUGUAGCUUCAUCUAGACGCCACGCAACCGCCUCCGAAAAACAUUCAUACACAAUGGCCGCCUAAGCACACAUGCGCGCGGCCGAAAUCGCUCCCGCCCACUAUUUGGGAUAGCUGGGAUUACCAUCCUACCCCCGACCCGUAGUAGGUCCGAAAUUUAAGAGGGGGGCAAAGUUUGUACUUCCCCAAAUUUCAAACAAGCAUGUCCCAUUUGUUCAAAAAAACCAAAAAUAAGCGCGUCCCAGACCGAAACAUGGUUCUCCCUUAGCUCCCCCCCGCCCCCCCGUCUGAUUCCCCAUUCGUACUCCAUGGGCGCCAAAACUACCUCUCCACCAGCCGCAAAACCCUAGCGUCCUCCGUCCGCCACUCCAUCCCACCCAUCAACCGCCGCCCUCCUCCAUCACACCGGAGCCGAUACCCCGACGUCGUCGUCCACCGCAACCGCAACCGCAACGCCCUCCACGGUUAGUAGUUGAAGCCGAGGCCGAGAUGUCCGUACCCGAGCCAGUUCAACCACGCCGUCCUGCACCUCACCGCUGCCGCUCCAACUUUGCCACCGUCCACCGCACCAGAGCUGUUCCCGCUACACCGUCCUUCACCGCCUCGGAUCUACUUCCCCUCCGCCGACAGACGGCCACCGCAACACAGUCAACAAUUUGGCCAUGGGUUCGUCCAAGGCUCGACCCUCCUCCAAAACAUCGGUUCCCCAGGUAAAACCAAUAAAAUCGCCGCGACAUCUGGAGGACCCAGCACUGGCAACCGGAAAUGGUACUCCUCUUCCCUUAUUCGUGCAAAUCUUACGUGUCUUCUUGCACGGUAUUCAUCCCACAGAAGACACUAGUUGACUGCUUCUUCUUGCUACUAGAUGUUCCUAGUAACUCGCGAUGCACAAGGUUUCUCCUCAUAUACUAUUGCACCUUAGCUAGAGGUCCGUCGGCCCCCUGGAUUUCAAUUCCUGGUCAGUUGAUUCCCAAUUAAAGGAAGCAUUCCCCGGCGUAACACGUGCUAGUCCGCCUAUUACGCCGGGGAAGCAGCGCCUCAGUGUUUAUCUUAGGGGUGUGUGGGGCCUAGGAGCUGCUGGCGCCCGAUCUGGAGGUCGGCCAGGAUUAAAGGGAUGGCCAGGGGCGCUGCCAGGCACGACGAUGGUGUGAGGUAGAGGGGAGGGUGGGGCGGCAGAGGCAGGGGUCUUGGCCGGUGGUCGCUGGCGGUUCGAGAAAGAUCGUCAACAGUGACUGGCGGGAGGUAGACGAAGGCCAUCUGCCCGUUCCUUAUAGAUCGGACGAUUCAUAAAAAAAUCGACUGACCUAUUUAUUUUUAGUCGACUGUUAUUUUGAUAGGACCACAUGUGGUGGUGUGCUGGAGGAGUACCUGCAUUUCCCAGCCAUCCCUGUGCUCAUAUAUUACAAAAUCAUACGGAGUAGAAUCUAAUUUUGUUUGCCAUGCAAUGUUGUAGAGCUAUCAUAUGUCUCCUGUCAUUUAUUUUGCAGCCACCUGCUAUCUGCUACUUUUACGGUGCACUAGUUCUGCACACACUUCACCCAUAUAUACUCUCACUAUUGUUUUUUUAUGCAUGGGUAUUUCAGACUCUGCCAACCGGUUGAUAGAAGCACGAAAUAAAAGAGAGAAGCAGCUCUAGCUUUCUUCGGGCUUAGGCAAGACACGUUUCAGCGCUAUAAAGGGUGCAGUGUCAGCAGAUGGAGACGGUAAACGUAGCUCUGGAGUUGAUGAUCUCGCUCGCCAUGAACCACCAUUCCAGGUGCUUGCUUUAACUUCGUGGUGUCAUAUAUGGUUGCAUGUUGCAUAUGGUGUCUAGCUUGUAUUGAAAGGCCAAAGUCGGUCUUUAUUAAGAUAAGGAAAAAUAUUUUUUACAUGAACCACCAUCUCGGAAGCAGUAGAAGACAAAUAGCUAGUCAGGGCACUGGUCGAGCCAGUGACAAGCCCAGCAUAGACAGGCAUCACCUGGAAGCCAACGAAAAAGCCACGAUGGUGGCAAAGCAGCCCGCCUCCCACCAGGCUCUCAGGUCCCAGAUGAUCAUGCUCACCACUCUAGCCGGAUGUCUAGCUUGUAUUGCUUCCAAUUUUGUUAAAUUGCAUCUGCUUAGCUUACACAUUAUACCUUUGAAUAUGACAUGCCUUCCUGUUUUUGGUACAUACUAGUACAUCUGUCUAUUAACCAUGUUCUUACAUCAAACUAAUGUUCUUGUGUAUCCCUCAUCAAUCACUUAUGAUGAGGCAGUCAGACCAGUGGACUACUGUGAGAAAAGAUCCUCAUUUAAAGAAUGCAGCGUCAGCCCUCCCCACAUGAUUCUCAAGAAACAACAAGGCUAGAUGAAGAUAGUGAACGUAGCUCCGUAGUUGAUUACCUUAUUUCCCCUACACCAGCAUCGUAGGUGCUUGCUCUAACUUGGCAGCGUGAUAUGUGGUUGCAUGUUGCAUAUGGUGUCUAGAUUGUAAUUCUUCCAAUCUGGUUAAAUUGCAUGUGCUAUUCUGCUUAGUUUAUACAUUAUACCUGUUAAUGUGACACGCCUUCCUGUUUUUAGUACAUAAUACAUCUGUCUAUUAAGCAUGCCCUUACAUAAAACUAUUUUUUUGUAUCCCGCAUCAAUCAAUAUGACGAGACACCUUUAGUAUAUGCAGUGCGAUAUUAGUUGCAUUUUCAUAUGAUUUAUAGGAUGUGCUGCUUCUAAUUUGUUGAAAUGCCAUUUAUGAUGGGACGCUUUUAACUUGGUAGAGUCAUAUUGGUUGCAUCUUUCAUGUGGUGUCUAGCUUGCAUUGCUUCUUAUUUGUUGAAAUGGCUUCUGCUUAGUUUACACAAACAGUUGUGAAUAUGCCAUGCCGUCCUGUUUUUCGUACAUAUUCCAUCCUGGUAUCAUGUGUUUGCCUUACAUCAAAGUAGUGAUUGUCAGUAUCAUGCACAAAUGAGUUAUGAAGAGUGAAUUUUAUUGCUUUUUCUUGUCGGUUUUACUUGACAAUUCAAAAUCAAUAAAGCGGAAGGAAGUUAGCAAGGCAGCGGAUAAAGGUGCUCCUUUCAAACGGAGGGCCUGUACAGAUUCUACUCCUCCACCCCCAAGAUGAUCUGCAAGACAACACAUGCAUAGACACUCAACAUAGCUGUGUUGAUAAUGAGCACGUCUCCCCUAGUGCACCAUCACAGGUGCUCCCUCUAACUUGGCACUGUUAUAUGUGGUUGCAUGUUAUGUAUGAUGUCUAGCUUGUAUAGCUUCUAAUUUUGUUGAAUUCCAUCUGCUUACUUUACACAUUAUACUUGUGAAUAAGACACGUGUUCAUGUUUCUAGAACAUACAAUAUCUGUCUAUCACACCAUGUUCUUACAUCAAAGUACUACUGUUGUGUAACCUGCGACAAUCACUUAUCAUAAGACACGUUUGACUUGGGAGUGUGAUAUAGGUUACAUCUCGCAUUCGUUUCUAGCUUGUACUGCUUCUAAUUUGUUAAAAUGGCACUUAUGACGAGACAGUUUUAACUUGGUAGAGUGGUAUUCGUUGCAUCUUUCAUAUGGUGUCUAGCUUUCAUUGCUUCUAAUUUGUUGAAAGGCCUUCUGCUUAGUCUACACAUCAUAGCUGUGAAUAUGCAAUGCUGUCCUUUUUUCUUACACAUCCAGUUGUCCUAUCAUGCAGUCACCUUACACUAAAGUAGUGCUCGUCAGCAUCCUGCAUCAAUGAGUUCUGAAAAGCGAAUAUUUAUUCAUUUUUCUUGUGGGUUUGACUUGACAAGGCAAUAAAACUAAGAAAGAGGAAGGAAAAAAAACAAGGCAGGGACUGACGGCGGUCUUCCGGCGAAACCGGCAUCCGAGGUGCUUUCUCUAGCUUGGCAGUGUGAUAUUGUCUUGCAUGUUGCAUAUGGUGUCUAGCUUGCAUUGCUUCUUAUUUGUUGAAAUGGCUUCUGCUUAGUUUACACAAACCGUUGUGAAUAUGCCAUGCCGUCCUGUUUUUCGUACAUAUUCCAUCCUGGUAUCAUGUGUUUGCCUUACAUCUCGCAUUCUUUUCUAGCUUGUACUACUUCUAAUUUGUUGAAAUGGCACUUAUGUCGAGACAAUUUUAACUUGGUAGAGUGAUACUCGUUGCAUCUUUUAUAUGGUGUCUAGCUUUCAUUGCUUCUAAUUUGUUGAAAUGCCUUCUGCUUAGUUUACACAUCAUAAGCUGUGAAUAUGCAAUGGCACUAAUGAUGGGAGACCUUUAACUUGGUAGUGUGAUGUUGUUUGCAUCUUGCAUAUGAUUUAUUUCUUGUACUGCUUCACAUUUUUUUAAACGCCAGUUAUGACGAGACACUGUUAACUUGGCAGAGCGAUAUUUGUAGCAUCUUUCAUAUGGUGUCUACCUUACAUUGCAUUGCUUCUAAUCUAGUGAAAUGUCUUCUGCUUAGUUUACACAUCAUAGUUCUUAUUAUCUCAUUCCGUCCUGUUUUUCGUACAUAUUACAUCCUCCUAUCAUGUGGUUGUCUAACAUCAAAGUUCAGUUCAUCUAUAUCACGCGUCAAUUUGUUCUGAAGAACUAAAUUGUUAUUCAUUUUUCUUGUCGUCUUGACUUAACAUGGCACAGAGAAAGAGGAAGGAACACAGAAUAACGAGCGAUGAUGUUAGUACUAAGGACACACGAAAAUGGAAGCAGAAGAAUCCUGCAGAUUCUGCUGGUACUGAUGGUGCAAUAGAAGGUCAAAGUCCAGCGAAAAAUUGUACAAACGGGGUAUCCCGUGCUACAUGAGCUGCAGAACAAGUCAAAUAGAAAUCAAUAGCUGCCACCAAACAAGCAGAGAUAGCCCUAGUUGUUGCCACACCUUCCACAGUACCACCAGCUGCACGAGUUACUCGUUCGGCAACUCAGCUAGCAGCACGUUCCCAAGCUCCCUUGCCACCUGACACUACUUCCGAAGCACUCUUGACACAAGACGAGUUGGCAAGAUCAGAUGAACUUUGCGAGCUUCAAUAGCAAGAAGGUAGUUGCUGGAGUCAAGUUACAGUUGCAUGCUUCUUUAUAUGUAGUCUCACAGUUUGAUGUACACUAACACUUCCUAUGUUCAUUGUUGGACUAGCACCUAGGCGCAAGAGGAAACAAACAUCAGGGAUAAUGCUCGAUAGGUUAACUACAUCUAGAGGAGGAAGAAUGGAGAUUCGUUUUGAGGCAGGUUUAAAAAGGCCAUGUGAUGCUACAGGGUCAGCCAAGUUAGUAUCAGAGGCAGUGGUUGCUGUUAGGUGUCAUGUAUGUAUCCUCCCAACAUGGAUUCAGUACAGGAAUGACAAAGACGAAACCCAGUUCAACACCUUCCUCGACCAUUUAUCUGUAAGUAUGGUUAUGUAUGGAAACUAGUAAUAUCGUCUUGCUCUGUCCCAUACUUUCUAGGUUGCUGAUAAUGAGACUCUCAUAAUUUUCAACAGAUGAGGUUCAAGUUGGAUAGCGAAGAUGAUGCAAUCAGACAAGCUUGCACCCAUGUUUUCAAGUCUGCUCUGCGGUAUAACUUGAGGAAAACUCACUUUGAAGGCAAGGCUAACAGUGAACUUGCCCAAACAUCUCCAGUGGAAAAUAUAUCAGAUGAAGACUAGAGAGGCCUCGUUAAACACUGGUCUGAUCCAAAGUAUUAGGUACGUUAUACAUAUGUGCUCAGAUCACAUGUUGAACUCCUAUUUAAGCAUGUGCCUCACAAAUCUAUCUUCUUGUAGGUGAACUGUUCAAAGAACAAGGCCAACCGUAUGAAAGUGAAAUUCCAAUAGACGACAGGAUCUCGUAGCUAUAUUGCACACUGUAGGGCUCUUGUAAUUAGCUGCUGUUUCACUCUUUUUGCUGUACCAUAUUAUCAGAUCUAUAUUGACUUGUUCCAAAUGCAGAGGAAAGCCCGCAAGGACCAAAAAGUACCUGAACCAAAUGCUGUGGAAAUCUUCAAGGACUAUCACACCAGCAAGCCGAAGGGCAUGACUACACCAGUCAAAGCCGCUAUUGUAAGUCCUUAAUCCUCAUGCCUUUUAACUACUACUUACUCUGACUUGUGCAUUGAACUGCAUGGUUUGCAGCCAAUCUCUAUUACUCUUUUCAAUUUUAUACACAAUUGUCUUAGUGUAUCAUUGCACCUUACAAGGUUUAAAAGAGAGGAGUGAUGUUCCUUUGAUCUUGAUCUAUAAUCUAGUUCCGUGCUAGACUUGCCCACACAACGUUACAAUUGCCUGUUUGUUUGUUCUCAGUUGUUUUGUGAUAUGAAUGAUGUCAUACUAUGCUUACCGUAUUAUAAACUUUGUCUCUUUAUCCUUAGCUGUCAAUACAAUGUGAAGAAAUAGACAAUACAUUAGCCAUGGUAAAUGGUCAUAUGUUUGGAACCUGGUUUUAUUAUGUACUUUGCAGUAAAAUACAACUAAUAUUUUACAUGGGUUCACCAGAAUAAGUUUUGUAUAUAGACCAAAGCUAUUUUGUUUGGUUUUGCCGCCUCCUUAAUAUCUUCUGUUCUGGUACUACUAAUGUAAAAGCUCAACUUUUCAGCAAGCUAUGGAAAAAAUGGUGGAACCGCCACCUUUUGAAGGUGACGAGGCAACUAUAACCGCAAUGUCACCUCUUGCUGCAGUGGGUCAGUACAUGUCCACUAACAGCGCCAAAAGCACGUUCCUACGUAAUACUGGGUUGGUUGUUAAGGCAAUCUUGUCCAAACUGCCUCAUGAUCAAGAUAUGCAAGCUCAAAACAAUGUUAUAUCUGCGCUCCAGAUACAAGUCCAUUCCCUACCAGAGACCCUUUGUGAAACAAGGACAACCAUUGUUCGAUGUCGUCAAGAUAUGCAUGGUUUUGAAACCAGACUAUCAGACAUUUUCUAUGUUGUUCAGGAGACUAGGAGAAAUGAAGGCAAAGUUUAUGGUGCUCCAUCGGACAGUACAACAUGAAAACAUAACAGUCAAGUCAAAUGAACUGAGCUUCUGAACUUCUGGUGGUGCAUUUAUCUGCCAGACUGUUAACUUUUAUGCCAACCUUCCUUUUGUUUUAUGGUUGUAAUUUGUUUUGUUGCGAUACAAAAUUUGUUCUUAACGUGCAGCCACCGGCUGAAGAAAACAGCAAGCCAUUUUUGCAUAGUGUAGGGUGUUCCCUAUAUUUGCACUGGUGGCGAACUUUGAUGCCCAGUGGAUGUAAUCUGUGCAAUCGCCUUAAUAGCCUAGCAUUAGUUUCGGGCUUAUUUAUUUCCUAGUCUUCUUUUUCCCUGGUUUGCUAGUGUCCGCAACAACCAUGGGCCUUAUACGGACCGUGGUAACCUUGACCCUGCUACUGGCCGUAGGAUCCAUGGGCCUCCUAUGGGCCGUCGGAUAAAUGGGCCUCCAACGGGCUGGAGAAUCGGUGGGCCUCGGGCUGUUGGAUAAAUGGGUCCACAUGGGCCGUAAACGGGCGUAAUUGGUACCAGGCCAGCAUGGUAACGGGCCGUUAACAGGCCGGAAGACAGCAAAGGCUUAAUUCUGUCACAGUCAUAACGGGUCAUUAAUGGGCCAGAAUAUAGGACAGGCUGGAAACGGCGCAACGGGUUAACAGGCCACAAACGGGUCGAUUCUAGCCACGUGCCGAAUUUGGCCCAUUAGGAGAACAGGCCAGUAGCAAGCCGGAAGUAAUCGAGGGCCGGAAAGGAGCCCAAGAACGUAUGGGCCGUCAGUAGGCCGAAAGCUAACACGGGCUGGAAACGACCCAUGUGAAUGAUGGGCCGUUAAUGGGUACAAAGAAAUUUACUGUUCAUUAUGGGCCAGAGUCACCGUGGGCCACUAAAGGGCCUAAAGAUACGAACAACCUCAUAUGGGCCGAAAGACAUCGUGGGCCAUACAUGGGCCGAAUGUGAAACGGGCUGGUGUUAUAUUCAACGGCCCACAUGACAUUGUUGGGCCUCUUUCGGGAAGGCCCUAAUGGGCCGUGAGUUACCGGGCCGUAAAAUGGGCUAUUUGCGAACAUACCAUUAACAGGCUUUUCAUGGGCCGUCCCGCUAACUUUUGAGCAAGUCAAACGGGCCGGCCUUUGUAUGCUAAAUUGGCCAAUGGUGGGCCGCCGCACGUGUCGACAUAUCAUAGGCGCCUAUCUGACCCAAUGACGAGUUGACACGUGUUUCCUUCGGCUAAUGAGAAUUUUACACGUGGAAAAUCCCCAUUGGUCCAGGCUGUUAACGGCUUAUCGGAUCCAAAACCGGACCUGAUAGCUUAAUGCGACCCAUUACGGUGAAUGCCACGUGUCGGUUACCCUUGAAGAAAACACUUCCAUGACGUGUCAUUUAUCGUCAUGGAAGUGAACACUUCCAUGAUGAUAAUUUUGGUAUUGUCAUGGAACACUUCUACGACAGCACAGGUAUGACUAUCUUGAUUCUGUCAUAAAAUCAUCAUGGAUGUACAUACAUGACAGAAAAGGUGACCUACCGUGACAAACACGUAUCAUCACAGAAGUGUAUUUUUUUGUAGUGAUACCAUGUUCUCCUCGAUGUUCUUGGAGAUCUAUCCGAUGUAAUCUUCUUUUGCGGUGUGUUUGUCGAGAUCCGAUGAAUUGUGGAUUCAUGAUCAGCUUAUCUAUGAAUAUUAUUUGAAUCUUCUCUGAAUUCUUUUAUGCAUGAUUUGAUAUCUUUGUAAUUCUCUUCGAACUAUCGAUUUAGUUUGGCCAACUAGAUUGGUUUUUCUUGCAAUGGGAGAAGUGCUUAGCUUUGAGUUCAAUCUUGGGGUGUCCUCACCCAGUGAAAGUAGGGGUAGUGUCGUGGAUUUGUCACGGUAGAUGUUCUAGUGUGAGGACUUAGUCGUGAGGCCAACGCAUCUAUGUGAUAGCUUGAGAGGGGUUGAGCGGAAUCAAGAGACGCAACACAAGACAAGGAUUUAGACAGCUUCGGGCCCCGGGAAACAUCAUCCGAUAAUAGCCCUACAUGCCGUUUGUGGCUAGAUCUCAUUAUGAUCAUGAGAGAGUCACCGCAUAAGCCGGCUCCCCCUUUGUGUCUAGCCCUAGAGAUUGUUUAUUGUUGCUUGUCUCUCUUUGGGGAGCCUUGCCCCUCCUUAUAUAAGUUGAAGGGGCGGUUUACAUGACUAGUCCUAGUUGGAUUAGGAUUACUCUAUUACAAGUGGAGUCCUAGUCUUGCUUCCUUUGUAGGAGAAUAUUCCUUAUGUCUUCCUCUUAAAACGGCCCACCAUUAACAUGAACCGGCCUUCUGGGCCUUGGGCCUUGUCAUCCGUCUGACUCGCCCGCCGGGUCACCAGUGAGUCAUAAUGACCAGGCGGGUUGCUUGUAAACCGCCAGGUCAGGGCGGGUCACCAGUGAAUCGCCAAGUGCUAGCCAGGUCUCAAGUAAACUGCCAAGUCUGGCCGGGUUAUACUUCCGGCCAGUUUACGCUGCGGGGUAUAUCCCCGACAUUAGCCCCCAGUUUAAUUUGGAUUUAUCCAUGUUAAACUGAUCCUGUAAAACAAACACAAGAACAAAUUUGACAGAUUAUGCUCCGGGUUAAGAAUUCUUGUAAACCGACACCUGAUCAUCCUUAAUUCCUUGUCAUUUCCUUCUUCUAGAAAAUCCAGGUCAAUAAGCCAGCUUCAUACUCAAUUUGCUGACAUUGGUUUCUCACAGAAAAAUAUUUUGAAGAAUGAUCCACUUGAGUAGGCUUCCAAAGCGUCGGCUUAAGAAAUAUUGGUCUUGAAAUACUCAUCUGAUAUUCAACCGGUUUGAAGAUGUAAAACUUGCCGGUUUAAUAUUACCAAAAUUGCCGGUUUGUAAAUACCGAUGCCACCGACUCAUAAUUGUUGCCGUCGCCGGGUCAUAAUUAUUGAUGACGUCGGGUUAAUCUGGUUUGCUCAAAACUGAGAAUUUGAAAAUAUUUCUCCUUAUAUGCAUAUUACCUGUAGCCCCCAAGUCUUUAGCAGAACAAAGUGAUGGUUUAAGACUUGCUUCAAUAUAAAUACUGCCACUUUUGAAGAAAUCCAUGUUGUUCAUCCCAGUCACUAGUAAAAACUGAAUACUCCAUAUUAUGUAGCCCCCAAGUGCCGGGUUGGCAUGCUUGCAGCAACCUGGGACUUGUAAUUGCAUGAUGCUCAAAAAACUUCAACCAGUGUAGCCCCCAAGGGCCGUGUCAUUAUGCAAUAAUGAGCAGGGACUUUAUAAAUAUGAUCUUGCUUCAUUGAAAAUAACAUCAUAUGAUGUAACUCCCAUCAUGGGGCUUGAACCCACGUCCACAAGGUUAAGAGCUUUGUGCUUUACCAACUGAGCAGUGGACCCUUCAAUAUAAUGGAUUAAGACUUGUGUACCUUGAAUUGUUGACAGGAGCAAUUGGUAGCCCCCAAGGGCCGGCUCAUUACAAUGUGAUGAGUCGGGUCUUCAAUAAAGUGAGCAAAAAAUGACUUUGCAUUAGCCCCCAAGUGUCAUGGUGCAUGCUUGCAGCGACAUGAGACUUGCAUAUUUGAUGAAAUCUCAACGUGAAUAAUGUAGCCCCCAAGUGUCGGGUCGUAAGCCUGCAGCGACUCGGGACUAUUCCUUCAAUUGUAGAAUAAAUCAUAUCCAUUGAUAAUAUAAUAGCCAUUGCACUAAAGCGACCUUGAAAACCUUAAUCAUAACACUGGUUACUGAUAACCAUAAUAAAAUCCAGCCAUGUUGGCUAUUUGAAGAUUUGAAUAAUAUAAUCCAAUGAUUUAUGAGCGCAUGAUUCCAAUGGCGCAAUCCAAAUAUAUACUGACGACUUAUAAUCCCAAGCCAGUCCGAGUUAAUAAACACUGGAUAAUUUAUACACAUACUGGUGACUUAUAGUCGAAAAUCCGGCUGGGUUAAUAAACGUCGGUGAUUUAUAAUCAUGCUUUAUUCAACCUGUUUCUGCAUACAACAAGUUUAAAGUGUCCUGGCGGUUUACCGCCGGACGGGUCAUAAUGCCCAACAUAUAACCCGGGUUUAUAACCAAGGCUGCACUUAAGAAUAAUCAAAUAUGUAAUAUAUCAUACCUGUGACAUUGAAUCACAUCGUUGGUUUACCAACUUUUUGUAGUAAGGGUGAUAACCCAAAUCUUGAGUACGGAUAACUCCUUCCAUAUUGUUCCGGUUUAUGAUAAAACCGUAUCGGGUAUUGAUAAACACCAGAUUAUCCAUAUAUAACACUGGCGACUUAUAGUCGAAACCAGACCGGGUUAAUAAGCGCCGGUUUAUAACUGAUCAUGUACUGACAACUUGUAGUUGAAAGCCGAGCCGGGUUAAUGAACGCCGGUUCAUCAAAAACAUUAUAAAUCUCAUCAAAAGAGAAAAAACUUGGCAAAUAAAAGCAUAUGAAAACUUGUAGUCGAGGCUUUUCACGGGCUGCCAGGCCCCAAAUUCGAGGCUAUUCAUGGGCUGCCAGGCCGCUGAGUUAAACCAUUUUACAAAGCCUUUUAAGAUGGACCUCAAUCUUUAACCAAUCGUCAUUUUAACUUUGACAAGUUCAGGGUCUUAUGAGAUUGACUUUUCAAAGUUCGGCGGGUCAUACCAGGUUUACCUGGACGGAGUGAAUUACUUAAAAAAGGCAGGCUAACCCGGGGUUUUAGGUGUAUACACCAGGCUUCCAAGCCGUGGCUUGAUAGCCUAUUACAAGUGUAAAUUCUUUGUUCAUUGCGAUAGCAAAGAAUUCCCAAGCAAUAUUUUGAGCUGUGCUCAGUGGGUGCCUAUGUUUGAGUUGUUCUUUUGCAACACUCUCUUUGGCCCCUAAGUAGUUUUCUGGUGUAGCUAUGGUUCGGACACGACCAAGCCCCCAAAUGAUUUUUCUGGUGGCCUUGCGCCGAUCAAGAGGUGUAGCUAUGGUUCGAAUACGACCAAGCCCCCAAGUGAUAUAUUUCUGAGCUGUGCUCGCCGGGUGACUAUGUUUGAGUUGUGCCAUGCAACAAACUCUCUUUGGUCCUUAUAAAUUUUCCUGAGAACUCGAACUUUGCGAGAGAUAUUUCUUCUUGAACCGGAUGUUAAACCGGAUAUUGAGAUCUUCAAAGCUUUACGGGAGACAUCUUUCCCUUGAACCGGAUCUUAAACCAGAAUCUUCAUUUUCAGCCGGAAAUUUUUUGACGACCUUUAAACUCGAACUUGCGGGAGAUUAAUUCUUUUUGAACCGGAAAUUCUUAAACCAGAUUUGAGAGCUUCAGAGCUUUGUGGGAGAACAGAUUUCCCUUGAACCGGAUUUUAAACCGGCAUUCUUCAUUUUGAACCGGAAAUUUUCUGACGGCCUUUAAAUUUUCAUUAAUAUGGUAGUAGCCUCCGGGGCCGGGUUAUCUUUCCCUCCACCGUCCUGGGGUUCUUGACUUCACUGAAAACCGGCAACAUUUGCUGAGUCAUAUCAUUGCAGCCCCCGAGUCUCAAGGUGACUCGAGGAGUCGGCUUGAGAUUCUCCAUAUUUGACCAUGAUAUAAACCGGCAUAAGUUGUAUAUCAUUGGUGUUGAUAGCAUGACGUGAAUCCACAGAAGGUUGAGGUGACUGCGGCGGGUUAUAAAUGAUCCCGUAUGAGCCGUGUCAGCAACUCGGCCAAUGGUUCCUUCCAACUGGCGAUUUGAAGUUAACCAAACUGUAGUGGCGGCGACGUGUGCGCCUGCCCAUUGGGCCACCCAGUGCAGACGGCGGUUGAUAGUAUAUGAUAAUUUGCCUCCAUUUUGUUGAAAGAAAACCGGGCUACCCAAGCUGUGACUUGCUCAUACUCAAUAAACAACUCAUGCAGACCGGUGCGUCCCGGUAUGUUGAUGUAGACCAGGCCGCGAGAGACGGACAGCAAAGACGACCACAGCAUCAGAGGCAGCUCGGACAGAUGAUUCGGCCGCGACAUUGUAAGCCGGCACGGACGAGCGAGUUAAUCACAGGUGCGGUCCCAGCAAGCUGAUGUAAACCGGGUCGUAAAGACGGCGUCUUGCACGCAUCCAUUCACCGUGUAAUAUGGUAUGGACGAACACCGGGCAGGAUGUUGCCAGCGCGUGCUCCGUACCCAUGGUAUGAGCCACUUUUGUCGUGACUAAUUAUCCUGCAUAAAAGGUAUUGCAGGCGAGAGUAAUUUUUCUCAAAAUCAUAAAAAAUGUAUCAAUAAAAAUUGACUGGAUGGAUUUAACCUGAUAUGUUUAGCCGGAAAUUUUCCGCCGUGAUGUUACGAUCCGGUCGCGACAUAUAAGCCGGCGCGGACGAGCAAGUUGUCCUCCUCGUUGUAUGCUGGCGCGGAUGUAACACCCACGAUGCGGCUAUAUCUCCCACGUGUCGAGGCAUGACUUAGAGGCAUAACCGCAUUGUGGUUUUGUCGCAAGAAGGGUCAUCUUCACACAAUCCCAUGUAAUGAACAAGAAUGGGAUAAAGAGUUGGCUUACAAUCGCCACUUCACACAAUAUAUAAAUAAAACAUACAUCAUACAGAGUACACACAUAGGUCCGACUACGGAAUCAAAAGAAAAGAAGGCAACCCAACUGCUAGGUCCCCGAUCGUCCCAACUGGGCUCCACUACUGAUCAACAUGAAAAGAAAAACACAACGAACAAGAUCUUCAUCGGGCUCCCUCUUGAGCUCAGUUGCGUCACCUGCACUGGUAUCAUCGGCACCUGCAACUGUUUUGAAAGUAUCUGUGAGUCACGAGGACUCAGCAAUCUCACACCCGCGAGAUCAAGACUAUUUAAGCUUAUAGGAAAGGAUGGUGUAAUGGGGUGGAGCUGCAGCAAGCACUAGCAUAUAUGGUGGCUAACAUACGCAAAUAAGAGCGAGAAGAGAAGCAACGGAAUGGUCGUCAACUAGAAAUGAUCAAGAAGUGAUCCUGAACUCCUACUUACGUCAAACAUAACCCAGAAACCGUGUUCACUUCCCGGACUCCACCGAGAAGAGACCAUCACGGCUACACACGCGGUUGAUGCGUUUUAAUUAAGGUCAAGUGUCAAGUUCUCUACAACCGGAUAUUAACAAAUUCCCAUCUGCCACAUAACCGCGGGCACGGCUCUCGAAAGUUUAUACCCUGCAGGGGUGUCCCAACUUAGCCCAUUAUAAGCUCUCAUGGUCAACGAAGGAUAUUCCUUCUCCCAGGAAGACCCGAUCAGUCUCGGAAUCCCGGUUACAAGACAUUUUGACAAUGGUAAAACAAGACCAGCAAAGCCGCCCGAAUGUGCCGACAAAUCCCGAUAGGAGCUGCACAUAUCUCGUACUCAGGGCACACCGGAUUGUCCAAGCUUCCGGUAGGCCAGCCCAGAGUUGCCCCUGGUGGCCACCGGCGACUGACGGGUUGGACCAACACUCAGAGGAGCACUGGCCCGGGGGUUUAAAAUAAAGAUGACCCUUGAGUCUGCAGAACCCAAGGGAAAAAGGCUUAGGUAGGCAAAUGGUAAAACCAAGGUUGGGCCUUACUGGAGGAGUUUUAUUCAAAGCGAACUGUCAAGGGGGUCCCAUAAAUCACCCGACCGCGUAAGGAACACAAAAUCAAGGAACAUAACACCGGUAUGACGGAAACUAGGACGGCAAGAGUGGAACAAAACACCAGGCAUAAGGCCGAGCCUUCCACCCUUUACCAAGUAUAUAGAUGCAUUAAAAUAUAUAAGAGAUAUUGUGAUAUCCCAACAUAAACAUAAUCCAACAUGGAGCAAUCUUCAACUUCACCUGCAACUAACAACGCUAUAAGAGGGGCUGAGCAAAAGCGGUAACAUAGCCAAACAACGGUUUGCUAGGAAGGGUGACAAAGGUUAGAGGUUCAUGGCGAUUUGGGAGGCUUGAUCAGCAAGUGGUAGGUAGCGCGGCAUAGCAAUAGAGCGAACAACUAGCAAGCAAAGAUAGAAGUGAUUUCGAGGGUAUGGUCAUCUUGCCUGAGAUCCCGCAAGGAAGAAGAACGAGUCCAUGAAGAAGACAAGCGGACGGAGUCGAACGAAUCCUCACAACUCCGGAACGAAACCGAAGCUAACGGGAGAAGCAAACCGGAAAGAAACAAACAACAUAGUAAACAACCACCACAUACACAUGGCAUGAUGCACAGACAAGUAUGAUGCAUGUACGGUUUAAAUAUGCAUGUGUCGGAGUAAUUGGACACGGGUAUCCCGAAGAUGACGAGACAAUAUUUCAAGACAUCGGGGCUAGCAAAGCCCCUCAGUCCGACUGCCCGGCCGCUCCUGCCGGCUCCCCGUCCGACUGCUCCACCCGGCCGGCUGCCAGCUGACCGACUGCACCGACUAGCCGGCUGCCGACUGCAGUCCGACCCGGCAUCGACAAGACCCCGACGAGACGGCCAUACCGCGGACAAGACAACCGUACCGCAACACCAUCAUGUAUAGUGUCACUUGUCCCCUGGCACUAUUCAUGAAGUGACCUAGGGGACAAGCAUGACAUGCACCAUGCCUUGCUCCCAUACCUCCACAUAGCUUAGAUACAAAGCUACCCUCUCCUAUAAAAGGAGACACACAUCCAUCCAUCCAUGGAUGGACUCACGUACACACUCACACAAGAAAGCUAGCUAGCAAGAGAGCUAGCUAGCCAUCCAUCCAUCCAUUCCCACGGGCAAGCAUGCCCAAGCACCACAUGCGGCCAUGCUCAUGGCCGGCCACUAAAGCAUGCUUUGUGCAUGCAUAUAUGGAGCCAGAUGCCCAUGGCACUGACCCCAGAUACAGCUCUAGGAGCACUUUGUACUGCCCGAUGUACACCCCAGUUAUAUAUGCUCAGACAUGCAGGAGUAGGGGUAUUAUCUCUCCGGAGAGCCCCGAACCUGGGUAAACUAGCGCGUGCUACUCGCUUACCCGCUCCCAGUCCUAUCAGCAGCAGUCUUACCCUCACACAAAGCCCUUGUGGCAUCUGUCGCCUCACACCCCCCCGUGAGAACACCACGACAGUUGGCGCCCACCGUGGGGCGGUACUAUGCCACCGCGCUGCUGCUGGUUUCGCAGUUCGGGCGGGACCAUCUUUGUCAUCAUCACCGCGGCGCCGCGCCGUCCCUCCGAUAGCGGUCGAGGGCUCGAUAUCGACAUGCCCUCGGAAUGACCGCGAGGGGCGACGCGUCCUCGCCGUCGGGACCAUCUUCACCAUCAUCGCCGCGGCGUCGCGCCGUCUCUCCGGUAGCGCUCGGGGGCUCGACUUCGACCCGCCCCCGGAGCGGCCGCGCGGGACGGCGCGUCCUCGUCGUCGGCCUCGCCGCCUUCGUCAUCAUCACCGUUGCGACGCCGGAUGUCCGUCCGCGCGCGCGCCGCGCGCGGGGCCUAGGUUGACCCCGGCCCCGCGCCGUUACGUCUGUGGCUGCGCGCACGCUUCAUCGCGGCGCCUCGCUCCGGCCAGCUGGCUCCCCUCCGUACAGGCGCUGGCUGCAGCUUCUGUUCGAGCGGGCCGCCAGCUCCUCCGCGACUUGCCUCCCGUGCGCGAGCCCCCGCCCCUGCUGGUGCAGGCCCCCACCCCGAGCUCCCCNNNNNNNNNNNNNNNNNNNNNNNNNNNNNNNNNNNNNNNNNNNNNNNNNNNNNNNNNNNNNNNNNNNNNNNNNNNNNNNNNNNNNNNNNNNNNNNNNNNNNNNNNNNNNNNNNNNNNNNNNNNNNNNNNNNNNNNNNNNNNNNNNNNNNNNNNNNNNNNNNNNNNNNNNNNNNNNNNNNNNNNNNNNNNNNNNNNNNNNNNNNNNNNNNNNNNNNNNNNNNNNNNNNNNNNNNNNNNNNNNNNNNNNNNNNNNNNNNNNNNNNNNNNNNNNNNNNNNNNNNNNNNNNNNNNNNNNNNNNNNNNNNNNNNNNNNNNNNNNNNNNNNNNNNNNNNNNNNNNNNNNNNNNNNNNNNNNNNNNNNNNNNNNNNNNNNNNNNNNNNNNNNNNNNNNNNNNNNNNNNNNNNNNNNNNNNNNNNNNNNNNNNNNNNNNNNNNNNNNNNNNNNNNNNNNNNNNNNNNNNNNNNNNNNNNNNNNNNNNNNNNNNNNNNNNNNNNNNNNNNNNNNNNNNNNNNNNNNNNNNNNNNNNNNNNNNNNNNNNNNNNNNNNNNNNNNNNNNNNNNNNNNNNNNNNNNNNNNNNNNNNNNNNNNNNNNNNNNNNNNNNNNNNNNNNNNNNNNNNNNNNNNNNNNNNNNNNNNNNNNNNNNNNNNNNNNNNNNNNNNNNNNNNNNNNNNNNNNNNNNNNNNNNNNNNNNNNNNNNNNNNNNNNNNNNNNNNNNNNNNNNNNNNNNNNNNNNNNNNNNNNNNNNNNNNNNNNNNNNNNNNNNNNNNNNNNNNNNNNNNNNNNNNNNNNNNNNNNUCCGCCUGGCCGGAGCGCCUCCGCCAGCCACCGCCUCCAGCCACCUGCGCGCCCGCGCCACGAGCUCAGCCUCCCGUCGCAGGCGCCGCUUGGCCCCCCGUCCAGCUUCGCGCACGCCGGCCUCCCGCCCUCCGCGCAACCCGGCCCGGCCGGCUCCGUGCCUCCCAGGUUCGGCUCCCCCCGCGCCGACUCGCCGCCUUGCCCACCCGCCGGCUCCCCGCUCGCCUGCUGCCGGUUCCCACAUCCAGCUGUCCAGGGCCGGCUGGAGAAGAAAAGAGAAAGGGCCGAUUGCCCGACGCGAAAAAAAAGGAAAGAAAGAGGUCGGCUGGGACAAAGAAAAGGAAAAACUCCGUCUAUCCGUCCGCCUGCUUCGUCACUCGGACGGCCGGACGCGACCCGGCCUGCCUGUCCGCCUUGACGCCUGGCCAGUCGAACCUCGGCCCGAAUCUCGGGGGCUACACCCGGCGGGUGUGCUGACGCGCCCCCGCGAGGAGAGAAGACAGGGUAGUCGCCGGGAGAUCCGGCCCGACUGCUCAGCAGUCGACACGAAUCUCGGGGGCUACACCCAGCGGGUGCGCUGACGCGCCCCCGCGAGGAGAGAAGACAAAGUAGUCGCCGGGAGAUCCGGCCCGACUGCUCAUCAGUCGACCCGAAUCUCGGGGGCUACACCCAGCGGGUGCGCUGACGCGCCCCCGCGAGGAAAGAAGACAAAGUAGCUGCCGGAAGAUCCGGCCCGACUGCUCAGCAGUCGGCCCGAAUCUCGGGGGCUACACCCAGUGGGUGCGCUGGCGCGCCCCCACGGAAGAUUGCUGACAAGAGAAGAAUUUUGUCCGGUUGCCAGCAGCCGGCAGAAGAAGAAAAAGGGUGCUGCAAGACGCCUCGCUGCCUGGCCGGUCGAGCCUGACUGGUCGGGACCCUCCUCGAGCGCCCGGGGGGCUCGAAGGCUACACCCAGCGGGUGCGCCGGCUCUCUUCGGCAAACCCCGCCUCGGCUACACGAAAAUUAAUGUGAGCUCCUCACCCGCAUAUUUUUUACCACGAGAGCACGGAUAACCUCGAGCGAUGCUCGGGGGCUAUCUCCGCAUUUUAUUACAGUUGCAUCACUGUUCGCCCCGGCGCCAGCCAGAGUUGGCCCGGGGGCUGGCCGCUUGGCCUGAGACGUUAGGUCCCGCAGACGGCUUAGUAGCGUGCGCGGUAUGAAAAGCCCACUCUUAGUCACAGACCGCAGAGCGGCUGUCCGACUGGCAAGAGUGAACGCUGAAGGCCACCCACGCGAAAAACGUCCGGGAAGAAAAACGCUUCGGGCGACCCGACCGUUUUCUUUACGAGUAUCUACUCGGUUAAAUUCGCUCCCAGAGUCUGAGUAUUGUACACUCCACUCCGCGGCCCACUCUCAGCCACAGACCGCAGAGCGGCUGUCCGGCAAGCGAGAGCACAAGCCAAAGAGCGGAGGGAACAUGAAAAAGAUUGAAGGGGGCUCGGACGAAACCGAGUCGGCACCCUCCGCAUAAAACUUGCAGUGCUAAAAAGCAAUCAUUUGACAUAUCUGCAUGGACUAACUUUGUCUUUUGCAUGAUCAUUUCCAUGAACACUCGCGAAAAAACCUCCGCCCGACUUUGCCAAGUCGCCCAGAGGCUUGGGGGCUACUGUCGGAGUAAUUGGACACGGGUAUCCCGAAGACGGCGAGACAAUAUUUUAAGACAUCGGGGCUAGCAAAGCCCCUCAGUCCGACUGCCCGGCCGCUCCUGCCGGCUCCCCGUCCGACUGCUCCACCCGACCGGCUGCCAGCUGACCGACUGCACCGACUAGCCGGCUGCCGACUGCAGUCCGACCCGGCAUCGACAAGACCCCGACGAGACGGCCAUACCGCGGACAAGACAACCGUACCGCAACACCAUCAUGUAUAGUGUCACUUGUCCCCUGGCACUAUUCAUGAAGUGACCUAGGGGACAAGCAUGACAUGCACCAUGCCUUGCUCCCAUACCUCCACAUAGCUUAGAUACAAAGCUACCCUCUCCUAUAAAAGGAGACACACAUCCAUCCAUCCAUGGAUGGACUCACGUACACACUCACACAAGAAAGCUAGCUAGCAAGAGAGCUAGCUAGCCAUCCAUCCAUCCAUUCCCACGGGCAAGCAUGCCCAAGCACCACAUGCGGCCAUGCUCAUGGCCGGCCACUAAAGCAUGCUUUGUGCAUGCAUAUAUGGAGCCAGAUGCCCAUGGCACUGACCCCAGAUACAGCUCUAGGAGCACUUUGUACUGCCCGAUGUACACCCGAGAUAUAUAUGCUCAGACAUGCAGGAGUAGGGGUAUUAUCUCUCCGGAGAGCCCCGAACCUGGGUAAACUAGCGCGUGCUACUCGCUUACCCGCUCCCGGUCCUAUCAGCAGCAGUCUUACCCUCACACAAAGCCCUUGUGGCAUCUGUCGCCUCACACCCCCCGUGAGAACACCACGACAGCAUGGCAAAGUGCAACAAACAAUACUACAAAUUAAGUGGAGUUCAAUAUGCAACGAGUUGCAUAUUGACGAAACACCACAUACGAUUAUUUAGUUCUCUCUCAGUUAUGAACCCAACCAUAUUAAAUGUUGUUAAACAUGGUAAGAGGUGAAACAUAAGUAAACUAACUAUUUAGGCAAGUUUAAAUGAGGCCGGAACAACAAACAAAAAUUCCGGAAAAUCCUCAUGUGCAUGUUUCGAAUAUACUACUGUUCUGCCCUAUACACAAUUUUAGAGUUGUUAAACAUGCAAAGUAAUGCUACCAUGUUAAUCUAUGCAUUUUUCUAGCCCAUUUACAUAUAAAGAACAAUUAAAACCGAGCUACGGUUAUUUAGUUAUGAAAUAAACCAUUUUAACAUAGCAUUUAUGCAAAUUUAAACAACCAUCAUUUUAAACAAUUUUAAACAUGGAUGAGAGUGGCAUAUUAUUAAACUACACAAAUUUCUGAGCAUUUUACAUGUUAAAAUCAUUUUAAUCCGAUGCACCAUUUGUGAGUUAUUAUAUGCAUGAAGUACAGGGGGUUUUCUGUAAAACUGUAAUUCUCUGGAUAAUAGUGAAAUUCGCAGAUCCUGAAAAAACAUCACAUGGGCCAAAUGUGAAUAGGAAGCCCAACAGAGGAAAAAAACAAGAGGAGGGGGGCUGGGGUGUGGCCUCACCCAGUAGGCCUUGGCCCGUUCGGUGGAGGAGGUAGCAGGCCGGUUGAGGAGCUGGAGCAGGCUGGGCCUUGGCCAGCGAGGCAGAUAUGCGCUGACGAGGCUCGCGCGGUCAAUGGGGCGAGCAGCUGCAUCCAGUCGAGCGAAGCAGAGGAAGCAUCGGCGCUGAGAGCAGGUCGACGCCGCGGGGCGUCCGGCAGUGGCGGCGCUUGGUGACAGGAGGCGGGCUUGGCAGGGGCGCGGAGGCUGCUCAAUCCGGCGAGGACGGGCAAAGGGGCGCCGGCUCCGGGCAACGGCAGGAGGCAGGGGCUUGGCGCUGGCUCUCUGCUCCUCCCGCAGCGAGACGAAGCAGGGGCGCAGCACGGCGGGACCACAGCGGCGGAUGCGGCGGCUCGACGCAGGGGACUUGGCGCGGCGGCGCAGGGACGCUGGGCGUUCCUGGCUUCGGUCGAAGAUGGGGCACCAGGAUCGGGGAGAGCACCUACUGAAGAUGGCGGCAGGGAUCGGUCAGGGGCGUCAGGCAGAGAGAGUGGGGGAGAGGGAAGGGAAGGAGGCGCGGCACGGGCCUGCUAGAGGUGGCCGCCGAUGGAGCUGCUGCUCACCUAGGCGACGACGAGGAGAAGGCCGCCGAAGGCGUGGGUUGGAGUAGAGGAGGAAGGGGCGGCGCUCGAAGGAGGUCAGCGGAGGAAGGGCAUCUCAGGCGCGCUCGGGGUCACUGACAACGGCGCCAUGGGGCUCGGCUGCGUCUCUGUGGUGGCGCGAUCCGGUGAUGGCGAUUGGAGCAGAGGACUUGAGGCCGCGGCGGGGUCGAGCUGCUUGACGGCGGGGCCAUGGCGUCCUGUGGAGGCAACAGAGAGAUGAGCAGGGAAACGAGAAGAGAUAGAGGAAGGGAAGGAAAAACAGGGAGGAAGGGCGCGGACGGGGACUGCCUGGGCGCGGAGGACGAAGGAUGCGGGCGCAGGUGGAGGCGCACGGGAGGAGGAGCUCUGGUUGGUUGGAUCGAUGGAUUGGGGGGGGGGAAUGAGGAGAUCCCGAGGUGGGAGACGACAAGGUGGAGUGUGGCGGCGGCUAGGAGGAUGGAUGGGACAUCUCCCUAGAAGUUAGGGUUUGUCCAUAUAUAGAUUAGGGGACUUUAUAUAGGGAAAGAAAGGGGUAUUUUGGAUCAUCUGAUUAAAAUCGGACGGCUGAGAAAAUAUAGUUUAGGAAGUCCAAUGAAGAAAACGGUGAUGUUUUGUAGAUGUUUGGGGAUGAUCCGAAUCCAACGGUAACAACAAACCGGGUCGGGUACGGGACAACUUUCGGACGCGCGGGAGGGGAUCGCGGGCUGACGAGAGAGGUUAGUUGGUUUGACAAGAGGGAACCGAAAACACGGUUGGUCUCGGAAUGGUCAACGAAAGCAAGGGGGGAACACGGCAACUACGAUCGGAUGCAUGUUUUUAAAAGCAAAGACGGCAACGAGUGCCGAUGCAAUGCGAAUGAUGCGAUAAUGAAUGCAACAAACCAACGAAACACAUGACAACAACGAAAAACAUGGAAGCCGUCUGGAGCGUCGGUCUCGGGGCGUUACAACACUCCACCACUACAAGAGGAUCUCGUCCUGAGAUCUAGGAUGGCACCGGAGAAAAACGGAAGAGGAAGAGAAAAGGUAAAGCUAAGUUGCUUCUUUGACAAACGAGUGAAAACAAAGAACCUUGAGAGGUCGCAAAGCUUGAAGAAAUGACACGACAGAGGUGAACAAAAUUGAGAAGACUCCGGUAGAAAAGAGAGACAAGGAACACCAAGAGAACCUUGAGGUUAAGUGACACAAUAGAUAUUUGAACCACUCCGGUUAAAACAAGAUAGGGAAAGAAUAAGAAUGAUAUAAUUUGGGCAGCACUCCGACUGUAAAUGGAAGGAAUUGAACAUGAUCUUGACAAGAUGAGUGGAUACUCGAUGAAAUUAAUAACACAUUGCCUCCGGAACUAAUGAAAGAAUGGCACAAGGGGUAAGAAAGAUUUCAGGCCGCACUCCGGUUGAGGAAGGAGACAAAACUUGAUAAAAUGAGAGAACUCGAAUGAAAACACGACACUCCGGCUAAAUGGAUAAGAAAGGAAAAAUUACAUGCUCUUGACAAAACAAGAUGAUUGGUCGAAGAGAGCAACAUCAGAAUGCCUCCGGGAUGGACGGAUAGAAGAUAGAUCGUCGGAAUAAGAUAACGGAGAAGAAAAUGACAACUUCUGCCACAAAUGAGCUUGGAAAACACCCUUCCAAGAAGGUUAUAACGGAGUAGUUGGAAAAUCAACAACGAAAACAAUAAGCUUGUAGUGGGCUUAUGUAAACACCUCAACAUUAUGAGGUGACAAACGGCCACUAAGGGAAGCCAUUGGUUUGAGUGAGAGCACCAAGGCGAUGAAAAACUUCUUUCACCAAGAGGAUAGGAGAAAACUUGGAUCAUUGAUAAACACCACAAAUAGCUACAUUCCUUAGGGAAGGCUAUAGGUGAAAUAUAACCCAAUACAACUCCAACAAAAAAAAUUGAUUGGACGAAAAGAUCUCUUGAACGAAGAGAAAAUGAUGGAUUUAAUUAUCUCAUUCCUGACAACUUGUGAAUCAUGCAAUAUGAAGGAAAUAAUCAAGAAUGACAUAACACCACCUCAAAAGAUAAGAGAGAAAGAAUUACACUUCAGAAUGCAAGAUGAAGAAUGCUUGAACUCCUCAAAACAAAACAUGUGUAGAACACCAUGUUUAUCUUUGAGUAUAGCUUGGCGGAUCAUAACUUCGAGAGAAUUCUUGAAGAACAAAUGAAGAAUGAAAGGAAUCCUUGAUGAGCCACCAUGUUGAUCCUCCAUGAAGAUCUCCGAUAAUAAAAGAAUGAUCAAACGAAAGGGAAAGUUGAAAAGAACUCCGGGAGAAGCCUUUCAAUGAUUAGAUGAAGCUUUGAAAUGAUAUAAUUGAAAUAACUUGGAACUCCGGAAAGAAAAGAUGAACAACUGAAAUCAAGAAUUUUGAUGAACCUCUGGAAAGAAAAGAUGGACAACAUAUAACUGAGAUAUUGAUAUCACGAACAAACUCCGGUUGAAAGAAUUAAACACUUGGAUGAAACAAGAACAAGAAUUAUGUUAUGCGUAUCCUUCACCAAUAUAAAUUGAUGACAAGCAACGGAUUUUGGCAUACUACUUAUUCUCGUAGAAAGGAUUAAGAGAGAUAUAGCGCAAACUUGAAUAAGGUCUUCCACAAAUCGUCGGUAGGAUUUGAAAGAACGAAUGAGUUGAUACGAUAACGAAGGAAGUGAAAUCUUGAACGAACCACCGUAAGAAUUGGAAAUGAAAGUAGCAAAGGCGCAAUACAUCGGGAAGAAUUAGAAAACGAAUAAAGAUACUUGACAGAAAAUUUAGGUACAUGAGAACGAAGAGAUCAUGAACUGAUUAGAGGAUAUUGGAAUGAUGCACCAGAAGAUUAUGGAGAUGAACGAAGAGACAUCAAUUUAGAAUAAUUGGAGAACGAGGCUGAAAACUUAGAACGAAGAAAUCUUUUGAAAAGAUGGCCUUUGGAUGAUCAAGAAAUGAAAACAACUCUGAAAUGCUCCGGAUGGGUAAGAAAAGAAUUGCGUGAUUGGAAACAAUUUGAGAGGAUGGCAACAAGUUAGAGCCAUGAAUCUUUGGAAGAACGGGUAAGGAUUUAAGAGGAACUCUUCUUUGGUCUUCAAAAUCCGAGAAUGGUGACGAGAAAUACCACCAAAAUUAUUGAGACACUCCGGAACAAUGGAUAAUAGAAAUGAUGAACCAACGAUGAAAGAAUUUGAAAGAUCUUGGAGAAAGACAUUUGACUGAUGAUAAUUCAUUCUUACGUCAAACUUCGAAAAGAAUUUGGGAAUAGCUCCGGGAAAAUUAGAAGAGUCAGGUAAGAUCCUGGGAAAAGACCUGUGGGUUAGGGCCCACUCAAAAGAUACACCGUUGAAUAAUUACUUGAAAAGGAGAUAGCACCGGUUGAACUAAAUGGCUCAAAAGAGAUAACAACCUCGAGAUAGCUUGAACGGAUUGGGAAUGGAAAUACGAGUCUCCUGAGAUAUCUUCAGCACUCCAAAUAACAUGAAUAGCAAGAGGUGGAUGAUUAAGAGAUGCACCGACAUACGAAAACACUUGAAACGAGGAAGGGAAUAUGAUCAACACCGAAUGCUUGAAUUUAGUCCACUGGAGAAGAAAAGAAUGAAGAAUGAUAAACUUGAAGAACAUCUUCAUGAGAACCACCGGGUAAGAACAUUGAUGGAAAAGAAUGGAGAAACGUCACAUCAAUAAAAUGAUACUUGAUUAAGAAAUCUGAGUCCUUGAAGAAAAAGGGUGGGAGGGCGGGAAAACAAAGGCAACUUGGGGCAGAUGGAAUAAACACCGUUGAGAAAACUUAUAAUUGAUCUUGCGGAUGUUGGAAUGAACGGAUUCACUUGAAGAGAAGCACACCGGUUGGAAAAGAAUUAACAUGACGAGCUCGAUGAUCAAGAAGGAUUAGUAUCCACAUAGAAAUAUGAGAACACCAUUUAGGAAAGGUAUGGAUUCAACAUUUGACUUCGAAGCAACUCGAAUACCACAAAUAAAACAAAACAAAGGAUUUGGCUUGCGGAAUAAGCCGGAACAAACAUAUGAUAGAGAUUUCGUCCGAAGUUUUCGUGGUGGGGCCCACACGGGCUCGAUCGUACAGCACCAUCAUGUACAAGGCAGUGCACAUGACAUACGAAGCGUCCCCGAGUCGGCAUAGCCAAGGACUCUUUAAGACACUACGAGACCACUGGAAAACCAACCGUGUACAGGCGGACCACUAGACGUCGAACCCCAAUUUCAUAUCAUGCGUCUGUCGGAAAGAUAUCCUAAGAGCUACUUGAAUACCCACUUAUAAACUCCCGAAACUUUCUGGUUAUGCAAUCUGGUGUUGGGGAUACAGGGGACACAAAAUAUAUCACCCAAACUAACGAUACCUAGAUCCAGCUGUAUCCAUCCGUCAACACAUAACCAAGAAACCUUCGGAAAUCAUUUACCUCAACCUUCGAAAAGCAUCCGUUAUACUAGUUAUGGCAAUACUCCCGAACUCCCACCCCAGUACUGGGUGGCGUCGAGGUGAUCUCACCAACAACUGCAUAAAAGAGAUUUUGAUGUCGGCGAAACUCAGGUAUUCCAAAACUACAACGAUAAAAUUGUGACGACAACACCUCGGAGCUCAACUCCCCGGGACACUGCCACAACCCCUAAAUGUCAGGAGGCACCAAGAACAAUGUUCUCGUCACAAAACCAUCAGAACGAUUCCAAGAUACCCGCGUGAUCCUAAAUUUUUUUUAGUGAAAUUUGAGGAGAGAAGAGUCAAAACUUCUACGCCAGGAGACCUCACCAGAGCGACGAAGGGACUGAGGAGUAAAAAGAAUCCUACUCUCCGAUAUAUAUAAUCCUAAGACUCAAAACAUUUUUGUUCUAGACUCAACAACGCCAGCGAUUCGAUCAAGCAGGGGGCUCCUAAGUCGGGGAUGGCUCUGAUACCAACUUGUAACGCCCACGAUGCGGCUAUAUCUCCCACGUGUCGAGGCACGACUACAUGGGAUUGUGUGAAGAUGACCCUUCUUGCGACAAAACCACAAUGCGGUUAUGCCUCUAAGUCAUGCCUCGACACGUGGGAGAUAUAGCCGCAUCGUGGGCAUUACAGCGGACGUGUGAACCGGCCGCGAGAGCGGACAGGCGAGUCGUCCAUGGCGUUGUAAACUGGUGCGGUCGCAAGAGACGGCAACAGCGUUGGAAACGGCCCGGACUCGGGCGAGACAAAUGCGGACGCAGAUGAUCAGUCAGUCACGCGUGCGGAUGUAGCGAGGGCGGCGACUUGCACAAAUAAUUUUUAGAAAAGGAGGAGGACCCCAGACUUGCACAAAUAAUGCUGGCGCGCACCCUUUAUGCGACACCUUUGUAAGGAAUAGUGGUCUUGCGAAAAAUAUCAUAGACCAGAAUAAUUGUUCUCAAACAAUUUAAUAUGUGCUGAUAAUAUAUAGAAAAGAUAGCACCUGGCGGUUCAACACGGCAGCGAAAACAGCGGCAAUCAUGGUGGCAGCUCAUCACGGCCCUAACAGCUCAACGCUCAGAGAGCAAGGGAAGACCGCGGAGGUGGGCGGCUCAGGCUCAACACGACGCGAGGCGAGGCGGCUUAGGGAAGCCCCUAGUGAGGUGGAGGACGGCAGUUUGUCCACGGUGGCAAGGCUGCGGCGACGACCGCGUCCGGCGGUUCAACAGUGGCAGGUAACAGCAAAGGCGAGCCGGACGGCUGUGCACAUAUACGCACACGCAGGGUAGCAGCAAAAGGUGAGCCUGACGACUUGAAGGAAACCUCUUCACUGCACCCAAUAAAUCCAGAUGUGUAUAAUAUUUCCAGAAUCAUGACCGGGAGCUGUUUUCCGUUAGAUGAAUCCCAGCACUACCACCAUGCAUAUCUUGACUUAAUUCCUCUGAACUGAAAGGAGUUUGGCUGUUGUGUACUUCUGUUGAUAGGAUUGCAGCCCGUAUACCCUCGAUGAAAUGCAAUCCAACUUUUAUGGACGUGACUACCUGGCGCCCGAGCGCCACUUCCCGGGUGCGAGCGCUUUCCCUAAAAGGAAGGGCCAGCCGCGCGGCUCUGUCAGGAAAGCCCAGAAAUGGACCACGAUUAUCCCGUCUGCAUUUAUUAGGGGAUCAAAAACUUCAAAAACUUGUAACUUUUGAUUAGAAUGUCAAAAUUCAAAUCCGUUUUCACCGUUGGGUUUCUCGUGACGAGUUCUUCAAAACUAGAUCCCAUAUGAGUAGGUUUCGACGAACUUUUUUUUCCGAGCAACUUCAUGUGCUACGGAGGCAACUUUAGUGCUAUAGAAAAGCAACUCCUUUUCCCCCUAGUAUGACUAGCUAUCAACGGAGGAUCCUCUCUAAGUUGGUUACCAUGACUACCAAUUGACUAGUUUCACCUCUAAAUCGCCUACCAUAAGGACAACUCCAACGUGGAUCAUCAAAAUCACCCCAAAAAAUGUCAGAAUAGACCUGUCUGGACACUGAGGGUCACCUAAUUUGUUUGAACAAGUCCGUACGUCAUAAAUCCUCCAAAACCGAACAACGAGGGGGGUGUUCUCAGGGCUCCUUAGCGCCAAUUGCUCCCUCCAACAUGAAGCCAGAUCCCAUCUCCUCAGACGACAAGAGGAGCAGAAUUUGCCACUCCUAGUUGAGGCCCCCGUGAUGGACAAAGAGUCCGCACUACAAAUGGAGAUGCUAACCCAAUGGUCAACCACCAACCACUAUCUGAGAAUGCCCUCUCUGCUACUCCCGAGCAAAUACGAAGUCCAAAACUAGAUGCCGCCUAAAGGAGGAGACGUCGUCCGUCCCCACUGCGCCAACCAUUUCUGUUGUAACAAGGAGGUGGCAACAAAGAACUUCGAGUAUUGAUAAACGCAACCACAUAUAAAAAAAGACUAAGUUCACCCAACAAACCUCGUUGGGGUAGAAAAAGAAAAACAACCAUAUGACUUAUAUGCACUGGAGUUGUACUUAAAAAGCCAGCAACUUUUGGGGUGUUUUUGUGCAACUCCAAUGCAUUCACCAGACAACUCGUAUGUAGUCUCAUCCUGACUUGGUAUCUAGAUAAAGCUGCCACAUAUAGAAAAUACUAAGUUCACGAGGCAACUCGUGUGUAGUCCAAGCCUGAGCAACUCCACAGUUUUUCUUGCGCACCUAGGCAAUAGCAGAGGAGAAAACACACACGCGCACACACACAUAGUCAUGCGCCUCAUAUCUCUAGCUAGGAAACCUGACCGGUUCCACCCGCUCCCUUCUACGAUCGCACUAAGAGAUUCCACCCGAGGAGAGGAAAAUCUUGACUCCACCUCUAUGACACAAACUUAAUUACAGGUAUCUAAAACCUUUAGAUAUUUACUAAAUAAUAAUGGUCUUGAUAAAUGUUUCUGUUCAUGAGGAUUGGGCAACUGGAUACAUGGUUUUAGGCAAACUAUUUGUUGCUCGUGGGAAACUCGAUACUUGGUUUUAGGCAAUUGGAUGAUUAAUUGUGGGCAACUAUAUUAUCUUUCAUGUAUUGUGCAUAAAAAAGGAUGCAAACUAUGUAGAGCACCUUGGAGUAUGCAGUCUAGCACAAGUUAAAUAGGAAAUAAAAAAGAGAAAAAACAUAGCAAAUUAUGUUAUCUUUCAUGCUUUUAGACAACUGUAUGGUUGAUUGUGGACAACUGGAUACAUGAUUUUAGAUAACUGUACAGUUGAUUGUCGACAACUAGAUACAUGGUUUUAGACAACAUAAGGGUUGAUUCUAGGCAACUAUGACACCUAAAAAAGGGAAAAAGAACGUAGACAUGUUCCUUUUUGGAGGGGGUCACAAAUAAACUUAAUCACCUGAAAACACUUUGUGGUUUUAGUUAUGUCUCCAUGACCAGCUUCGCACCGCUCCCCCUCUAUGAACAUUCACCUAGUAUUUACAAUCAUACCAAGGGAUCCAACCCCGAGGAUAUGAAAUUCUUGAUGUGUCUCUAUGACACAAUCUUAAUUGAAAGGUAUCUAAAACCUUUACAUAUAAGAUAAAUUAAGGUCUUGGUAAUAUUUCCGUUCAUGAGGGUUGGGCAACUGGAUACAUGGUUGUAGGAAACUGUAUAGCUGAUUGUGGGCAACUAUGACACCUGAAAAAGGAUAAAGAACAUUCACAUGUUUGCUUUUUAGGGGUUCACAUAUAAACUUAAUCUCAUAAAAUUCCAUGGUUUUAGUUAUGUCCCCAUGACUAGCUCCACCCCACCACCCUCUAUGAUCAUUCGCCAAGUGUUUACGAUCAUAACAAGGGAUCCCACCCGAAGCGAAGAAAUUCUUGACACACCACUAUGACACAAACUUGAUUGAAAGGUAUCUAAAACCUUUAGAUGUUGGCCAAAUCGUGGUCUUGGUAAUGUUUUUGUUCAUAUGGAUUGGGCAAUGGGAUACAUGCUUUUAGGCAAUUGUAUGAUUAAUUGUGGGCAACUAUGUUAUCUUUCAUGUAUUCUGCAUAAAAAAGGAUGCAAACUAUGUAGAGCACCUCAGAGUAUUUAAUCUAGCACAAGUUAACUAGGAAAUAAAAAAGGAAAGAAAAAAACAUAGCAGCUCUAAGUGUUUCUAACCAAAACAAAAGAAAGCAACUAUAAGCUAAUUUAUGUGCAACUCAUGUGUAUUUCCCAAACAACUUAGCUGCCGGAAAAAAGCACACAGACAAAAGAAGACAUGAUCUUGCUACCCCCUCCCCUGCCAACUCCGUCGCUCCAUCGUGAUCUUGUUAAGCCCAUGUACGCCCUUUCUCCUGUGGAUAAAAGUGUGAUAUGUUUGUGUUAACCUAGGAUUAAAACAUGUGUGGAAAAACUAAGAAAAGAAAGAAAAUGAAGCAUACCACAAUAAAACCGUCCCCUAUAAAUUGGAGCAACUCAUGCUAAAAAUUGGAGCAACUAGUUGCGAACAACGAUUUUAGGCAACUUUACUAGUGAUUUUAGGCGACUCGUGUUAAAAUUUGAAGCAAGUAUUAUCAGGCAUGUAAAAAAUGUCUGCUACCCAUAUCAAAGAAAUUUCCUUGUAGUAAAUAUAUCAUGUAUCCCCUAUGCAAAAGUAAAAACAUGCAACAACUUUGCUUGUGAUUUCAGGCAAGUCAUACUAAAAUUUGAAGCAACUAGUGCUGGGCAUUAAAAAAGGGACUGUUGACCCUAUAAGCUCCUUGAUGCUGGCCCACCAGUUUGGUUAGUACAUUCUAGCAACAGAUCAGCGUGAAGAUCAGCAUGAAGCCCACCACAAAUUAAACACAUCAGCGUGAUCAGCGUUAAGCCCACCACAAAUUCAUUGGGGGAAUAAGCCAUGGAAAACAAGACUCUAAUGUUUUCCUACAUUACAACUUCCUGACUGAGCUUUAGCCACAUCAGUCGGUCAGAGGAAUACAUCGCAGAAAUAGAAAUCUGACAGCUUUUAAAAUUGAAACAAGAUUCCCUACCCGAUUGAUUCUGAAGCUUUCAAGGAUCAAACAAGAUUUGGAGCCAGAAAGUGGAGCUAUAUACGGCAGCAUCUUCAUACAUACAGACAAUUAAGCUAAUCUUUUUCUACCGAACCAGCGGUAUAAGCUCGGCAUUGUGCUGUUAGCUCUUUGCUGCAACCUCUCCUCCCUCGUCAGACUUUUUUGAGCAACUCUUACAGCCGUUGUGAGAUACUACUAGUCCCGUGAAUUACAACUUGUGCAGUUUACCUCCUCAGAAGCAUGCCAGCCGUGCUCAUCUGCUCGAAGAGUAGACACAGCCGGUCCAGACCUCCGGGUCCACCCUUGUGGACACACACUGGGGACUCAUUCGCCCCGACGAGCAGCGCGUGUCGCUCCUUUCAUUACGCUCCAUCCAGGACCCCGACAGAGGGAGGUAAAACGGAUUGGCGACCUGUGUCGCAGGGGACCGAGGGAGCAAGCCCACCGGGCAUGGCGUAGAUCCCCAGGAGGAGGCAGGAGGAGGGGUGAUCGGGCGCGUGCCGGCCGUGGCGCUCGUCGCCGGGAAUAGGUAAGAGGAAGAGGCGGCCGGGGGUUUGCUUGGCGGGCGCGUGCCGGCCGCGGCGCUCGUCGCCGAGAAUAGGUAAGAGGAAGAGAUGGCCGGAGGUUUGCUUGGCGCGAGACACGUCGAAGGAAGGAGGACCAGGUGGCAGCCCUGUAGGCGGGAGGAGGAGCGCGGCGGGGGGGGGGGCGCAUGGCCUGGGGGAGGAGCGCGGCAGCGGUCGCAUCUCACAGAAGAGGCGUCGGGCGGCAGGUGUGGGACGGAGUGUGGGUGGUGGGAUGAGUGAAUAAGGAAUGAGAGUCAGGCGACUUUGUCGGUAGCGCGUGCGCUCGAAACGACCCAAAAGCACAGCUGCGUUUUCUAGAAUUUAGGAACUUUUAUCUUCAGAUUUCAGCAUGCUGUCCAGCAGCGUUUCACCAUUCAAGAAGCUGCACUGUGGCGCACUAUGGGUUUUCUUCAGAGUUCCUCUUUGAUCAGAGCAAAAAGUACUAGUAUCAGGUAAUAUACUGUAGGCUUCUUCACCCUAGACCUCGGACCAACAGCCCUCAAGCGAGGUGAAACGCAGCGGUAUCAAGCGCACGCCGGGUACACCUCGUCGCGUGCUUGAAUGUCGGUUGGCAGAGAGACGCGCGCGGCUAGGCAUGCAGCGCCGCAGAGUAGUGGCGACUUGACGGGUCGAGCAGCCAGCUCAGGUCGACGAAGACGGGCGGCUCAAGGCGGAGGAACGACGGCCAGAGGCGGAGAGCGGCCGGCGGCUCUCCCCCGCUGCAGUUGAGGCGGGUAACGGAGGCGGCUGGCGGCGUAGGUGGAAGUGAGGUAAGGCCGCGGUGGUGGCGGCUCAAAUCCAGGGCGAGAUGAGGCGGCGCCGACGAUUUGAAUUGGGCGCGGUCGAAGCAGCGAUUGGAGCGCGAGGUCAGGAGAUGGCGGAGGCGAGCUGAGGCGGCAGCGGUCGCGGAGGCAACGACGGCGGCCGGCGGUGGAGCCGUGGAGAUGGCGGCUCGUCGGUCGCCAGCUUGAGGUCGGAACGGUGGCGGAAGCGGGCGCCUCAAAGCGAGGGCGCGGGCGCGGUCAAUGAACGAGUCCGGGUCACGGCCGGUUCUGUUUCCGGGUUGUUUUUAUUGAAACUGCGUCGGCUCCCGACGUUGCAUAGCAGCUGAGCACAAAGACUUUUGACUUGUAGUGUACAUGGCUUUCACGUGAUAUCAAUUUGGAGGUCAUGAUGGGCCUGGGAAUUUGUGCCUUUGAGAGAUUUGCCUCUUCAUGUAGCAAAGGGAGAUUAAAAAAUGGGGGCUGCUACAAAUCAGUCGGAUGAUUUCUCUAAGAAAUCAUCCGCCUGGGUAGCCAUCCGAUCUGGCGCUAGGUGGCCAUUUGAUCUAAGCAACACAGCCUUGCCUUACGUUCCUCGUCUGACCCCAUUUCACUAGAGCAACGCAACAUCCAUCCUCGCACAUCCGUCCGGCGACCUCGUGGCAUCGGAGCCGUUGGAAGCGAUGCAACGCAGCUCCAAGAGCCGCGACCAACCGCUGCAUCGACAUGCAGAACUCUGGGAGCUCCGACAUGCAGCAUCGGUAUGCUGCUCCAUUGCAUCCAUGGGCCCAUGGCCAUGGCAACACCAAGCACACAAAAGCAUUGACGCCACGCCGACGACGUCUCUGACGAAGCUUCAUUGUAGCCACGGCGGCGCUCCAUUGAAGCCUAGGCAGCGCUCCAUCGCAGCACCUCGACGGCCGCUACAUGCUUCACUGCAGCGUCCCACCGCGCAGCUGCCGUCGCACCUCCCAUCGUAGGACCCAUGGUCACCGGCGAAGCUUCAGUGCAGCGUCGCCACCGGCACGGUGGUGCUCCUUCGCAGCACCUCAACGGCCGCGGUAUGUUUCUCUGUAGUGCCCCCAUCGCAUGGCCGCCGGCGAAGCUUUAGUGUAGCACCGCCACCGGCGUGACGGUGCUACGUGCACCCCGACGGUCGCCGCACGCUUCAUUGCAGCGCCCCACUGUGCGGGUGCUCCUCCAUCGCAGCACCGGCUGCCGUCGCAUCUCCCAUCGCAGCACCGCCGAUUGGCCGCCGGGGAAGCUUCAGUGUCGCGCCGCCACCGGCGCAGCGGUGCUCCAUUGCAGCACCGGCUGCCUCCUCCUCCGCCUUCUCCCCCGCGUGCCGCAACUCCAUCACCGCAGCACUCCCCCUCCCUGCAGCAGCUAGUUGUGCGUAACGGCGGGGCACGAGCUGCCGGAGUGGAGAAAUGGCGAGAUCCAGAAGCUGGAGAAAAGGGUAGGGGAUGAAGCAGAGGAAAAGGCGUGGUUUGUGCGGCCUGUGGUUCGUGCGAAGGGAUAAGAAUGGAGAGCGGUGCAUGGGCUAGUACGACACGUGUCGAGCAGUGGGAGCGGUUUACGGGAGGGAAGAAAUCAACCGGAUGAAAGCAAUCAUUUUCCCUAAAAAAAAAAGCUGGUUUGGGUACUUCCUCACGGAACGGAGUACUGGCCGAACAAUUCUUUCCUCGAUUCAUACGCCGAUUUGAUGGGGGAUUAGAAGAAGCUCCGUGUACAAUUGCACGUGCGGAUCCGAUUUGUCUUCGCUGUAGACUAGAUCGAUCUUGCAGUGGUUGAUCCAAUCCGCCUGUUUGACUCGGAGUGGAUAAUGUUUUCUUGAUCGCAACUGACGAGGCUUAGAUUUGAUGCAAAAUCCUUCCGUACCGGAUCUUGCGCCAUACAAAAAAUUGCGAACUCCUUGAACCCUGGAAAAAAUCCCUCCAAGAACUCAACACCACCGUGCGCCAGCCCCACGGUGGGCGCCAACUUUCGUGGAUUUGUCACGGCAGAUGUCCUAGUGUGAGGACUUUGUCGUGAGGCCAACGCAUCUAUGUGAUAGCUUGAGAGGGGUUGAGCGGAAUCGAGAGACGCAACACAAGACAAGGAUUUAGACAGCUUCGGGCCUCGGGAAACAUCAUCCGGUAAUAGCCCUACAUGCUGUUUUUGGCUAGAUCUCAUUAUGAUCAUGAGAGAGUCGCCGCAUAAGCCAGCUCCCCCUUUGUGUCUAGCCCUAGAGAUUGUUUCUUGUUGCUUGUCCCUCUUUGGGGAGCCUUGCCCCUCCUUAUAUAAGUUGAAGGGGCAGUUUACAUGACUAGUCCUAGUUGGAUUAGGAUUACUCUAUUACAAGUGGAGUCCUAGUCUUGCUUCCUUCAUAGGAGAAUAUUCCUUAUGUCUUCCUCUUAAACCGGCCCACCAUUAACAUGAACCGGCCUUUUGGGCCUUGGGCCUUGUCAUCCGUCUGACCCGCCCGCCGGGUCACCAGUGAGUCAUAAUGACCAGACGGGUAGCUUGUAAACCGCCAGGUCAGGGCGGGUCGCCAGUGAAUCGCCAAGUGUCAGCCGGGUCUCAAGUAAACCGCCAAGUCCGGCCGGGUUAUACUUCCGGCCAGUUUACGCUGUGGGGUAUAUCCCCGACAGGUAGCGAGGCACGUAUUGUAUUGUUGCCAUCGAGGAUAAAAAGAUGGGGUUUACAUCAUAUUGCUUGAGUUUAUUCCUCUACAUCAUGUCAUCUUACUUAAUGCGUUACUCUAUUCUUCAUGAACUUAAUACUCUAGAUGCAGGCAGGAGUCGGUCGAUGUGUGGAGUAAUAGUAGUAGAUGCAGGCAGGAGUCGGUCUACUGAUGUGAUGCCUAUGUUUCAUAAUCAUUGCCUUAGAUAUCGUCAUAACUUUGCGCUUUUCUAUCAAUUGCUCGACAGUAAUUUGUUCACACACCGUAUUAUUUGCUAUCUUGAGAGAAGCCUCUAGUGAAACCUAUGGCCCCCGGGUCUAUUUUCCAUCAUAUAAGUUUCCGAUCUACUAUUUUGCAAUCUUUUACUUUCUGAUCUAUAAACCAAAAAACCCAAAAAUAUUUUAUCUUUUGUUUAGUUUUAUUUAUCUAUCUCUAUCAGAUCACACCUUUGCAAGUGACCAUGAAGGGAUUGACAACCCCUUUAUCGCGUUGGGUGCAAGUAUUUGAUUGUUUGUGCAGGUAUUCGUAAUUUGUGCGUUGUCUCCUACUGGAUUGAUACCUUGGUUCUCUAACCAAGGGAAAUACUUAUCUCUACUUUGCUGCAUCACCCUUUCCUCUUCAAGGAAAAAACCAACGCAAGCUCAAGAAGUAGCAUCGCCGGUCAUGCGGGUGCCGGGCUCCUGGAGGCUCAGCGUCGGCGGUGUCCCGGUGCCUUCGGCGCCCACCGGUGCUGAUCGGCACGCUGAGAUCAUGCGCAUCUGGUCAUUGCUGCCGGAGCGCGCGCGACAGCAGCCAAGGUACGCCCCCGACAGCCACACGCUGUGGACGACUGAUGUCUACUACACAACUUUAUUCUUGUAGACACGUGUUGGGACUCCAAGCACAGAGUUUUGUAGGACAGUAGCAAUUUUCCCUCAAGUGGACGACCUAAGGUUUAUCAAUCCGUGGGAGGCGUAGGAUGAAGAUGGUCUCUCUCAAACCACCCUACAACCAAAUAAUAAAAAGUCUCUUGUGUCCCCAACACACCAAAUACAAUGGUAAUUUGUAUAGGUGCACUAGUUCGGUGAAGAGAUGGUGAUACAAGUGUAAUAUGGAUAGUAGCUAUUGAUUUUUGUAAUAAGAAUAAUAAAAAAGAGCAAGGUAGCAAUUGAUAAAACAGAACACAAACGGUAUUGCAAUGCUUUAAAAUGAAGCCUAGGGUCUGUACUUUCGCUAGUGCAAUCUCUCAACAAUGCUAAUCUAAUUGGAUCACAUAACCAUCCCUCAAUGUGCGAUGAAGAAUCACUCUAAAGUUCUUAUCUAGCAGAGGACAUAAGAAGAAAUUGUUUGUAGCUAUUCUUUUCGAUCGAUCUAUCCAAGAGUUCAUACUAAAAUAACACCAAGUUAUUCUUUCCGAUCGAUCUAUCAAGAGUUCGUACUAAAAUAACACCAAAGCAAAUUCAGAUUCAUAAUACUCAAUCCCACACAAAGAACCUCAAAGAGUGCCCCAAAAUUUCUACCGGAGAAACAAAGACAAGAACAUGCAUCAACCCCUAUGCAUAGAUUACCCCAAUGUCACCUCAGGAAUCCGUGAGUUGAGUGCCAAAACAUAUAUCAAGUGAAUCAAUAUGAUACCCCAUUGUCACCACGGGUAUUCACAGCAAGACAUACAUAAAGUGUUCUCAAAUCCAUAAAAGUAUUCAAUCCGAUAAGAACGAAAUUUCAAAGGGAAAACUCAAUUCACAACAAGAUAGAGAGGGGAAAACACAAUAUGAUCCAACUAUAUUAACAAAGCCCGCGAUACAUCAAGAUUGUGCCAUCUCAAGAACAUGAGAGAGAGAGAGAGAGAGAUUAAACACAUAUCUACUGGUACAAACCCUCAGCCCCGAUGGUGGACUACUCCCUCCUCAUCGUGGUGGCCGGCGGCGGAACUUCUGAUCUAGGAUUACCCCCGGGGGUUUUGGAAUAUUUGAGAAUUUAUAGGGCGAAGAGGCAGUGCGGGAGGCCACCAAGGUGGGCACAACCCACCAGGGCAUGCCCGGGCCCCCAGGCGUGCCCAGGUGGGUUGUGCCCCCCUCGGGGCACCCCUUUGGUACUUCUUUGGCCCACUGGAUGUCUUCUGGUCCAAAAAAAUCUCCAAAAAGUUUCGCUGCAUUUGGACUCCGUUUGAUAUUGAUUUUCUGCGAAGUAAAAAACAAGCAAAAAACAACAACUGGCACUUGGCACUAUGUCAAUAGGUUAGUCCCAAAAAAUGAUAUAAAGUUGCUAUAAAAUGAUUGUAAAACAUCCAAGAAUGAUAAUAUAACAGCAUGGAACAAUAAAAAAUUAUAGAUACGUUGGAGACGUAUCAACAUCCCCAAGCUUAGUUCCUGCUCGUCCUCGAGUAGGUAAAUGAUAAAAAACAGAAUUUUUGAUGUGGAAUGCUGCCUAACAUGUUCAUCACAUAUUGUUUUCUUUUGUAGCAUGGACAUAUGGACUUUUAUAUGGUUCAAAGCUAUAGUCUAAUUUUUGCAUGAAGAUUUCAAUACUCAAGCAUAUCAACAAGCAACCAUGUCUUUCAAAAUAUCUACACUAAAGCAAGUUAUCCCUAGCCCAUGAUGCUCAAUCAUUGAUCCAUUCAUGAAACACACUCGCAUAUUAGCUACAUCCAAUGCUCAAGUACGAUCAUAGUGCACCUUAGUUGGUGCUUUAUAAGGGAAGAUGGAGACUGAAAUAAAAAUAAAAAUUACAUAAAGUAAAUAGAAAGACCCUUUGCAGAGGGAAGUACGGAUUUGUAGAGGUGCCAGAGCUCAAAGCGAAAAAGAUAGAGAUAAAACAUUUUGGGUGGCAUGCUUUUCCUGUCAACGAAAAUGAUCGAGUAGUCCCCAAUACUUUCCAUGCUACAUAUAUCAUAGGCGGAUCCCAAACAGAAAAUAAAGUUUAUUCCUUUUUCCACCAUUAUUUCACAAUCCAUGGCUAGGCAUAUCCACGGGUGCCUUCCGUACCAACACUUUCCAAGGAAUUUAUUAUUUGACAACAUAAAGUAAAUUCAUUU
rnacentral:lncRNA from 1 species